rnacentral:lncRNA from 1 species
UUAGUAACUUGACAUCUCUUCGUGAGUUAGAUAUUUCAAGAAACCAUUUUCAAAUUCCGCUGUCAUUUGCACCAUUUGCAAACCUUUCAAACCUCAAAGCCCUUUUGAUUAAUGAAAACAAGAUGGUAAUGGAACCUUCCUUUUAUACCUCAAUCCCAAAGUUCCAAUUGGAAGUCAUCAGUUUGUCAAAGUGCAUAACAUCUCAACAACUCAGUCUUAAACUUUGUACCUUCCUUUACUACCAAUAUGACUUGAGAUAUGUGGAUCUUUCGCAUAACAAUCUCAGUGGAACUGUACCAACUUGGUUGCUAGAAAACAACACAAAGUUAGAAGAUCUCAUCUUGAAGGGUAAUUCAUUUACAGGUCCUCUCUCACUUUCGUCGGCUCUUAUUUCUAAUGUAUCUACAAUUGACAUAUCUGAAAACAAAUUACAAGGUCAAAUUCCAACUGGUAUAUGUUCAACUUUUCCACAUUUGAGGCAGUUAUUCUUAUCCAAGAAUGCUUUUGAAGGUAAUAUCCCACUUUGUUUAAGUGGCAUGAAGGACUUAUCAUUUUUAGAUCUAUCAGACAAUCAUUUGUAUGGAAAAGUACCAGAAGAGUUGAUCACGAAAGGCUUACUAAUCAUUUUGAGACUAUCAAAUAACAACCUCAGUGGAAAUGUAGUUCCUGUGAUUCUCAGCGCAAAUGGGGUGCAGCAUUUAUAUUUGGAUGGAAAUAAUUUUUCAGGAGAGAUGACAAAUGUUGAUGUGUCUACUUUUGAGUUUCCAAAUUCACUAAGCGAAAUUGAUCUCAGUAACAACACUUUGCAUGGAAAGCUCCCAAGAUGGAUAGGGAAUGCAUCAUUUUUGGGGAGAUUAGAUUUGUCCAACAAUGGUUUUGAAGGUUCUAUUCCAAUGGAAUUUUGCAAGUUGAAUAGGUUGGAAUUUUUGGAUCUUUCUCAAAAUAAUUUAUCUGGCUCUAUACCGUCAUGUUUUAAUCCACCAUACAUACAGCAUGUCCACCUCCACGGGAAUAGACUGAGAGGCCCACUAUCACUUGCUUUUUAUAAUAGCUCUUCAAUAGUGACUUUAGAUCUUGGAGGAAACAAUUUGACGGGUAGUAUUCCAAAAUGGAUUUACACGCUUUCUUCUUUGAGUUUUUUUCUCUUGAAAGAUAAUCAUUUUCAUGGUAAAGUUCCUAUUGAGUUAUGCAAGUUGCAUUCUUUAAGCAUCAUAGAUCUUUCUCAAAAUAUGUUUUCUGGUCCUAUACCUUCUUGUUUGGGAAAUUUAUCUCUUCCAAUGCAAAGGAAGAAGAUUCUAGAACCUGGUUUCUAUGGGCCACCUAUAGAAGAGGAUGAAACAACACGCAGUACGAAACUAAAUUUGGGAAUGUAUUCUUACUAUCCUAAUAGCUACUUCGAAGAAGUAAUAGAGUUCACAACAAAGAGUGGGUUCUAUUCAUACAAGGGCUACAUCCUUUCAUAUAUGAAUGGGAUUGAUUUAUCUUGCAACAACUUAACUGGUCAUAUCCCACCAGAAUUAGGGAACUUGAGUGAAAUCCAUUCUUUAAACCUUUCACACAAUAAGUUGACCGGAGUUAUACCCUCGUCACUCUCAAAACUACAUCAAAUUGAGAGUUUGGACCUUUCUUACAACAACUUAAGUGGUGAAAUCCCCAAUCAAUUGGUAGAGUUAAACUCUUUGGAGGUUUUCAGCGUGGCAUUUAACAACUUGUCAGGUAGUAUUCCCGAACCAAAAGCUCAAUUUGGGACCUUUAUUGAAAAUAGUUAUCAGGGAAAUCCGUUUCUUUGUGGAGUUAUAUUGCAUAAAAGUUGUUCCAAAACCGAUUCACCAUCAACGAUAUCAAUUGUAUCAGAAGAUAAAGGAGAAGAUGGUUUGAUAGAUACUUAUGAUUUUUGUGUGAGCUUUUUGGUUUCUUAUGUAGUUGUGUUGUUGACAAUUUUUGUUGUCCUCUACAUAAAUCCAUACUGGCGAAGAGCUUGGUUUUCUCUUGUUGGGAAAUGCAUUACCACCUGUCGCUACUCAAAUGUGGGCAAUUUUCUUACUUAUCACAUUUUCAAGCGAUGUGUUUAGCUACUCAAAUUGUGAUUUGAUUUCCACACCUAAAUGUUUAAUUAUGCUAAGUUGAGCGAUAAUGAAUAUUUUGUUGAUUUUUGCAUUUUGAAUAAAAGCUCUUUUAUCUUAUGGUUUUAUCAUUUUCAACCAUCUAUUUCUUUUUUCUUCUAUGAAAUUUAAUAUAAAAUCAUAAUCCAUUAUUAUGUAUAUGCAAUAUCUCUUUAAAUUAAAUUAAAUUAAAUUAACUGCCAAGCGUUCACUAGUGCAUACUAAAAAGGAAAUCUAAUGUAAAAUUAAAUCAAACAUACUACAGAAUUGAAUCUAAAACUGGAAUAUUUUAAAACCUCACAAACAAUGCAAUUCUUUAUUCCUCUUUUCCUCUCAAGUUAUUUUGUAUCAUGUUAUAUUUUACAUAAUUAAUCGUAUCAUCAAAUUUUAAAAAAAUUUUAAUAUUUUGAUAUCAUGUUCAUAUUAUGCUUUAAUUCACAAUGUAUUUUGUAUAAUAUGUUAUAACAAUUCAAUUUAAAAAACAAACAAUUAUCUUAUUUUUGCAUACCGUAAUAUACAUUUACAUGUUAAUAAUUCUUUGUACAUAAAUUUUGACAUGUUCGUAUAUUCGAGUCAUUAUAAUUUUAUUAUUUGUAAUAUGACAUGUUUUACUUACCCUUAAUAUUGUGUCAUGAUAAUUAUAACUCGAUUGGCAGUGUACCAAAUAUUUUUCUAAUAAAAAAUAGUAUUUUAUUCUAUUUACCAAAUCUUUAUCAACUUUAUUUUCUCACCAACAAAACAUACAUUCAAAGUUCAAAUAAGUUCCACACCCAUUUUUUUACUGCAAUACUCAAGAAUAUGCUCAUCAUCAGAAAUCUGAAAUAUUCCACUCUAAUUAACAUUAUGAUUCUGUAAACAACAAAAAAGUGUGAUACUUUUUUAAAGCUCUUUUUUUUUCUUUAAUGAAAUGGGAUUGGUAAAAAAUCCGCACAUGUGUCGUGUGUGAAGGUGGUCAGGUUGUCUAUUCAUACUGUAAUAAGUAGCUAAUUAUAGUUGAUCCUACAAAAUCAAAAUUAAUUCAGGUAUCUAUAUAUUCUGAAGACUGGACAGACCUUAGAAGCUCCUUCAAAUUUGCAAGAACAUGUCGUGGUCCUAAACUCUUUACACCGAUGAAAUUCAAAAGUUGCUCUAUAUCCUGCAAUCACAGUAAAGAUUAUGCAAGCUUUUCAGAACGAAUAACAUAACAAGCAAAAGGCAAUCAAAAUACUGUGAUCUCGAUAAUGUUCUUUGCCGAAAAGGAACAUAAACAUAACCUGAAAACAUCAGUGAAGGCUCAUCAGAUUUGCUUAGCAACCUUACAUACACAUGUAAAAAGCUUUGCUUUUGGAUGUAUGGUGUGACUAUCAUCACAGUCUUUCCUAAUUAGCUGAUAACCCUAUAUCUAACAUUUAUCAGGGCUAAGCAAAUUAACAUACAUAAUGUAAAGGAAUUUGACCAUAAGAUCCAACAGAAAACUUAAUAAAAGAUAAUCAACAUAGAAAGUUAAAAGGCAAUGCAAACUUAUUACAAUGAUGCAAGUGGAUCAAAAGAAAGCACUCUAUAAGGAAUUUGUAUUUAAGGCAUUGUAAACAGAAAAAAAAUAAUAAAACUUUUCGGAAAGUAUUUUCAAAGAGGAGACAAAAACAGGGUAGAAAAAAUGUUUGGUCCUUCCUUUUUCUAUUUCUACUGUGGUGAAAAAGCCUUUUUGGGUUAAAAGUGUUUUUACACUGCAGAAGUGUUUUUCCACUGCAGAAGUGAUGAAGAACACAUAGCUUUGUAGUCAAAAACCUACUGCUUUUGGCUUUUGCAUUUCGAAGUGAAAAUUAUAAAAAUACUCUUAGAUUAAUUUAUAUUUUAUAUAUUAUUAUAUUAAAUUGUUAAAUCUUAUUUAUUAUUAUAUUUAAUUUUUUUCAAAAUAUUUUAUACAUCAUCAAUUUUACAAAUAAUUUAUAUUAAUUACUUUUAAAAGUUAUAUUUCAUGUAUCAUUAUAUUAAAUUAUUUAAAUAUCAUAUAACAUCACUAAUUUUCUACUUUCUACCAUCAUGUCUAAAAUAGACAUUUUAACUUUCAACCGCAAUUUUUGGCAGCAAUGAACAACACUAAAAACUAACAAACACACUUUUCCGCACCACAUUUCAAAAACACUUUUUUCUAAACGCACUUUUGAACUAGUCCUUAGUCUAUCAUGCAUCAACUCUUCAUUUUUCUUUAACUACCCAUGUCCGACUUCGAACAUGGAUAUGGAGAUAUGACCAAGUCACAGUGACAUAGUUUUUAGUUAUGGGGAAUGGGAUUCGAGUGCUGGACCUCCUUCUAGAUGCAUGGUGGGACUUCAUCACAUUUUUCAAAUUUGUUGAUAAUCCUUCACCUAAUCUGCCGGUGAAGUUUAUAGAUAGUUGUUGACACCAUUUUUUUGAUGAAAACGGGAUCGACUUGGAUUUUGAAAAAAGAAUGAAAACGGGAGUCGCCACCAAUCCUUUUUGACGAGGUGUGAUCGGGUCACCUCAAAAUGUGGUUGUUUUUAAUAAAUGAUUUAAUUUUAUUAAAACAACGAUUUUGGUCUACGAAAUUCAGAAAAAUGAGUUCGGGAGUCGGUUACACACGAGGAAGGAUUAGCACCCUCGAUACGCCCAAAAUUGGUACCUAGUUGAUUAAUUAGUGUCUUAGUGUCGAAAAUUGAAAAUUUGAAGAGUUUUAAAAAUACGAUCCUUAAAAGAAAUUCUGAUAACGUGAAUUGAAAUAUAAGAUUCUCUUGUUCCGAAGGAAUAUCACAUCCAGCACGUUAGGACACGAUACUCUAAACCAUCGAAACCAAGAUCAUCUUAUAGUUUAAUGAAACCACACUUUGAAGCUUUAAGAGGAUAUUUGGCUAUUUAGUCGAACGAGAAAUCGAAACCCAGCACGUUAGGGCACGUUUUCUCGAUUUUCCAAACGCGAAAUAUCGCCUUAUUUAGAAAAAUUUUCCUUUUGAUGUUUGGUGUUAAUGCUUGACAAAACAAUAACGAAUACGACAAGGUGAGCAAAGUAAAGUGAGUAACAACAAUACAAUAGGCAAAAUGAAAUGACGAGGCGAUUACAUAAACAAAGCAUACAAAUAAAUAAAUAGAACUAACAUUUAAAAAAAAGCAUAAGUGUACACGAAUAAAUAAACAAACACCAAAUAACAAUGAUGACAAUAAAUACAAUUAUGUAAAAAUGUAUAUACAUGUAUAAUUUUAAGCCAUGAAAUAAGAAACGCAUAUAAAUUAUAGAAUAUGAAAACAUAGAUAAAUAUAUACAUAUGUGUAAAAAAUAAUAUUAUAAAAAGGGUACGUAUAUAUGUAUAAAAAAAUAAAUGUAUUAACAAUGAAUAUAAUAAGGGUAAGAAAACAAGUAUAUACACAAUAUAUAUGUAACGUGGUACUAAGGAUAUAUAUAUACAAUACAGUAUUUAAAAUAAUAUUUACGUAAUAUAAAAUAUAAUAUUAAAAGGUAUAUGUACAUACGUAAUAUAUAAAUACAUAUAUAAUAUAAUGUUAAAAUAUUUACAUAAUACUAAAAUAUUUAGGUAAUAUAUGCGUAUAUUGAAAACUAGUAAUAAUAUUAUCGAGGUAUAUACAAAUAUAUCAAGUAUAUACACGUAUUAUAAAUAUAUAAAUAUAUGACAAAGCAUAAACUAAUAAAAAUAAUAAGAAUAAUAAUAAUGAUAACAUUGGAAUAUAAAAGAAACAAACAUAACAUUAAUAAAAUAUUAAAAUAAAGUGAAAUAAAAAUAUUAAAUAUGAGAAUAUAUAUAGGUAUACACGUACAUAAUAAAAAUAUAUACUAAUACAUAAUAAUAAUAAUGGUAAUACUAAUAAUACUAAUAAUAUAAAAAUAACAAGGAUAUUUAAUAAAGAUAUAAAAAUCAACAAAAAAGGACUAAAAUUGAAUUGAAAGCAAAGUUGUGGGGCCAAUUUGAAAUGAAAACAAAGAAAAAGGACUUAAUUGUAACACGCAUGCAACUUGGAGGGUCAAAAGCGCAAUAAACCCAAGUAUUAAAAACGCUGCGCAGCGUGGGGGACCAGAAUGAAUUCGGGGCAACACCAUGGAGCCAAAUUAAAAAUAAAAAAACCUUGAUUGUAAACUCCCAGAAAGGCGGAAGGGCUAAAAGUGCAAUUAGCCCUUCCAAAGAAAAAAACACGCGGAUCUUCCUUGGUGCAGGUCGGGUCGACCCGACCCGUGUUCAAAACGACGUCGUUUCAUUUAUUUAAACCGGGGGUCCAAAACGGUGCGUUUUGACCCCCUAUAAAAGUCAAAAAAACUUCAAAAAAAAAUCAUUUGUAACGCUGAGGGAAAAAAAAGAAAAGGGAGAGAGGAGAGGGGAGCCCGGAGCGAUUUCCGGCCAAGGGAGGGGUCACCGGACGGCCACCGGAGGCUCGCCGGCGUCAGCGCCGGCCACCGCACGCGGUGGCCGGAAAGGUAAAAUUUUUUAUAUUUUUUUUAUAUUUUUUUUGUUAUUUAUUCUUGGUCUUAGAAUGUAUAGAUUUUAGGUUUAUAUUAAUAAAAAAGGUAUAGAUAUGUAUAUAGAAAUCGAAAGAAAAUGGAUGAAAACAAAAAGGUAACCUUUUCCGUUUGCCUUUCCUUUUUCCCGAAUGCUUGCUAUCUCAGUACUGAGAUCUAUGUAUUUUUUUUAAAAUUUUAGCUUCUGUUUUUUUGUAUUAAAAUGCCAAAAAACAAACAAAAAGAAGAAAGAAAAAAAACCCCCUGAUACAAUUUUUGAUUCGGGUUUUUAUAACCCAUUUUCAUCUAAUUUCCUAUUGUUUCUGUUUUGUCUCUUUGCAUGGGAUGGGCACGAUGGAGGUGACAGAGGCAUGGUGGUACAGAGGAGCAGGUGGCCGACAUGGUGGCAUGGAGAGCUGGGCGUGGCAGACAAGGAGGCCACGCGAGGCAUGCGGCGCUAGGGUUUGGGGGGCAUCUUUCUUCCGAAAAUGUUAAUGUUGUCUGGGCUGGGUUUUUAAUUUUUGUUUCGGGCCAUGGGCUACAUUGGGCUUGUUAUUUUCCUUUGUAAUUGGACUGUUGUUUAUCUUGUUUUAAUAUUCGGGCCUGGGCAUAAAAUUGGGCCUUACAGCUGCCCCUCUUUGCUUGUUAUCGUGUAACGAGAACAGAGCAAAGACUAAAAAAGGCCAAUUUGGCCCGGGCUCACCGAGUUUUGACUUCUUUUGGUGCUUCCUUUCUUCAAGCCUCAUUCUAGUCCACUGCGUCUUAUGAUUCUUCGAUCUGCUCUACUGCAACUUCAGAUACGCCUUAUAGCUUCAAUCUACUCUGCUACGACUCCAUGGGGAUGAGAUUUGUGUUUUUAGUCUGCUUCACUACUACUUAGGGAGAUAAGACUGUGGUUUCGUCUGCUCCGCUACUGCUUAGGGAGAUAAGACUGUAAUCUCCGAUCUAUUCCACUGUCAAAUACAGGGAGAUAGAGUUAUCAGCUUCAAUGUACUCCACUGUAGUCACAGGGAGGUAAAAUCUGCCAUCUUUGAUCUUCAAUCUAUUCCACUGCCAAAUACAGGGAGAUAGAGUUAUCGGCUUCAAUGUACUCCACUGUAGUCAGGGAGGUAAAAUCUGCCAUCUUCGAUCUGUUUCGCUGCCAAAUACAGGAAGGCAAGAUCUGCAAUCUUCGAUCUACUUCACGCCAAUACAUGAAGAUAAGAUCUGCUUUCUUCGAUCUACUUUGCCACCAGUAUGGGAAGACAAGAUCUGCAUCGUCGAUCCACUUCCUACCAAUAUAGGAAGACAGGACCUGCUAUCUUCGAUCUACUUCACGCCAAUACAUGAAGACAAGAUCUGCUUUCUGCGAUCUACUUCGCCACCAAUAUGGGAAGACAAGAUCUGUAUCUUCGAUCCACUUUCUACCAAUAUAGGAAGAUAGGAUCUGCUACCUUCGAUCUACUUCACGCCAAUACAUGAAGACAAGAUCUGCUUUCUGCGAUCUACUUCGCCACCAAUAUAGGAAGACAAGAUCUGCAUCUUCGAUCCACUUCCUACCAAUAUAGGAAGAUAGGAUCUGUUAUCUUUGAUUUACUUCACGCCUAUACAUGAAGACAAGAUCUGCUCUCUGCGAUCUACUUCGCCACCAAUAUGGGAAGACAAGAUCUGCAUCUUUGAUCCACUUCCUACCAAUAUAGGAAGAUAGGACCUAUUUACGCCUAGUGUUUAGGAUGACAUGAUCAGAAUGAAUCAAAUGCUCCUAACUAGAUGCGUAUGUAUUAUAUUUGUAGAAUGUCAUGAGAAUGAUCCAUUUUUAAUGCUUAGGUUGUCAUUCUUCAUUGUUCAUCAAGGUUCUAUCACUGAUGCCUUCUUGUUCAGCCAGUACCUUUGACAGAAAACCUAAAGAAAUAGACGCUAUUUAGACUAUCAUUUCUCAAAUGUUUCCAACCCUUAGGUUUGGUUAGUUCUAAACAAUAGUCCUGUUUCAGGUCAUCGUAUUAUUUAGAAACUUUCAGAGUAAUAUGCAGAACUCCUUCUGCAUGUGUAUUGUCAGUCCAUUAAUCGUUAUUUCAAUGAAAAAUGCUUGAAAAAGAUUAUCAAAAUGGACAAAAUGGAAUUUUGUUGAGAGCAAAGCUCUAAACAAACAAAUCAAGAUAGCAAAUUUGCUGAGAUACGAGAUGAAUAAGAUGAAAAAGAUUAUCACAACGGAUAAGAUGAAAAUUUGCUGAGAGCAAAGCUCUGAAUGAACAAAUUAAUCAAGAUAGCAAAUGUUGCUAGAAUACAAAACGAGAAUAAAUUAAUCAAGAUGAUGUAUUUUGUCAAAAAUACAGAAAAUGAAUAAAAUGGAAAUAAGUGCCCCAGAUAUCGUAGCAUGAGCUUCUCUGCCCCAAACUUCUUAAGGACCCUUUUGAACUUGAUAUGUGUUUAGAAGUCCUAGAAGGCUUUGUUGAUGCCCCAUCUUUGAUCGAAAACUACUUUAUGCCUCAUCCUUGAUCGAAAAUUUGAAUUGCCCGUUCCUGGGUUUUCAAUUCAAAACCCCUUUGGUCUCAAGGUGCCCUUUGCGGGUUUUCGCCUUGGCCUCUCCUCUUUUUUUUUUUUAGGCAAAGUACCUCUUCACUGAAUCCGAAUUCACAGGAUUGGGCAAGCUUUUGCCAUCCAUCCUAGUUAAAAUUAAUGCCCCUCCUGAAAAGGCCUUUUUUACUACAUAAGGUCCCUCCCAGUUUGACAUCCACUUUCCUCUGAAGUCUUUUUGUAUGGGAAGGAUCUUCUUCAGUACCAAGUCCCCUUCAUGGAAGUUUCUAGGACGAACUUUCUUAUUGUAAGCUCGCAUCAUUCGUUUCUGGUAUAUUUGACCAUGACGGAUAGCUCUUAACCUCCUUUCCUCAAUCAAGUUCAGCUGAUCAUAUCGGGAUUAGACCCAUUCUGCUUCGUCUAACUUUAGUUCUGAAAAAACUCAGAGGGAGGGAAUUUCAACCUCAAUUGGUAGCACUGCCUCCAUUCCAUAAACCAAAGAGAAUGGUGUUGCCCCGGUAGAAGUCUUGACGGACGUUCGAUAAGCAUAGAGGGCGAAUGGCAACUUCUCGUGCCAAUCUCUAUAGGUCUCAGUCAUUUUCCCCACAAUCAUUUUGAUAUUUUUAUUGGCUGCCUCCACCGCACCAUUCAUCUUUGGACGGUAUGGCGAUGAGUUGUGGUGCUUGAUAUUGAAUUGACUACAAACUUCUGCUAUCGUGCUAUUAUUCAAAUUUAAUGCGUUGUCAGAUAUAAUCCUUUCGGGCAUUCCAUACCGACAUAUGAUUUCCUUCUUUAAAAACUUGCUGACAGCUGCCUUUGUGACGUUGGUGUAAGAAGUAGCCCCUACCCACUUAGUAAAGUAGUCAAUCACUACAAAAAUGAAACGAUGUUCGUUUGAAGCCUUUGGCGAUAUCGGCCCAAUGACGUCCAUGCCCCACAUGGAGAAAGGCCAUGGGGAAGUCAUGACGUGAAGAGGUGAUAGAGGCAUAUGGAUUUUGUCUCCGUAAAUCUGGCAUUUAUGGCACUUCUUAGCAUAUUUGAUGCAGUCUCCUUCCAUGGUAGACCAAUAAUAUCCAAAUCUCAUGAUUUGUCUGGCCAUUGUGAAACCGUUAGCGUGUGUUCCACAAAUACCAUCAUGGACUUCUUCCAAGAUCUGUUUGGCCUCCAUAGCGUCCACACAUCUUAACAGCACCUGAUCUUUUCCUCUUUUGUACAGGAUCUCUCCAUCUAAGACGUAAUCACUGGCCAGCCUCCUCAACAUUCUCUUGUCAUUCUCAGUUGCUUGGUUUGGGUAUUCACGAUUUUUUACGUAUCGCAAUAUAUCCUGAUACCAAGGGUUUUCGUCCUUUUCUUCUUCUUCGUCAAUGUUACAACAGUGGGCUGGAGCAUCAUAAAUGCUCAUUUGGAUAGGCUUCACAUCCUCUGGUCUAUUUACUUUGAUAAUGGAAGCCAAUGUAGCUAAAGCGUCGGCCAUCUGAUUCUCGUCUCGUGGAAGAUAACAAAAAGUGAUGUCGUCAAACUCCUCAAUCAAUUCUAGGACUAUCCUUCGGUAACUAAUCAACUUAGGUUCUCUUGUUUCCCAUUCGCCUUUGAGCUGAUAAAUUACCAAUGCCGAAUCCCCAUAUACCUCAAGUACCUUGAUUUUGCGUUCUAUAGCCGCGCGGAUUCCCAUGAUACAUGCUUCAUAUUCCGUCAUGUUAUUUGUGCAAUCAAAAUCUAGUUUACUGGUGAAAGGAUAAUGAUCACCGUUUGGAGAUACCAAGACUGCCCCAAUCCCGUUGCCCAUGGCAUUUGAGGCUCCGUCAAAAUUUAAUUUCCAAGUAUUGCCUUCUUGUGUGCUUGCUUCAGUAGUUGCCACAUACAUCAGAUCCUCAUUUGGAAAAUCAAAGUUCAAAGGCUCAUAAUCGUCCAGGGCUCUACUUGCUAGAAAAUCUGCUAUCGCGCUCCCUUUUACAGCCUUUCGAUUCACAUAGGUUAUGUCAAAUUCAGAUAGUAGAAUUUACCAUCGGGCCAUCCUUCCGUUUAGAGCAGUUGACUCCAUCAUGUAUUUCAGAGGGUCUACCUUUGAGAUUAACCAAGUCGUAUGGUACAACAUGUAUUGUCUCAAUCUUCGAGUAGUCCAAACCAAUGCGCAACAUAAUUUUUCAAUUGGCGAAUACCUCGUUUCGCAUUCAGUGAACUUUUUACUGAGAUAAUAGAUCGCUCUUUCCUUUCGUCCUGACUCAUCAUGUUGGCCGAGCACGCACCCCAUGGAAUUCUCAAAUACUGCCAAGUAUAGUAUCAAUGGUUUGUCAGGGCAAGGUGGUAUCAGUACUGGGGCGUUGGACAAGUAAUGUUUAACUCUUUCGAAAGUUUUCUGGCACUCUUCAUCCCAUACACCUGGAUUGUGUUUCCUAAGAAGACGGAAUAUGGGGUCACAUUUCUCGGUUAAUUGUGAAAUGAAUCGAGCGAUGUAAUUUAGUCUUCCUAGGAAACCCCGAACUUCUUUUUGAGUACUUGGCGGAGGUAAUUCUUAUAUGGCCUUAACUUUGUCUGGGUCAAUUUCAAUUCCCUUUUCGCUGACUAAAAAUCCUAGCAAUUUUCCUGAUCUAGCCCCGAAAGUACACUUGGCUGGGUUAAGUUUUAGCUGGAACUUCCUUAACCUCAGAAACAGUUUUCUCAGAACUUGCACGUGUUCCCUUUCUGUUCUGGAUUUUGCGAUCAUGUCAUCAACAUAAACUUCUAUCUCUUUAUGCAUCAUAUCAUGGAAUAAUGCUACCAUGGCUCUCUGAUACGUUGCUCCCGCAUUUUUCAAUCCAAAAGGCAUCACUUUAUAACAAAACGUCCCCCACAUCGUUAUGAAUGUGGUCUUCUCCCUGUCUUCAGAAAGCAUCUUAAUUUGGUUGUACCCGGAGAAACCAUCCAUGAAAGAGAGCAGUGAGUAUCCGGCCGUGUUGUCUACCAAGGUAUCGAUAUGAGGAAGUGGGAAAUUAUCUUUUGGGCUGGCUUUGUUCAAGUCUCUGUAGUCCACACACAUUCGCACCUUCCCAUCUUUCUUAGGAACAGGGACUAUAUUGGCUACCCAUUCUGAGUACUUGACCACCUGUAAGAAACCAGCAUCAAAUUGCUUCUUAACUUCUUACUUUAUUUUUAGCAAGACAUCAGGCCUCAUCCUUCGGAGCUUUUGUUGGACUGGUUUGCAUUCUUCCUUUAUAGGCAAUCGGUGUACCACGAUAUCAGUACUUAACCCUGGCAUAUCUUGGUAGGACCACGCGAAGACAUCUUUAAACUCUUGAAGCAACUCAACAAGGUCUUGCCUUGUUUCCUUGGCAAUGCAAGCGCCAAUUUUUACCUCUCUGCUCUCUUCUAAGGUCACAACUUCUACUGAUUCCUUAUAGGGUAUAAUUUGUUUUUCUUCUUCUUUCAUCAUUCUUAACAAAUUCGGAGAUAAAACGCUGUCUUGGUCACCUUUAAAAUCUUGAGGAUCAUCUAUACUCAUGUCUUGCUCAAAUAGAGACUCUGAAUUAGUAACAGAGUCGCUCAUCUCGUUGAUAUUUGAAGACCUGUUAUUGGAACAAAUGGAGGCCCAAAUAAAAGGAUCUAAGAAUACUUGUAUGCAUAUUAUGAUUAUAAAGGGAAUGAAAAGAAUGAAAGAAUACUUGCUCAAGAUGAAACUGAAUGAUAAGUUUUCACUGAAAUUAGAUUUUGAACAUGUGCAUUUUACAAAAGAUUCUUAUCACCCCCAGGCUUAGGGCAACAAGUGUUCUGAAUAUUACUCUGAAUUAGUUCUAAAUGUUACAGGGAUCUCUUCUGCAGUCCAGUUAUUCGGAACACUUCCAGGUUCGUAAGGACGAAUGCCCGAUAAAUUCCUUUCCACCCUUUCUUCCGCGGAUAUGGCAUUGAUGUCCAACCUCUCAAUCCUUCCUUCUGUAACCUCAUCCUUCUCUUCAGGGUGGACAAUUCCCCCUGAAACAAAAGUCUUAGAUAUAUGAGGAAAGGUUAUCGGUCCCCACUUGGCUUCUAUCCCGCCCAAAUGUGCUCUUCUCCUUUCUUGUCUUUUCUCCAUCUCCUUCCUCCUUUCCCUCGCAAUAGGCUUAUAUCCCAAACCAUAACGGUCCUGUUUGUUAACUAGGAUCGGUACUCCGACCCUUCCCUGGAGGUAUUUUCCAAAUCCUCUUCCAGGCAAUGCUCCCUUUCCCACCGUUAAGUUCAUUGACGUAGCUUUGGAUAUCUUAGGCUCUGGGAUUUUGCUCAUCUCAAUGACAAAUAUGGCAUUUACGAAUUCCAAUGAUCGGAAUGAACAUUCUAUCGCUUCACUAUCAGCCUCUAUGUAUGGCAUAUCAUCGGUGACUGAUGCAAUGAUGUCUUCUUCUGCACCUAUAGUCACCAAUCUACCCUCUACCACCAAUUUUAACUUUUGGUGAAGUGACGAUGGUACAGCCCCUGCAGAAUGGAUCCAAGGCCUCCCUAAUAGGCAAUUGUAAGAUGGUUUAAUAUCCAUUACCAAAAAGUCUACCUCGUAUGUAUUUGGACCAAUCAAUAGAGGUAUCUCGAUUCUUCCCAUCACUUUUCUCUCAGUGCCAUCAAAUGCUCUCACUAUAUUUUGGCAUAAUUUCAUGUGAGAACUAUCCACAGGUAGCCUGUUUAAUGUGGACAGGGGUAAAACAUUCAGGGCCGAUCCAUUGUCAACGAGUACCGCCGGUAGUAUACACCCCUUGCAACGGGCAGUGAUGUGCAAGGCCUUGGUAGAUCCCAUACCGCCUGGCGAGAUCUCAUCAUCGUUGAAGAAGAUGAAGUUAUCGGCAUUUAUAUUGUUAACCAGGCAAUCCAAUUUGUCCACUGAGAUAUCUUUAGCGACAUAAGUUUCAUUUAGCACUUUUACUAACGUAUUACGAUGUAUCUCUGAACUUAGAAGUAACUCGAGCACUGAGAUGCGAGCCGGUUACUUAUGCAGUUGUUCCACCACGCUAUACUCGCUAUGCUUCAAGAAUUUUAAGAAUUCUCUAGCCUCAUUUUCAGUCACCGGUGUAUUAAUAUGCGGUUCAAUUCCGGUCUUCGUUUUAUCUUGUUCAACCGCCAAGGCUUUUCCUUUUAUAGGCCCCCUUUUUGUAUUUCCCGGGUCGCAACGUUUUCCACUACGCGUAUAAAAGCCUGUGUCAUUACCCUCUUCUGAAGCAUUUAUCGGGUUCUCCUCUCCCGUGAUCAUCACAUUGCAGUCAUAAUUCUAAGGAACCUUUUUACUAUCCUUGUAAGGAAAGGCUACAGGUUUUUGGAUUAUGACCCUUGGCGCCAGUUGUAUUCCAGAUCCUGUGCUUGUUGGCCUUGAAAUAAUCACCACCGGGUGAUUUUGGGCCUUUCUCGUAGGCCCCUCCUCUGAGGCAUAAACUUCUCCUUUCUCAAGUCCUUUGAUCUCUUCAUAAAAUUCUAACUCUUUGUUGUUCAUCAGAUUUUGUAACAUGGCCUUGAAAUCAGUGCAAUUUUGAAUGUCAUGGUCUUCUUCAGCAUGAAACUCGCAGUACGUCUUCGUUCCUUCGGGCCUUUCUUUUGAAUCUUGUUUGAUGAGACCUCCUUCUAUCAUUUGUCUCCAAACCCAACUCAAUGGGGUUUUUAUCUCUGCAAUGUCGGUUUUGAUUCUCUUUCUCCCACCUUCGAUUAUUGCGUUUACCCCUUUAUCAGCAUGAUCGGGUAACGGAUUCGCUGCUACAUUUGGUCCUAAUGGGUUGUCAAACUUCACAAUCCCCAUCUUAAUGAACCUUUCCACCGCCUUUUUAAACCCAGUGCAGUUCUCAAUUGAGUGCCCCGGUAUCCCUGCAUGGUAUUCACAUUGGGCAUUCGCGUCAUACCAUUUGGGAUACGGAGGUUGCAUGGGCUCUAGAUAAAAUGGAGAUACUAUGUGUGCAUCAAAUAACUUCUGAUACAGUUCCCCGUAUGUUAUUGGAAUGGGCGUGAAUUAAAGUCUCUCUGUGUUAGUCCUUGUGUUAGGCCUCGUGUUGGGUUCCUGCCUUGAGGGGGCUUGGUGACUAGUGGUUAUCAUUUUUGGAGGGCCAACAGUAAUCAGUUUUGAAUGGCUCUUGCUAUAUGUGCAUACGUUGUUUACUUCGCCCUCUUUUUUUCUUCGGGCUGGUCUUUUGAAGUUUUCCCCAGUGUCAAUUUUACCGCUCCUUACCGCGUUCUCAAUCAUUUCACCAGACAUUACCAUAUCCGAGAAACUCUUGGUAGCACUCCCCAACAUGUGGUUGAUGAACAGGGCUUUCAAAGUGUUGAUAAACAACAUGGUGACCUCUUUUUCCAAAAGGGGUGGCUGGACUUGUGUUGCCACUUCUCUCCAUCGUUGGGCGUAUUGCCUGAAAUUCUCGCUAGGCUUUUUUUCCAUGUUUUGUAACGUAAUUCGAUCGGGUGUUAUAUCCAUUACAUGACUGUAUUGCUUCAUAAAAGCUUGCGCCAAGUCUCUCCAUGAACUAACUUUAGCACGACUCAGUUGGUUGUACCAUUUGGCUGCAGAUCCGAUCAAACUGUCCUGGAAGCAGUGGAUUAACAGCUGAUCAUUGUUGACGUAUCCUGUCAUUCUUCGACAGAACAUAGUUAUAUGAGCUUCAGGACAACUAGUCCCAUUAUAUUUUUCGAAUUCUGACAUUUUGAACUUAGGUGGGAGUACUAAACCAGGGACCAAACUCAGAUCAUUGACGUCAACCCCGCGAUGACAGUCGAUGUUCUCCAUGGCUCUAAAUUUUUCCUCUAACCAUCUACAUCGGUCCUCCAGUUGUUUUGGCAGGUUCAUUCUUGUUUUUUCUGUUUCUGCCACGUCAUCGAGGUCCGGGACCACCAGAUUAGUGGGAUUAUCCCCGGGAUUAAAACCCGAGCCCAUUUGAAAAUGCACUGGUACCGAGGUACCAGCCAGAUAUUGAGGUCCUAUGGUAACUGGUACCCUCUGUGGGUACACCUCUGGUUGUGCUUGGAUGUUAGUUGGGGUGAAACCUGGAGGAUAAACAGGGUCAUCGUGAUCCUCCCCAGCAUCAAUUACGGGGUCUUUUCCUUUGUUAUUCCCUCCAGCCAAUAACUGCUUUAAUUGGUUCAUCACGGUGUUCUGGGAUUCUAACAUGUCCUGCUGGAUUUUUUCCAGUCGUUCAUGCAUCUGAUCUUGCAUCUCUCGUUGCAACUGUUCCAAUCUUUCCAACCUUUGAUCCAUUGCUUUUGUUUGGCGACGAGUACCGUAGUGAUAUUUGAUUAGAUUUUUGUUGGUUUCCAGGGUAACUGUCAUAAUUUAAUUUUAUUAGGGUCAUUUUAUGAGAUGUAAUGCAAAUGUAUGAGAUGAAUGCAAAAAAAAGAGGCAUUGAUUCGAAUUCAAUUUCAUUAGAAAACUCAACUAGAAAGCAAAUUUCUUUACAUAAAAUAAAUUACAUAUACGGCUUCGCCUUUAUACCCAAAGCCUUAACCUUCCUAAGAAGCCAACUAAAUCUCGACCUCGGCUUGAUUCUGACUCAUAUUUUAAACUCAAUACAUCGGCCUGAAUUGCUAAUGUUUGCAGAUGAUCAGCCACUUCCCGCACUUGAGUCACAGCUUCGCCCAUAACGUAAUCUCUAUCUCUAAUCUGACUUUGAGAAUGAUGGAAUUGCUCUUGCCAUUGAUCAUUACUCCUCUCAAGAAGCUCCAUUCGUAGCUCAGAAUUGUGUAAUGCGUCCUCAAGCUCCUCUACCUUUCCUUUCAGUUCUUCGAUCUUAUUUAAGCUUGCUCUUAAUUCGAUCAUGGAGUUGCGACUACGGUACGAGUGAAGUGACUUUUCUAGCUCUGCCACCUUGGCCUUUAAUCCUGCCUUCUCAUUUCGGCACUCUAACAAACUCCUUUCCAAAGCGUUUUCUCGAGCUCAAGCAUCUUGAAAUUUCUUUUCCCACUGAUCGGCCCUAUUCUUUUCCUCAUUGAUCUCUUGUCGCCAUUGCUCUGACGUUUUACCCAGACCGACAGUUCUCAUUGACAAUCGCAGCUUCUUGUAAUCUAUUUUUAGACUAUCCAAAUCCUCUUCAGCCUUGUUCUUUCCCUUCUUUAAUUUCUCGGCUUCUAGCUUGUGGAUAUCGAUGUCUAAUCCCAAAUGCACUCUUUCUUCUUCUAGCUGUUCUAUCCUCUUUCCCAACUCAGAAUUUCUUUUCUCAAAGUCUCGUUUGAUGAUCUCUAAUUCUGACGGAACUACUUGUAGAUGCUCCUCUAUAGACUGAACGCAAUCUUCCCUCGGCUUAGGGAUGUUGUCAUUGACUCUUUUACUCCACCACCCAUAAUAUUCUGAAGUUGUCAUCGCUCCUACGGUAAAUCUUUUCAUUCGGUGAACCUGUUUCCAAGCGUUAGAUAUUUCUCGAGUUUUUCUCUUGUAGUUUUCAUCCUUAUAAGAAAACUCACAUUGAGCCAGCCCUUGUGUUGCUGGUAUGAACUGUCUCGAUCUAUAUUGUCUUAAUACGAGUAAAGGGGCAUAACCGACAGCUCCCCAAAUUUCGAGUAAAGGGACCCAGUCGAAAUCCCCACAUCGAUACAGGAUCUCGUCGGGUACCAUCCAAGGAGCUUUCCAUUCAACGUCAUCCUCCUGAAGAUUUUGGAGAAUCGUCAUCCACUUCUCUUCCGUGAUGUCGUCUCGUCUUGGUGUAGCAACUUGUUCCUUCAAUGGGGAAUAGUCUUCUGAGAAGACUCGAUAGGAGACAUUUUCCACCUUCCAAAAGUGACUAUGGAACCACACUAAUAGUAGCUGUGCGCAUCCGAUGAACCUUCCCUCCCCUGCUCUUCGACAUGCACUUAGAAAUCUGAAGGUUUCUGCUAAGAUUGCCGGGAUGGGCGUGACUCCUUUACUAAGCCGAUCGAACAAAUCAGAGACGGCCUCAUCUACGUGCCCUAAAGCUCUAGGGAAAAUUACCAAUCCAUAGAUACCUAGAGCGAAGACAUCCACUCUUUUCUUCACAUCAGGGUGUGCUAAUACUAAAUCUCGCAAGCUUUUCCAAGGAACGCAUUUACUGUCUCCUUUCUGUUGGAUUCGGGCAGCGACCCACUGUUCGCUCAUCCCUGUAAUGCUCAUCAAUUUUUUUAAUAAUGUCGGGACACUAGCAGCUCUAGAAUAGGCCUUGUCAAUUUGAAUCUUUGGACACCGAAGCAAGGUCGUAUAUUCUUCCAUGGUGGGCACCAAGUCCACUUUUCCAAAAGUGAAACAACUGUAAGCAGGAUUCUAAAACUGGGCUAGGGCUCGGAAUAAAUGCUUGUCCACUUUGACACCAAGUAGGUAAGGCAAGUCCCCGUAGUCACAGUAAAACAUCUGCUUGGUCCCAUCGUCCCAUUGAUCCCAUAUUUCCUUCAUUUCUCGAAGAUCAUUUUGGAUUACGCUGAUACGGGUGAAGUCCCAUAACUCUGAUACGUACCCUUCUGCAAGACUAUCGCCUUUCUCUCUCCACAUCGUCUCAGCCCACACUCGUACAGCUGCAUUGUCUUCUACUUUAUCAAGAAACCUCUUUUCCAUGAUAAGCUUUCUAUCUAUACUGAACGUGAAUCGACACCUUUUGAAAUGAAAAUGCCAUGCAAUCAUAAACAAAGCAAAUCAGAGCUAGGAUUUAAAGUAAACAAUAAUAAAUAAAGCAUCUAUUCGGUAAGCGCUAGGGUUUGGAAUAGCUCUAUCUCGGUGGGUUCUUACGGCUCGCUAUAUGUGGUUUAGUUCUAAAGUAAGGGUACCUGAACCAGCAGAUUCCUCGAUCCUCACCCAUUAUAGGCUCAUGGACCGAGUUCAGUUCAGGGGAAUACAUUUCCCUAUGGCCAUGCGGAGAUGAAAAUCUCACGAAGACAUAGGUACGGAUGUAUCCCGGAAGCGAUUCACUAUCCCAUGCGGAGGUGAAAACCUCACGAAGGCGUAGUUUCUCACUCCCACUUAAAAAGGUAUGACCAGCGAUCAUGCAAUUCAAUGUGCAGAGGUAUAAAAUAAAAUACAGAACACGAUAAAAAAUAUAACUCAAAACAAAAGAGAUGCAAUGAAAGGAUCGUAAAUUUAAAUCAAAUUUUCCACUUUCAACAAAAAGACAAGAAAUAAUCAACACGUGGCUUGACUCUCUUUCGUUCCCCAGUGGAGUCGCCAAGCUGUUGACACCAUUUUUUUGAUGAAAACGGGGUCGACUUGGAUUUUGAAAAAAGAAUGAAAACGGGAGUCGCCACCAAUCCUUUUUGACGAGGUGUGAUCGGGUCACCUCAAAAUGUGGUUGUUUUUAAUAAAUGAUUUAAUUUUAUUAAAACAACGAUUUUGGUCUACGAAAUUCAGAAAAAUGAGUUCGGGAGUCGGUUACGCACGAGGAAGGAUUAGCACCCUCGAUACGCCCAAAAUUGGUACCUAGUUGAUUAAUUAGUGUCUUAGUGUCGAAAAUUGAAAAUUUGAAGAGUUUUAAAAAUACGAUCCUUAAAAGAAAUUCUGAUAACGUGAAUUGAAAUAUAAGAUUCUCUUGUUCCGAAGGAAUAUCACAUCCAGCACGUUAGGACACGAUACUCUAAACCAUCGAAACCAAGAUCAUCUUAUAGUUUAAUGAAACCACACUUUGAAGCUUUAAGAGGAUAUUUGGCUAUUUAGUCGAACGAGAAAUCGAAACCCAGCACGUUAGGGCACGUUUUCUCGAUUUUCCAAACGCGAAAUAUCGCCUUAUUUAGAAAAAUUUUCCUUUUGAUGUUUGGUGUUAAUGCUUGACAAAACAAUAACGAAUACGACAAGGUGAGCAAAGUAAAGUGAGUAACAACAAUACAAUAGGCAAAAUGAAAUGACGAGGCGAUUACAUAAACAAAGCAUACAAAUAAAUAAAUAGAACUAACAUUUAAAAAAAAGCAUAAGUGUACACGAAUAAAUAAACAAACACCAAAUAACAAUGAUGACAAUAAAUACAAUUAUGUAAAAAUGUAUAUACAUGUAUAAUUUUAAGCCAUGAAAUAAGAAACGCAUAUAAAUUAUAGAAUAUGAAAACAUAGAUAAAUAUAUACAUAUGUGUAAAAAAUAAUAUUAUAAAAAGGGUACGUAUAUAUGUAUAAAAAAUAAAUGUAUUAACAAUGAAUAUAAUAAGGGUAAGAAAACAAGUAUAUACACAAUAUAUAUGUAACGUAGGUACUAAGGAUAUAUAUAUACAAUACAGUAUUUAAAAUAAUAUUUACGUAAUAUAAAAUAUAAUAUUAAAAGGUAUAUGUACAUACGUAAUAUAUAAAUACAUAUAUAAUAUAAUGUUAAAAUAUUUACAUAAUACUAAAAUAUUUAGGUAAUAUAUGCGUAUAUUGAAAACUAGUAAUAAUAUUACCGAGGUAUAUACAAAUAUAUCAAGUAUAUACACGUAUUAUAAAUAUAUAAAUAUAUGACAAAGCAUAAACUAAUAAAAAUAAUAAGAAUAAUAAUAAUGAUAACAUUGGAAUAUAAAAGAAACAAACAUAACAUUAAUAAAAUAUUAAAAUAAAGUGAAAUAAAAAUAUUAAAUAUGAGAAUAUAUAUAGGUAUACACGUACAUAAUAAAAAUAUAUACUAAUACAUAAUAAUAAUAAUGGUAAUACUAAUAAUACUAAUAAUAUAAAAAUAACAAGGAUAUUUAAUAAAGAUAUAAAAAUCAACAAAAAAGGACUAAAAUUGAAUUGAAAGCAAAGUUGUGGGGCCAAUUUGAAAUGAAAACAAAGAAAAAGGACUUAAUUGUAACACGCAUGCAACUUGGAGGGUCAAAAGUGCAAUAAACCCAAGUAUUAAAAACGCUGCGCAGCGUGGGGGACCAGAAUGAAUUCGGGGCAACACCAUGGAGCCAAAUUAAAAAUAAAAAAACCUUGAUUGUAAACUCCCAGAAAGGCGGAAGGGCUAAAAGUGCAAUUAGCCCUUCCAAAGAAAAAAACACGCGGAUCUUCCUUGGUGCAGGUCGGGUCGACCCGACCCGUGUUCAAAACGACGUCGUUUCAUUUAUUUAAACCGGGGGUCCAAAACGGUGCGUUUUGACCCCCUAUAAAAGUCAAAAAAACUUCAAAAAAAAAUCAUUUGUAACGCUGAGGGAAAAAAAAGAAAAGGGAGAGAGGAGAGGGGAGCCCGGAGCGAUUUCCGGCCAAGGGAGGGGUCACCGGACGGCCACCGGAGGCUCGCCGGCGUCAGCGCCGGCCACCGCACGCCGUGGCCGGAAAGGUAAAAUUUUUUAUAUUUUUUUUAUAUUUUUUUGUUAUUUAUUCUUGGUCUUAGAAUGUAUAGAUUUUAGGUUUAUAUUAAUAAAAAAGGUAUAGAUAUGUAUAUAGAAAUCGAAAGAAAAUGGAUGAAAACAAAAAGGUAACCUUUUCCGUUUGCCUUUUCUUUUUCCCGAAUGCUUGCUAUCUCAGUACUGAGAUCUAUGUAUUUUUUUUAAAAUUCUAGCUUCUGUUUUUUUGUAUUAAAAUGCCAAAAAACAAACAAAAAGAAGAAAGAAAAAAAACCCCUGACACAAUUUUUUAUUCGGGUUUUUAUAACCCAUUUUCAUCUAAUUUCCUAUUGUUUCUGUUUUGUCUCUUUGCAUGGGAUGGGCACGAUGGAGGUGACAGAGGCAUGGUGGUACAGAGGAGCAGGUGGCCGACAUGGUGGCAUGGAGAGCUGGGCGUGGCAGACGAGGAGGCCACGCGAGGCAUGCAGCGCUAGGGCUUGGGGGGCAUCUUUCUGCCGAAAAUGUUAAUGUUGUCUGGGCUGGGUUUUUGAUUUUUGUUUCGGGCCAUGGGCUACAUUGGGCUUGUUAUUUUCCUUUGUAAUUGGACUGUUGUUUAUCUUGUUUUAAUAUUCGGGCCUGGGCAUAAAAUUGGGCCUUACAAUAGUCUUAAGUGUCUAUCACAAGAACCUAGAUAUUGUAAAUCCAAUAUCUUCCAAACAAUUCAACCAUGAUAUUAAUGAUGAUGGAAGCAAGAUUAUCCACUAUCAAUGACAUAAAAUGAGCUGUAAAUGCUGACGAACAAACAUGCACUGUUUUUCCAACCUGUGGAUUGAAGAGCAUUGACAAGCUAACUUUGCAGACCAUUUGAAUCCAAUACUAUACAUAAAAAUGCCAAAGGAGAAUAAUUCAUCUUGGAAAAAGAAUUACUAAUAUGCAAAAGCUUACCUUGUUUAACAAGAACACAGCAUAUGCUGCUCUUGUCGUGUCUUGACCUUCUAAAAACAGCGGAAAUUCUGCCAGCUUUACAUUUGCUGAAAGUGUUGUAUCCAAUGACAAAUCAGAAGAUGCAGGGUCUAUUGAAGACGCAUGGUCAUUAAUAUAUGAGCGAGAACCACCCAAGCGCAGAGGAUAACGCAAGGGAACUUGUAAAUAGGAUGCAAUUAGUGAAACAGCCUGCAAAUGAUGAAAUAACAGGAAACAAGAAACAAUAAUAGGUAUGAUUAAAAUUAUAGCCUCAGCAUGAGAAACAAGCAAUCAAGAUGCAGCCCACUAUACCAUAUUACCAUCCUAGCAAUUAAAAAUUACUACAGCAUCUUCAAGCAACAAGGGAUUGUAGGUGGUAGGUCAAAAAACUUGAUAUCCACAGCUUGAUAUUAUCAGAAAAAACAAAUUCAGUAAUAAAUGAUAACUUCACAGAAGAAAUAGAACGCACAUGUGCAACAUAUCCCAAGGCAGUUGCAGAUCUCUGAACCUCCUUUUUGUCAGUGAAAAAACUCAUCUUUGUAAAAGGAAGCAAGGUGAGAUUCAGACCUAAAAUUGUCAACGAUCCUUGAUUGACGGGCUUUGAUGCAGAAGGAUUCCCUAGUGAAGACAGGAACAAAGGAACUUCAUAUCAAUACAUCACCAGACACCACCUCUUUGUGAAAGUCAAAACAAAAUUCAAAAAAAUAUAAUCAUGAAAGUAAGAGAUAUGUAAAAAGUUCAUAAUAUUCAAGAGCAAAAAAAAAUUGUUUUGAUAUGAGGAGAAUUGAAUAGUAGAUUGCUAAAAGAGGAAUAACUGAAUACAGCCAUCAUAACCAAAAGAAGAGUCAAGUGAUAGGUAAUGGUACUCCCUAAGCUGUUUAGGAAUCAUAAAAGACUUGUCCAGUUGACAAAAAUAACUCAUUUUAUUCUCCCCUAGUAAAACAUCAUAUUGGACCAACCAUAUUUGAUAUCAAAGGAUAUGGAUAUCCAGGCAUGCCAUUUAUAGAUAUUCCCAGUGUUGCAAGAAGGAAUUGUUCAAGAGAAAGAAGCUGCUAUUGUUGGUAAAGUUUUCCUCAAACCAUUUUGAACAUCCAAAAUCUCAAGAACAAAAAAGAAAACGUAGGAGGAAAUAUAACAAGCAUCACAACGGGUUCUCGAUGAUAUAAGUGAGAGGAUAAAUGUUAAUUAAGAUUAUAAAAAUAAACCACAAACUAAACAGGAAAGACAUGGAUUUCAAAACGAGGAGACUGGCUGCUAAUUAAAACCAUAUGCGGUGUUGUCUAGGGCGCAAGGCGCAUUCUAGGUGCUAACCUUUAUAUUGCCUCAAGCACAAGGCACAAAAGGAAGCGCUAGCCUGAGUGCAGUAAAGCGCAAUACAUAUAUGUGAGAGUUUUUGCAAGUCUGUGUGUCUACAACAUAAAAGUUUUAAGAUAUAUAGUAAACUCUAAAGUGUGGUCUGGUUUAUCCACAAAACUUGCAAAAUUUUUAUAGGUGAAUGCUCAAAUAUUGAGAAUUAUAGAGUUUGAUAUUAUCCCUUUCUUAUUAGUAAAGGUGUAUCAAAUGAAAACAGUAAAAAAUAAAAUAAAAUAUUGAGAAAUUCAACAAGGCAGGCUUUUUCUAAUGCCCAUUGCCUUACAAAAAAAGUGUGCCUAGGUGCACCAGGCAUACGCUUGAUCAAAUGGACCUCACCUGGAAGGGUCCAAGGCGUUUGGUUGUAUAAAACUAAGGCGUAGGCAUGCCUAGGCGCAUGCCUUGACGACACUGACCAUAUGUUGGCUUUAUUGCAAAGCAUUAGCAAUCCAAAACUACUAGCACAUUACCUAAUCUACUACUGCUAGAAUAGGACUCAAGUUCUUGCUCCUGUGCAGGUCCAACCAAGAUCUUUACAGGAUACAAUAAUGAAACUUGUGAUAUCAUAUAUUGUUGCCUUGCUCGAAGCUUCCUUUGCACAUUUUUAAGUUUAACACAACCCCUUUCUUCAGUGAGUAAUCUAUUUGCUUCCUGUGAUAAAAACAACAUAUAAUCAAUCAUGCCACGCAUGCAAGACUACCAACCAACUAUCUAACAAAAGAUACAAAGAAGUAGGAGAGCAAGAAGGGGAUAACCCUUGACUAUGCAAAGGAAUUCAUAGAAUGAGAAUCAUCUCAUCUAAGCCCCUCAACCACCUUCACAGGGGGUGGAGGUGCAAAGAGAGAGGUCUUAUUGAUCCGAGAGGAGAAUAUAUAACAUCUAAAGCUGAAUAAGAAGAAACCUUGAAAUAUAUCAUAAAUUCAGAAUUCAUGAUAAUAUAAAAAUGAAAUUCCAAAGCUAAUUUAAGCUAGAAUAAAAAUGCUUCACCUGUAAUCACUUCCUUGCUACAGAAAGAGAGGUACCAGCAACCAACAAUGAUCUUACUUCAGUACUAAGCAUUUCCUCCUGUUUUUUAGCAUCCUCUGUUGCAACUUUGCAAUGAGUUGACAUGUUUGCCAUAACUACUUUCCUUGCCUCGAGUCUCUCACGCAUUUCCUCAAGCUCGUUCAGUUUAUUCAAAGACUCAUUUUUUACCUGCACAGCAUGUUCCCACCCAUUAAUCAGUGGGCCAAUUAAUUAGGUCACAGAAGACAAAACUAAAUUAUCACUCACCAGGUCCCCUUGAAGUGUCAUAUGGCUUUAACAAUUCAACGUGCAAUAUCUAGUAAAAGUAAAAUAAACAUAGAAGAAUGCAAAUGCAAUUCUUAAACGCCUUUAAAUGGACAACAUGAAACACUUUAAGAGCCCUAUAAAACAGAAAACUGGAAAAAAAAUCUGAAAAGGAAAAAAAAAUGAAUUGAAACAAUAAAUCCAUCUGGUACAAACAGCAACAAAUCUCGAAAUAAGCUUUGGCUUUAGCCCAUUAAAGCCCGGGCAUCCGGCCAAAUAAACAGUGACUGCCAUGUCAACUUUUUGAGACGGUAGAAAAGAGCUCAAAAAUCUCAAUUUCCAAAAAUAAGGACAUAAGAAGGAAAACAAUUUACUUAUUCUUACAGUAGAAGAGCAAAAUGAAACUAAAUGAAGGAUAAGGGAACUGAUGCGAAUUGACAUUGUUAUUUUUGGGACUAAAAAGAAUACGCAGAUUGAAUAUUUAAGAUUUUGUAAGGGAAAAGUUCCAUUCACCGACACAAUUAUCAUCGCCCUUUAUCCCAGUAAAGCUUAAUUGACAAUUUUUCUGUCUCGUGUUCUUGCUAAAGCAUUUGAGCAACCCAACAGAAAUCAUUAUAUUUCAAACUGAAAUGAUUGGCUUUAACAAUUUCACAACCUAUACCGCCCAACCUAGUAAGUAAUUUAGGUGCAGACACCAGAAAUCUAUUUUCUUUGCACUCUACAACUAAAUAGCAUACCACUUAUCAAUCAAACACAGCUGAAAACUUCAGUGAGGGAACAUUAUGUAAAAUGAAAAAACUAUAACUUCAACUUGAUUCAUAGCUCGGCAAGUUCAGGGAAUUGGGACUUCUACCACGAUGAUCCAGUUCAAUGUGAAACAGUGAUCCAUAUCAUGCAUAUCGGUUCCCGGAACAAGAGGUAAAACCAGCAAAUUAGGUAAACAAUAAUCCUACUAUAUUUCAGAAUAGCAACAUUGAGCAUGAAAGCUAAAAUUAUAGCAUAUUACGGGUCCUUGCUCUCUACAACUACAUAUAAAAUUAGUAAACAAUAUUACUACAUUAAGGAUCCAGAAAAACUUUGUUUCAAUUGUUGAUCACUUGAUCCAACUAUUUUAGAAAGUUUAUUCUUCUUUUUCCUUUCCCUUAUUUUCUAAAUCAGGAAAAACAGUAGCAUAUAAAUUGGAUUACUACUCCAAGUUUCUGAAAUUUCAACAAUAUCCCUUUUACCUUUUCACUCAAGUCAUUACCCCCCAAUUAACAAAUAUAUUCCCAGUUUCCCUUUCCCUUCAAACACCCCUUUUUUUUUCCUCUACCCAAAUUCAGCUUAUGUUCAAAAACCCAAAAUUGGUUUGCUAAAAUAACAUAAUUUUCAAACACAAAGAUAACCUAAUUUUAAUCAGAAAAAAAAAGCAUUACCUGAAUUAGUGACUGGAGUUUCUCUUGAAGACUUUGUUUCUUCUCAUUAGCUUCCUUAAGGGCAGAAGUUAAACUCCACAAUCUAGCUAGCUCGUUGUCGAAAUCUUCCCAUUCAAUUAGUUGCACAUUUUCAUGUGCAGCAUUGAUUUUCUUCGGGUCGGUAAUUAGGGUUUUGACUCGGGCUUGUUCUCGAUUUUCCAUGAAAUAAUUGAAGAGGAAAGCUUUCGAUUCUGUAAGUUUAAAAAGGGAUCAUAGAUCGACCUCAUGGUACUGGAUCUCGCCCGGUUAGAGUGUUCUUUUUCACGCCGAUCGAAUCAUUUUCUCGGGAAACUUUGCUAGCUAGGGGUAAUUUUCUCGGGAAAAUGGAGGGAAAAACAGAUUCGGGAGUUUUUAUUUGGGGGAGUCUAAGGUAUAACGGAGAAUGACAGGUGGCGGUUAACGGAGGAAUCUCACGAUUCAUGUCAUUUUCACUUUUUCGAUUUAGAAAUUGCUUAAAUACUUUUAAAAAUAGAUAAUAAGAUAAACUUUCUUUUUGAAUAAGAUAAAACUUUCAUUGAAAAUAAAUAAAUAAAUUAAAAAAUAUUUGAUGAUUUUUAAGUUGGUAAUUUUUUUUUAUAAAAAUUUGGUAACUUCUUUGAAAGUUGAUAUAAAAUGUAUCACGACCCGACUUGAGAUUUAAUUUGUCCUCGUCAGAAGUCCGACCCAAACAAGGGAAUAUGACUUGCCACUCACCAAUUUUUUAACCUUCCAACUUGCCAGCUUUAUGGAGUAACUCGGCACCUUGCGACACUACCUAACAUACCGUGAGAUUUAAGUACAAAUAUCUCUAAGGGUAUGUGUCAAGCUUAAGAGAAAUAACAUAUUAUUAUACAUAUUAUUUAGUUACCCCUAACAUGUCACGUCAAAAAAUCAUACUAUAAAAAAUAGUCCUCACAAGAUAGGAUAGAAAAAAAAAGUCAUCAACAAAAGUAAUUAAGUAACCUUUUUAUAAAACAAAAAGAUUUAUUUUAUUUUGAAAUAAAUUAAUUCUCUAACUUAUAUAAGAAAUUAAGUAAAAUCUUUUUAAAUAAUAAGACAUAAUUUCUCGAAAAAAAAUAAUCAAAUGAGAGCUAAUCAAAAUAAUUUAUUUUUUUAGGCCAAACAAUUUUACUUCAACUAUUUAUAAACACUUUUUAAUCAAUUUUAUUUUAACUCCCAUUAUAAAUUUUAUAAAAAGGAUAAUAUAUUAAAAAUACCCUUAAAUUAUUAGAUUUUGUAUAAAUAAACUCUUAUUUUUUUUAGUUAAAUAAACUCCUAAAUUAUUAAUUUAGUCAUGAAAAUGUUGAUAUAAAAGUAUGAGAAUAAUUUAUUAAAUAAAAAAUUAAUUAUUUUAAAAUAUUUAAAAUAUUUAUAUACAUAAUAAACUUAAUUAAAUUCUCUAGAAAAAAAAUUUAUAUUCUUUUAAAUUUUAUGUUGAUAUAUUAUUUCUAUUUGUCUAAUAAAGUGCAUAACGAGGCAAUAACUAUUUUUUAUGUAUAAAUUAAACAAUACUACAACUUCCGAAGUUAAUAAGAUUAUAUCUAUACUCACCAUCACAAUUAGAGACAGGGGUGAGUAUUCGAUCGAAUUGAGUUAAAAAAUUUUGAAUUAGUCGAGUUAACAAAUCUUAUUUUAGCAAUCGAAAUCAAUUUAAAUUUUUUUAAAUCAAAUCGAAUCGAGUCAAAAAAUUUCAAGUCGAAUUAACGAAUCCUAUUAUUUAUACUCAAUAUUGCGUUUAUAUGGGCUGAUUAUUUAACUGGUAGACGAAGUACAAGAUUAUUUAACUAUAUAAACAAUAUAAUGGUUUUGCAUUGUAACUUAAUAGGUAAACAUUUAUCAAAACGAAAUAAUUUUACCUUUUAAGUUAAUGGUUUUGACUUUUAACUUUUAACUUUAAAAAAUAUAAACAUUUAUCAAUACGACGUAAAUUUACAUUUUCGUAUUCGGAUUUUCGAAUAACUCGAAACGUGUAAUUCAUAUUCGAGUUAAACUAAAAAUUUUAAUUUUUUUAUUUGAGUUAAUCUGAAUAACUUGAUUAAAUCGAAUAACUCGAAUUGUUUAAUUUGAAAUUUGAUUUUUUUAUCGAAUUUUUCAAAUCAAAUCAAAAUUUACUCACCCUUAAUUAGUCAUCAUAACUAAAUUAAAGUUGCCCCAUUAUGCAAUUGCAAGUCUUCAAAGCCUAAAAGUUGUAACAAUUCAAAAUUUCAAUGGAAAUUAAAAUUAAUAUUUUUAUCAUAUAUUAGUCAAAGUUUAUUGCAUCAACAAUAAGUUAAGAUAAAAACCUCAAAUUUUAAAAUAUUUUUACCUCAAUAUAAAAUUUAAGAGCUUUCAUGUAUAAAAACUAAAGGUUAGAGCUUUCAUGUUUAAGGGCUUAUUUAUACUUCAUCUUUAUAAAAAAACACUUAAAUAGUAGUUUAAAUUAUAUAGUUAAUCACUCAAUUUUAGUAAAUUUUCAUUUUAGUCACUCGUUGUUAAUUUGGCUAAUGUAAAUAUUACAUUACACUGAUUUUAGUCACCUAAUUUUCAUAAGAUAGAAUUAAUUUUAUUUUUCGGUAAAAAAGAAAAGAAAAACUCAAAAUUUUACAAGCAAGUACCUAGGUUUUUAUAGAAAAAACUUGGAGUUUUAUAUGAAAAACCUACGUUUUUAUUGGAAUAGUCAUAUUAUCUUUUUUUAUUUCAUUUAUUUUUUUCAUUUAUAAAAUUAAUUUUAGCUUUUUCAAUGAAAAGAAAACCUAAUUUUUUACUAAGAAAAUCAUUUUAUCUUUUUAAUUUCUUUUACUUUCAUAUUUAGAAUUAAUUUUAAUUUUUUUUCCAAUAACAAUGAAAAAAAACUUGGAUUUUUACAAUGAGUUUGUUGGGUUUCCACGAGAAUUGCUUGAGUUUUAUGAAUAACUCAAUUCCUUAAAAAAUUCUAAAAAAAAUUAGAAAAAUAAGAUUAAUUAAAAAAAAUGGAGCAAAAUGAAAAUUUACUAAAAUUAGAUGGCUAAAAUGAAUAUACAAUUGCAUUUUCGUUAGCCAAAUUAACAUGUGAUCAAAAUGAAAUAUUAUUAAAAUUGAGUGAUUAAAAUGAAAAAACUAUUUGAUUUAUUUACACCCUGAUUUUAUGAGCAAAUUCCCCAGCACAAAGCCUAUUUUGACAAUAACAGUUCAAAUGAAAAGUCUUCGCUUACUCUUUGAACGAAACUCUUCUCCCGCUAAAACCACCUCUUCUUCCUCCAAAUUCAAACGCCCAAAGCUUUCUUCCAUCUCUAAUGGCUCUGAUUCAUCACAAUCAUCAUCAUCUCAAGAUCCCCUUAAAACCCAUUUCUCCUCUCUCAUCAAAUCCUCCGAAACCACCCUACAACUCCGGCAAAUCCACGCUCAAAUCCUGCGCCGCCACCUCUCUUCCAGUGCCAAUCUCACCACCCUCUUAAUCUCCGUUUCUUCUUCCUUCAAAUCCAUACCUUACGCGCUCUCUAUUUUCAACUAUUCUCACCACAAAAGCUUAUUCCUUUUCAAUGCUUUGAUUCGUGGCUUGACGGAGAAUUCCCAUUUCCAAUCCUCAGUUUCACAUUUUCUUCUCAUGUUGAGACAUAGAGUUCGCCCUGAUUAACUUACAUACCCUUUCGUGCUCAAGUCUAUUGCGGGAUUGGGUCUUCAUUUCCUUGGUCUGAUCCUUCAUGGGAGAAUCAUAAAAUCUGGGGUUGAGUUCGAUUCGUUCGUUCGGGUUUCGUUAGUGGAAAUGUAUGUGAAGCUCGAGGAAAUGGGUUUUGCGUUGCAAGUGUUUGAUGAAAGUCCUGAGAGAAACAAGAGUGAGAGUAUAUUGUUGUGGAAUGUGUUGAUUAAUGGGUGUUGUAAAGUGGGGGAUUUGGAGAAAGCUAUGGAGUUUUUCGAGGCUAUGCCUGAAAGGAAUAUUGGGUCUUGGAAUAGUUUUAUAAAUGGGCUAAUGAAAAAUGGGGAUUUGAACAAAGCAAUGCAGCUUUUUGAUGAAAUGAAGGAGAAGGAUGUGGUUUCUUGGACUACAAUUGUUAAUGGGCUUUCACAGAAUGGAGAUCAUCAGAAGGCGUUAUCCAUGUUCUUUAAGAUGUUGGAGGUCGGUUUAAGGUCGAAUGAUCUUACUCUUGUUUCAGCUCUUUUCGCUUGCGCUAAAAUUGGUGCACUUGAAGUUGGAGUCCAUAUCCAUAACUAUUUUGUGGAAAAUGGGCUUCGGUUGAAUAAAGCAACUGCUGCUGCUUUGGUUGAUAUGUAUGCAAAGUGUGGGAAUAUCCUAUCUGCUAGUAAGGUUUUUGAAGUAACUGUUGCGCGGAAGCGUGUGAAAGAGUAAAAUUAUUGUACUGAAAAAUCACACUAAGUUCAAUUCCCAGGAAAGAGAGGUGGAUCACGAGGAUCGCUUACAUACCAGAUCUUUCCUAGCCAGAAUAUCCCUCUAUCGUAAUUUAAUAGCACAAUAAAUCACUACAAUGACACUUGCAAAAUAUGCAGAACAAAAAAUAAAGAACACUAGAAUUUUAACGAGGUUCAGCAAAUUUUGCCUACGUCCUCGGGCACUACCAAAUAUAUUUCACUCCAAAAAAUACAAGUGAAAGUUUACAAAUAGGGAGAGAGAACAAUUGCCUUAAGUAGAGAUUGGCAAGUGUGGGAUGAAGAAAGUAAGAAAUGGUUAGGCCUAUUUAUAGUUGAGGUUCAAGGAUCAACUUGCAAUGUCCCUAUACAAUUAGGGACCAAAAUUGCAAUUAUCUCAUGCCAACUUUUAACCCAACUUGCCAACCAAUUUUACUUUCUACUUUCGGUGACCACCCUUUUUGACUUUUCAAACAAUGGGUGGGUUCCAAUAAUCUCCACCUUGAAGAUUUGAUUAGGCUAAUCUUAUCUUCACACAAUUCUUUCUGCCUUUGACAACAAUACUUGAUAGUGCCUUCUUCAACUGUUAAACUUGCAGGAUAUUAAUCAAGUUCAAACAAUGUUCGAACUUGGUUGAUGUUACCACCUUGCUCAUCAUAUCUGCGGGAUUAUCUGCAGUCUUGAUCUUCUGAAGACAAAUUUUCCCCUCUUCAAUAAUUUCCCGCACAAAAUGGAAUCGUACGUCGAUAUGUUUUGUACGUGCAUGAUAGACUUGAUUCUUUGCUAAAUGAAUAGCACUUUGACUAUCACGAUACACGUUAAUAUGCUCCUGAACCAACCCCAAGGUUUUAGCCAUACCUUGUAACCAAAUAGCCUCCUUUACAGCCUCUGUUACAGCCAUGUACUCGGCUUCUGUGGUUGACAAUGCAACUGUAGACUGUAGUGUAGACUUCCAACUUAUUGGUCAUCCAGCAAGUGUAAACACAUAACCAGUGGUUGAUCUUCGAUUGUCCAAAUCACCGGCAUAGUCAGAAUCAACGUACCCAAUAACACCUUUACCAAGUGUAUUAUCCUGCUUGAACAGUAAUCCAACAUCCACGGUCUUCUGAAUAUACCGUAGAAUCCAUUUCACAGCUUGCCAAUGUCCUUUUCCAGGAUUAUGCAUAUACCUGCUCACUAUACUAACUGCCUGUGAAAUGUCAGGUCUUGUACACACCAUUGCAUACAUCAAGCUACCCACUGCAUUAGAAUACGGAACUUGCAACAUGUAUUCUCGUUCCGUAUUCGUCGAAGGAGAUAGUUGUGUAAAAAGCUUGAAAUGAGAAGCCAACGGGGUACUUACAGGUUUUGUCUGCUCGUUCAUGCCAAACUGCUGUAGUACCUUUUUCAAAUACUGCUUCUGAGACAAGCUAACUCUAUCAUGAGCUCUAUCUCUCCAUAUUUCCAUGCCGAGAAUCCUUUUAGCUUCUCCUAGAUCUUUCAUCUCAAACUCGAGAUUGAGUUGAGUCUUCAAUCUUUCAAUUUCAACUUUGCUCUUAGAUGCUAUUAGCAUAUCAUCAACAUAUAAGAGCAAGUAUAUGAAAGUUCCUUCUUGUAGCUUCUGAAAAUACACGCAAUGAUCAAAUUUACUUCUUGUGUACCUUUACCCUUUCAUAAACUGAUCAAAUCGCUUGUACCACUGCCUCGGAGAUUGCUUCAAUCCAUAAAGCGACUUUGUCAGUUUGCAAACCCAAUUUUCUUUUCCAGCAACCUUGAAUCCAUCUGGCUGAGUCAUAUAGAUUUCCUCUUCCAAAUCACCGUGUAAAAACGCGGUCUUCACAUCAAGCUGAACUAGUUCAAGAUCAUAUUGCGCAACCAAGGCUAGCAAAAUCUGAAUAGACGAAUGCUUCACAACUGGAGAAAACACUUCAUUGUAGUCUAUUCCUUCUUUCUGAGCGUAACCCUUUGUUACUAAUCUAGCCUUGUAUCGAAUUUCAUUUUUAUCAGGAAAUCCUUCCUUCUUUGCAUAUACCCAUUUGCAUCCAAUUGCCUUCUUUCCCUUGGGUAGUGUCACCAACUCCCAGGUCUUAUUUUUCUGAAGAGACUGCAUUUCUUCAUUCAUUGCUUGCUUCCACUUUACACCAUCAGGGUUACUUAUUACUUCUGUGUAAGUAGAAGGAACAUCAUCAUCUGUAUUUGGAAAUGCAUAGGCCACUAUAUCAUCAAAGCGAGCAGGCUUACGAAUCUCUCUUCUUGGCCUUCUAUAUGCAAUUGAAUCUUGUUGCUGUAGAGAUUCUUGGGUAGGAACCUCUUCAUCAUUUGUCCCUUCAAUAUUAGCUGGAUCAUCGUUAACCUUUUCAAGCUCCACAUGCUGCAAAGUACUAACGGUUUUGUCAUCCUUUUGUGAAUCCUUGUACUUCAACAUGGUUGAUUCAUCAAAAGUCACAUCUCUACUGAAAACAAUCUUCAUUGUAUCAGAACACCAGAGACGAUAUCCUUUUACUCCAUCAGUUAUACCCAAGAAUAAUGCUUUCUUUGCUCUUGGGUCUAACUUAGAUUCUUUUACAUGAUAAUAUGCAGUGGAACCAAAUACAUGCAAAGAAUCAUAAUCAGUAGCAGAUUUACCAGUCCACAUCUCUAUAGGAGUUUUUCCAUUUAUUGCAGCUGAUGGCAAACGGUUAAUUAGAUGGCACGCAUAUGUAACUGCCUCAGCCCAAAAUUCUUUGCCCAAUCCAGCAUUGGACAACAUACAUCGAACUUUCUCCAGUAUAGUUCGAUUCAUUCGUUCUGCCACCCCAUUUUGCUGUGGUGUAUCCCGAACAGUGAAGUGUCGCACAAUGCCCUCAUCUUGGCAUACUUGUAGAAAUGGAUCGUUUUUGUACUCAGUACCAUUAUCUGAUCGAAGUCGUUUGACCUUUCGACCAGUCUGAGUCUCCACCAUCUUCUUCCAUUUCAGAAAUGCAUCCAAAACUUCACUUUUUCUUUUCAUUAGAUACACCCAUACUUUUCUUGAAUAAUCAUCAACAAAAGUAACAAAAUAGUGCAUACCUCCCAAAGAAGCUACUUUGGUAGGUCCCCACACAUCACUGUGAACGUAGUCCAGAAUUCCUUUCGUAUUGUGAAUUGCUGGACCAAAUUUUACCCUCUUCUGCUUGCCCAGAACACAAUGUUCACAGAAUUCCAUUUUGCAAGAAUUUGCACUUUUCAAUAAGCCUUGCUUCACCAAUGUCUGCAAAGCUUUUUCACCAGCAUGUCCCAAUCGCAUAUGCCAUAAUCUGGUAGCCUCUGAAUCUACAUCUUUUGUAGAAACUGUUGAUGUUGAUCCAAUAACUGUACUUCCAUUUAAAAAAUACAAGUUAUUUCUUCUUGUGCCUUUCAUCACCGUCAGUUGCCCAGCUACUACUUUUAGUAAUCCAUCUCUCAAAGUGAUUGUGAGCCCUUUAGAUUCUAGGGCACCUAAUAAGAUGAGAUUUUUCUUCAGGCUAGGUACGUAGCAAACAUCUGUCAAGACUUGGAUUGAGCCGUCGUGAUUCUUCAAUUGGACUGUACCCACUCCCAUUGUCUUACAAGCACUAUCAUUGCCCAUAAGAACAAUUCCACCUUCUAGCUCUUUAAGACUAGAAAACCAGUCCUUAUUAGGACACAUAUGGUAAGUACAUCCUGAAUCCAAAAUCCACUCAUCCGUUUGACAUGCCAUUGCCAUGCCAACCAAGCUAAAGUCUGACUCCUCAUCAUGCUCCGCUACACAUGCAUUAGAAAUAGCCUUGCCCUUUUGUAGCUUAGGACAAUUCUUUUUCCAAUGCCCUUUUUCACGGCAAAAGGCACAUUUAUCUUUGGCGGGUCUCCCUUUGGACUUUCCUCUUCUACCAGAUUUGCUGCUGUGUGAACGACCUCUUACUGUUAAGACUUCUGCGGUUGUAUCUCUGUGAUCUCUUUUAUCUUUCUUUCGAGUCUCAGAUCUAUACAACGCACUACAGACUGCAUCAAAUGUGAUCGUGUCCUUCCCAUGAAGCAAUGUGGUGGUAAGAUGAUCAUAUUCAUCAGGAAGGGAAUUCAACAACAAUAAUGCAUUGUCUUCAUCUUCAAAUUUCUCAUCCAAAUUUAGCAAGUCUGCUAAAAUUUUAUUGAAUGAGUUCACAUGGUCAUUCAUCGACAUACCGGGUGCAUACGUGAAUCGAUAAAGUUUCUUUUUCAUAUAAAGCCUAUUUUCAAGACUUUUCGUUAGAAACUUUUCUUCCAGUGUAUCCCAUAACUUCUUCGCUGAUGUCUCCCUCAUGACAGAGUACUUCUGCUCUUUGGCCAAACAUAGGCGGAUUGUACCACACGCCUGUCUAUUGAUUUUGGCCCACUCCAUGUCAUCCAUCUUGUCAGGUUUUUCUUCAAAUGCUAUAUCUAGCUCUUGCUGACAUAAGACAUCCAGGAUCUCACAUUGCCACAUACCAAAAUUAUUGGUACCGUCAAAUUUCUCUACUUCAAAUUUUGCAUUUGUCACAGUAGUCCUUGCUGAUGACGAUGCUGCUGCCAUUUUUCUCCUCAAUCCCAACUACUGUAUACGUGAACAGUACUGUAUACGUGAAUAGUACCGUAUACGUGAAUAGUGCCGUAUACGUGAAUAGUACUGUAUAUGUAAAUAGUACCGUAUACGUGAAUAGUGCCGUAUACGUGAAUAGUACUGUAAACGGUCGUAUUCCCCAAGUACGAACCUGGCUCUGAUACCAAUUGUUGCGCGGAAGCGUGUGAAAGAGUAAAAUUAUUGUACUAAAAAAUCACACUAAGUUCAAUUCCCAAGAAAGAGAGGUGGAUCACGAGGAUCGCUUACAUACCAGAUCUUUCCUAGCCAGAAUAUCCCUAUAUCGUAAUUUAAUAGCACAAUAAAUCACUACAAUGACACUUGCAAAAUAUGCAGAACAAAAAAUAAAGAACACUAGAAUUUUAACGAGGUUCAGCAAAUUUUGCCUACGUCCUCGGGCACUACCAAAUAUAUUUCACUCCAAAAAAUACAAGUGAAAGUUUACAAAUAGGGAGAGAGAACAAUUGCCUUAAGUAGAGAAUGGCAAGUGUGGGAUGAAGAAAGUAAGAAAUGGUUAGGCCUAUUUAUAGUUGAGGUUCAAGGAUCAACUUGCAAUGUCCCUAUACAAUUAGGGACCAAAAUUGCAAUUAUCCCAUGCCAACUUUUAACCCAACUUGCCAACCAAUUUUACUUUCUACUUUCGGUGCCCACCCUUUUUGACUUUUCAAACAAUGAGUGGGUUCCAAUAGUAACAAAAGAGAAGGACAUUCGUACCUGGAGUGUCAUGAUAUGGGGUUGGGCAACCCAUGGGUUUUAUGGACAAGCUAUCCGAUGCUUCAAAAAGAUGAUGUUUUCAGGUGUGGACUUAGUAGUUUUCAUUGAGCUCAACCCUUUAUUCUAAUCUUUCUGAAUAAACUCAAGUUUGUCGUAUUUGCAGGAAUAAAACCCGAUGCGGUGGUCUUUCUUACCCUCCUGACUGCAUGCUCACAUUCUGGACAAGUAGAUCUUGGGCUUAACUUCUUUGAUAGCAUGAGGUUUGAUUACUCCAUUGAGCCAACCAUGAAGCAUUAUACGUUGGUCGUUGAUUUGUUAGGCAGGGCAGGCCGACUGGAUGAAGCAAUGAAGUUCAUACAAAGGAUGCCUAUAAGUCCUGAUUUUGUGGCAUGGGGAGCACUUUUUGUGCUUGCAGAGCUCACAAAAAUAUUAAAAUGGCAGAACUAGUGUCAGAAAAGCUCCUUCAGCUUGAACCUAAACAUCCUGGGAGCUAUGUUUUCUUGUCAAAUGUUUAUGCAGCAGUUGGUAGAUGGGAAGAUGUGGAGAGGGUAAGAAUGUUGAUGCAGAAUCAAGCUGUUGGCAAAGAUCCGGAGUGGAGUUAUAUUGAAGUCAAUGGACAAGUGCAUAGUUUUGUAGCUGGUGAUCAUGAUCAUAAGCGUGCAAGAGAAAUAUACUUGAAAUUAGAGGAAAUAGUGUCUGGUGCAAGAGAGCAAGGAUAUAUGCCUGAAACUGGGUGGGUUCUUCAUAAUAUUGAGGAAGAAGAGAAGGAAGAUGCAUUAGGAAGUCACAGUGAGAAAUUGGCGCUUGCCUUUGCCUUAAUGAACACUCCUCCGGGGACAACUAUUAGGAUAGUGAAGAACUUAAGAGUAUGUGGAGAUUGCCAUUCUUUGAUGAAAUGUGCUAGUAAGAUGAGCCAAAGAGAAAUCAUAUUGAGAGAUAUAAAGAGAUUCCACCAUUUCAAGUAUGGGGUCUGCUCAUGUGGAGAUUAUUGGUAAAAUGGUAAGUAACAGCAACAUUAAUUUGCUUUGCUGUUAAUAGCACAUGAUUAGUGCUUCUACUUGGUUUAUUUAGAAUAAUGCUUUUAGUUAAAACAUGGAUGUAGCUACAGCAACACAAGUUUUUUUGUUUGAUAAUUGGUAGCAAGUACAUUAAAUUUCUCCAAUGGACCUUUCUGCACAUAUAUAUUAAACUUGAAACUCAUUAGUUAAGUUUGUACUUUAUUUAGGUAUCUAAUUAACGUUGUUAGAUUUUUUCAAUUUCAACUUAUCAUCUUGUGCCACUUCUUUCUCUUCCCUUUAGUGAAAUUUAGCACUUUAAAAGAUGGGUUGCAUUUUGCUCCCUCUGUCAAAAAAAAUGGACAGAUUAAGCUAUACACGUUAGAUCAAAGAGCAAAUAGGUCUUUUUGUUUAAAAAUCCAUCAAUUUUUGUUGUUAAAAAUCAAUCCAUUUACAUCAACAUAAAAUAUAUAACUGUUUGGGUAUCUCAUCAUCCAUGUUAGUUUUUAGCAAUACAAAUGGAUAGAAUUUUUAACAAAAAAAACCAGUUUAUUGUUUGAUCUAACAUACAAUGACUAAUUUGUCAAUUUUUUAAGUAAAUAAAGCAUAAUGCUAAUUGACUCUUAGUAUAAUAUCUCUAUGGUACUUUUAUCAAUACUAUCUCUAUUUAUGAAAUUAAAAAUACUUAAAUAAUUAGAUUUAUUGUAUAUUGUGAUAAAAAAUUAUGUAAGAAAUGCAUUUAUUAAAAAUCCAUAUAAAAUCUAAAUGAUGAUUGUAAAGUUAAAUGUUCUGGUGCAAGAGAGCAAGGAUAUAUGCCUGAAACUGGGUGGGUUCUUCAUAAUAUUGAGGAAGAAGAGAAGGAAGAUGCAUUAGGAAGUCACAGUGAGAAAUUGGCGCUUGCCUUUGCCUUAAUGAACACUUCUCCGGGGACAACUAUCAGGAUAGUGAAGAACUUAAGAGUAUGUGGAGAUUGCCAUUCUUUGAUGAAAUGUGCUAGUAAGAUGAGCCAAAGGGAGAUCAUAUUGAGAGAUAUAAAGAGAUUCCACCAUUUUAGGUAUGGGGUCUGCUCAUGUGGAGAUUAUUGGUAAAAUGGUAAGUAACAACAACAUUAAUUUGCUUUGCUGUUAAUAACACAUGAUUAGUGUUUCUACUUGGUUUAUUUAGAAUAAUGCUUUUAGUUAAAACAUGGAUGUAGCUACAGCAACACAAGUUUUUUUGUUUGAAAAUUGGUAGCAAGUACAUUAAAUUUCUCCAAUGGACCUUUCUGCACAAAUGAUAUAUGUCCCCAUAAAGAACUUGGUGCUCACGGUAUUGCAUGACAGGUAGCCAUAGGUUAUUCGCUCUCUUGAUUGGUAUCUUACAUUCCUCAAGGUCCAAAAGUUGUUCCUUCUUUUUGUCUGAAGUCCAAACCUAAGAAAAGCAUUGAUGGGCCUUUAAAACUUUGCUCAUUUCACUACAUGAACUAUUGGAUGUUUUGUGUUCAAAUUAGUUUAUGCCAGUAGUGAAAGUACAUCUCUUUCUCCUUAUCCAGUUAUUCUUUUCAGUUGUCAUCAUCUUUCUGUGUCUUGCCUUCUGAAGUGUUUAGAUGACUGCAUUUCUCAAUAUAAUUUUCAUUUGACCUAAAUAGUUGAAAUUAAAGUCCCUUAUCAUGCCAUUCAUUACUUUGCUUCUAUAUGGUAGUUAUUCUUCAAUGUCCAUGAAUUGACAUAUAUCACUGGAAGCAUAAUCUUACUUCUAAGCAUGGGAUUGACCUUCUUUAAUGCAGGUUCUUCUGUAAGACUCAAACCAUAGAUGGGCAAGGCUUGAGAAAAUAAAGUUGUAAGUGUUGAACCAGGAAGGACGAUGUUGGCCAUGUUAUAAACAUUCCUCCAGAAUGACUAAACAUCGAGGAAAAGGUUCAACCAUGAGUGGUCCACUGAAACGUGCUUGGUCGAACACGUGCCAAUUAUCAGCUACGUAUCAAAUCCCACAAUUAUAAAUGUAGAUUGGGUUCCAUGCUCUGGUUAAUCCAUUAGAUGACACGGUCCAUUGAAAAGGUACUAAAUUACUGAUGUUUGGUCCAUAUAUGAAUCUGUUUAUUUAAUGGCCAGCAUUAAUUGUUAAUUCUCUUGUUUGCGGGUGACUUUUCCUCUAGCAUGCCUUAUGGAAAGAAGUGUCAGUGACAACCUUUUAAUCAACAGCAACUUACCCUACUAAUGAGCAUUUGGAGCAUUUCAUAGCUCGUUCAGUUUAUUCAAAGACUCAUUUUUACCUGCACAGCAUGUUCCCGCCCAGUAAUCAGUGGGCCAAUUAAUGAAGGAGAGGAUAGUUUGCUAGACACAUGUUUUUUGUGUGAGCUUUCUGGUCUUUUAUGUAGUUGUGGUGUUGACAAUUUUUGUUGUUCUUUACAUAAAUUCUUAUUGGCUAAGCGCUUGGUUUUCUUUUAUUGGAAAGUGCAUCACAACCUGUCGUUACUCAACAAUGGCCAAUUUUCUUGCAUAUCACAUCUUCAGGCAAUGUGAUUAUGUUGAAAAUUGGCCUACCAUGCUUGCUGUAAUACUUCCGGAUGAAGUACGUGCUAGCAAUUGUUCAUGCUGCAGCACGUAUGCUUGCUGUAACAGCAAGAUUUUUGUUUUAGUUUCACUGUAAUCAGCCUAGUUGGAAAUGAACAAGCUGAUGACAGCUUGAUAUGUUUAGGUGUUGAAUGACUAAUUUAGGUGGCUUGUUUCUGUGUACAAGCAAUGUUUUUAAAGUUAGUAGGCUACUUAGUGGUAGUAGGUAGUAAUAACUGAUGUAGUUGGCUAUAAAUGUAUUGUUUUUUUAUUGAAAAAUUAAGCAUAUCAGUGGUUAAAACAGAUUGCUUCCUUGCUGCACGUUUGUGAGCAAGUAAAUUAUUCUUGCAGCUUGCUUCAUUGUCUUGUUCUGUUCUCUGUUUUCUUCCUCUGCUGUCAAAAAACCCAACAGAUUAGCUAUCGUGAAGAUUUCAACAAAGUCGGUUCGUGUUGAUUCAAGGAAAAAAAGAUAUUACGAUUUGAUUUCCUCACCUAAUUGUUUUACUAUGCGAAGUUGGAUUGUGAGGAAUAUUUUGUUGAUUUCUGCAUUUUGAAUAAAGAGCUCUUAGGUUUGUGUGGCCGACGUUUAUAGUUUUAUCUUUCGAUUUUAUCUUUUUUUUUGUAUGAAAUUUAAAGUUUAAUCAAAACUAAUUGUUAUGUGUAUGUAAUAGCUAUUUGAAUUAAAUUAAAUUGACAAAUCAACGUACACUAGUGCAUACUAAAAAAAAUGUAAUAUAAAAUUAAACCAAAAUUGAAUCUAAAACUUAAAUAUUUUAAAACCUCAAACAUAUGGCAACUCUUCACUCCUCUUUCCCUCUGAAGUUAUUUUAAUUUAAAAUAUAUUUUGUAUAAUGUGUUAUAACAAUUCAACUAAACAAAGUGAUUCUCUUUGCAUAACAUAUUAUAUGCUUAUAUAAACUUUUACACAAUUUGUUAUAGAUACAUUUUUAAUAAUUGAAUGAUGACUCCAUUAAAAAUGCAAUAUCAUAAUAAUUCUACAUUUCUUGCAUUAAUAUAAAAUUUUCCUUUUUUUUUCCUCCAAGCCUUGUUUAUUAUCUUUUGUUUUGCCAAAUGGCAGUGCCAGCUUUCAGGCUAGCUAUCGCCCGCCUUUUUCUCCCUCCCAUUAAUCCUUUUUUUCUUUUUUCUUCUCAUUCACUCCACAUGUCUUCUUUCUUUUCAGUUUGUAGAUCUAUUUUAUGAGAAUCUUUAUUUUCUUCACAAGUUGUGAUAGACAGAUGACGACGCCUAUGUUCGUUAAAACUUCAUCGGCCACCAAUAAUUUUUCAGAAUAAUAAAUAAUUUCAUGAGUCGAUUUGGAUUCUUGUUAUCAUAAGUUUUAUAUAUUUUUUAGUUUGUUUUUCAUUGUUUAAUAGGUUUUUAGUUUUAGAAGUUUUUGUCUACUCUUGUAACACGUUUUUUAGUCUUGCUUAUGCAUGUAACCUUAGUUUUACAAGUGAUUUUAGAGAUGGUUUUGUUACCGUCUUCUCUAGUUUGGUGAAUGCUCAAUUCUUUUGUCCAUUUUUGCUCGUCACUUUGGACCAUUCGAGGCUGAUUUUCUUUAUCGCAUUAAGUGCUUGCGAUCACUCCAAAUAUAUCGUGCUUAAGUUGUGAUAAAGCCUGUACAAGCCCAAUUUUUAUGCCCGGGCCCAAUUGACCCAACAAAACCGAACGGCCCAACAGACUAAGGCCCAAACCCAACAAAGACUAGGGUUUCAGAACCCUAGCCCCUCCAUCAGCGCCGCAUGCUAGGGUCUCUGACUUCUGCCCCGUCGGCGCAAACGGCGCACCUACCCCGUCCGUGUCACGUCUCCUCCAUCGCCCUACACCUGCAAACAAUAAAGAGAGAAGCAGACAACACAAAACAGGGGAAAGAUUGAAUCUUUUUUUUUUGUUCUUUCGGUUAUAAAGCCGAACGUAUCAAAUAAGAAAAAGGGGGGAUUUUUUGCAAAAAAAGAAAAUCACAUCAGAAAUAAGAAAAGGAACAAAGGUUGCUGUGUUCUUCAUUUUAUUCUUUUUUGAUUCGUUUACUUUCAUUUAUUUUUAAACAAAUCCGUUAAAAAAUAUAUCAAUAAAAAGGAAAAGAAAAAAAGGAGCGCACCUGAAUCGCUCUCUGGCUCCGUCGACGGAGGUUCUCUCGCCGUUGUCGGCCCGGAUCUGAAGGAGGGAUUCAGAGCCCUUGUCUCGGCGCUCGUAGGGGUUCAAGGACCCGAUUUUCAAAUCGCCCGAAGGCCAGGCUUUUUAAAAACCCUUUGUUGCGCUUCGUUGGCCGCCGUUUCGGUGGCGGUGCGACGGACAGACGGACGAUGGUGAAAAGCCAAUCGUCGGAGGGCAUGAAGAGAGAGUGGGGGAAAGAGUUCUGAAUUUUUUUUUUUAAAAGAGGGAUGAAAUGAUUUUUUUAGGGGUUUUGAUUUAUAUAAGGAUCCAAAACGGCGCCGUUUUGGAAGGGUCAGAAAGCCCCUAAAACGACGCCGUUUUUGCAUAAGACCCGAGACCCAACCCGUCUGCCUUAGGGGAUCCGCGUGUUUUUUACGGAAGGGCUAAUUUCACGUUUAAUCCUUCCGCUUUUUAAUUAUUUUAAAAUUAGGUUCUUUUGAUCUUUUUAAUUUUACCCGGAAAUUGUUUUCGUUUUCAAUUUGAUCCUUACCCAAACUACGUCGUUUUAAAGAAAGGGCCAUUUCUUUGUUGGUCCCUCCAUGUUUUAUGCUUGUUUAGAGCAGUCCUUCCCUUUUCGUUUAUUUGCGUUUUGAACCCCCCGAAUUUUGUUUUAAUGUUUAAUCUAAUCCUUCUGCUAUUUUGUUUAUUUUCUUAACAAAUUUAUUAUUAUUAUUAUUAUUACAUAUUCAUUUAUAACAUCUAAUUUUAGAUUUAAUCAUAUAUAUAAAUAUACGUCCAUGAUAUAUACCUACUUUUUAUAUAUACUUUAUAAUUUAUAUAUACAUAUACACAUUUUAAUUUAUGUACAUAUCUACACAUAUUUUUCAUACUUUACUCAUAUAUAUAUACAUGUACUUAUACAUAUUCUUUAUAUCUUAAAAUCCAUAUUUUUCUUAUGUAUAUAUUUUAUAUUUUAUAUUUUAUAUAUAUGUGUUUAUAUAUUCUACGAUAUAUAUUUAUAUGCAUAAUAAAUACAUAUCUAUAUACGUUUCGAUUUUUAUAAACACAUAUAUAUGUAUGCAUACCUUUAUAUUUCUUAUAUUAAAUACAUAUAUAUAUAUUUAUAUAUCCCUUUAUACUUCUAAAAUCAUAUAUUUUGUAUAUAUUCUUUAUAUUUUAUGAUUCCUAUAUGUACCCACAUAUAUACUUUUUGUAUUGUAUGAUUGUUAUUUACGUAUAUGUACGUACAUACAUACUUACACCUAUUUUCAUGUAUAAUAGCCUUAUAAUAUGUGUACAUACAUGUAUUUUUCAUAUUUCCAUAUACAUACACAUAUAUCUUUUUAUUUUAUAUAAUCUUACUCAUUUUAUUUAUUUAUUUAUUUACAUGUCUAUUAUUAUUAUGCUCUAGUUUUUAUUUAUUUAUUUAUUAUUUGUUAUUGUGCUUGCUUGAUCCUUUUAUAUAUUAAUCUUAUUUUUUAUUUUUAUUUUGAUCAUGUCAUUUUACUUACAUUAUCAUCAUCAUUCCGUUACACUCAUUUUUUUGUUUAGAUUUCAAAAAAAAAAAGAAGAAAUUUUAAAAAUAAGUAACACUCGGUAUUUUGGAUCUUCGAGAGAAUCGAGUCCUAACGUAUUGGGUUCCGACUUUCUUCGUUGAAUUUAAAUAAUCGAGAUUACUCUUUUAAAAAUGAUAAAAAAGCUCGUUAUCGAGAAUUCAAUACGUUGUGUCCCAACGGAUUGGACGUAACACGGUGUUUUCUCGAGACGAGGAUUUUUCGAAAUAAACGUAAUAUUCAAUGUUUAAUCUUUUGAGAAAUUGUGCCCUAACGUAUUGGGUUGUGAUUUCUUCAUUUGAUUUAAACAAUUGAAUAUCCUUUUAAACUUUAUUACAUGGAUCUUUUCAAACUCAAGUUUUAAACAACCUCGGGAAUUAAAAGAGGAUCGUGUCCUAACUUACUGGUCGUAAUCCCUUUUUUAAUUCGAGAUCGUUAAAUAUCUUUUAAAUAAGCUUUUUUCAUUCGCGUAUUGGGAAUUCGACAUAUUGUGUCUUAACUUGCUAGAUAUGAUAUUCUGUCUCGAAUAACGUGAAAUAUGCCCCUUUUCCUGAAAAUUUUCAACGUUUUAAUACAAGGAUCGUAUUUUUAAAAUUCUUCUAAGUUAUCAAUUUUCGACACUAAGACAUUAACUAAUCAACUAGGUACCAAUUUUGGGCGUAUCGAGGGUGCUAAUCCUUCCUCGUGCGUAACCGACUCCCGAACCCGUUUUUCUGAAUUUCGUAGACCAGACUUGUUGUUUUAAUAAAAUUAAAUUGUUUAUUAAAAACAACCACUUUUCGAGGUGAUCCAAUCACCCCUCAUAAAAAAGGAUUGGUGGCGACUCCCGUUUUUUUAUUUUCGUCAAAACCCAAGUCGACCCCGUUUUUCAUCCAAAAAAAUGGUGUCAACAAAGCCAAUUGUCAACAUGUCAUAACGUUCUAUUUAUGCUAAGGCUAAAGCCUUCGUUGGGUUGUUGGAGCUUGUCAUUUACCAUCUACGACGAGUGCUUAUUUUUUUCCCUGAAUUGUAUGAUUCCAUUCAUUGAAUGAAUUAACGAAUUUACCUUUCAAAAGAAAAAAAAUUCAUAAAUUUUGAAAUACAAAAUGAAUGUGUUUUGAUAUUUUUAGGGCAAUGGUUUAGUGGUUUAAAUUUUUUUAUUUAAUAUGGUGAAUUUAAUUAUAAUUUUUUAUUUAUUAGAUAGUAGAAUAUCUCUUACCAUUUAUAAUUAAGUUUAGGUUAAAAUAUUUUAUUAAAUUUUUGGACUUUUCACAAAUUUUAAAUUUAAUCUGUUUACUUUUAUUCAAGAAUUUAAUCUCUCUGCAUAUAAAGGAGGUAAUUAUGGCAAGGGGAAUUACCAUGGCAGAGGUAGCGGAGGCUGAGGAAGAGAUGCUGGAUAUGCUGAAGAAAGAUAGAUGGCUGAGAAACAGAAAAACUUUAGGAACAAUAUUCAGUGUUAGAAGUAUGGGGAUGUGAAGGCAGAUUGUUGGAAAAGGGGAAAACAAGCAAAUUAUGCGGAAGAUGAUGAAGAGAUUUAAGUUAUUUAUGAGCUGUCUAGAUGACACCAUAGCUUCAACUAACAUUUGGCUUCAAGGGCGUAUAUCUCAUGAUGAAGAGAUUGUCUCUCUUCUUUUUUCUCAUAACAUAUUAUACGCCAUGAUAAUAAAUUUUGAUAUGCCUAUAAAUUUGAGUCUCUAUUAUUUGUAAUAUGACAUGUUUUAAUUAUUUUUUAUAUUAUGCCAUGAUUUGGUUCACUCCAUAAGUUAUAUAAAUUUAUUAUAAUAAUUCAAUUAAUUUAAUUUAGAUUAAUUUUACAUUUUUGUCCUAACUUUAGUUUUUAAUAAUUGAAUCAUCCCACCAUUAUAUUCAAUUACAAGUGUAAUACGAUUUUGCGUCAUCCCGCACCAUUAUUCUCAGUGUAAUUUUUGGUAGUGAGCAUUGAAGGGGAGAGAGAGAGAGAACAAAGAAAGAACUUACUGUAAUUUUUGGUGUAUGUAAUCGAUAACCCUCAAUGCUUAAAAUGAAAAAGAAAAUAGAAAACAAAGGUGGCAAAGUUAGUUACAAUGCCAGCUAAUUCGUUAUUGCUAUCCACAUGAAGAAUUUUAUAACCCCAACUACACGAUUUUAUGUCUACCAGCUCUCACUUUUCAUAUUUUUUGGCCAUUAGUUAUUCUAAGAUUUAACAUCACCGUUAAGCCAUGUUUAAACUCUUUUUCUUAUAUAAUAAUUAUAUUAUAUUUAAAAUUGAAAAAACUAACCAACCAAAUAUAUAUUAAUUAAUUAAUAGAAGUUUUUUGGUCAUCGAUUAAAAUAAAUCAAGAAAGACGUUGGAACCACCAACUUCUCUUUAAGAACAACACGAAUACAAGAAUCUAUGCACAACAAGUUCUAAAAUGUAUUAAGUAAAUUCAUCAUCAUGCCUUAAAAAAAGAAGAUCUCGAUAUAUCUGCUUUUGCCAAAGCAUCCGCCAUACCAUUACUUUGCCAGUGAAUAAUUGUGAACUGAAACUUAGCCAAUUGAGUGAUAUUAAUUAUAGAAAUGAUUCUUCUUGCAACCAUAGAUGAAACACCACUGAGACUAACAAACUUGGAGAAACUUGAUUUGAGUUUUAACAUCUUCAGGAACAACACAAUUUCGUUUCUUGAAGGACUUUCAAACUUAAAUUAGUCCUUGGAUAUGCAUAAUAACACUCUGCAAGGCUCAUUAAUAGAUAUUAAAGGUACUGAAGCUAUAACUUUUUUUUCUUGAUAAUUCUUUUUAAAAUAUUUCAUAAUUAAUUGUUCUGAAUUUGUACAUUCACUUCUCACAUUUCUGGGUUUUUUUUGUCCUCAACUAAAUUAAACUUAUGCAAAUUUCUUGAAUAUUUAAGUUAAGAGUUAACGUCAAAGUCAAGAGUUGAUAAGUAUUUUGUGGUCCAUUCAUAUCUUUAUUACAAAAAAAAAAUAUUCAAGAAAUUUGCAGCUAGUUGGAGUUUUGCAAUAAGGAAUUUCCACCAAGAGUUUUGGAGGAAUCAUAUCUCUAACAAAAGAAAGACCUUCAUUUGACUAAAUUUUUUAGUAUUUAUUUUAACUUCCAUUUUUAUUAAAAAAAAGGUAAAAAAAUAUGCCAAACAGGGUCUUUAGGUUACUUUUUUUAGAACUAUAUUAUGUUAUAGUACCAUAUAAGUUAGAGGAGCACAAGUUUAGAUUCAUCCAAUUUUUGAGGAAUUAAUUAAAUAUAUAUUAUUUUAAUAUUAUAGUGUAUAGGGGCAAAGUUAGAAAAAAAUUUUUGUGGAGUCGAAAUUAAAUUAUAGUUUUUACAAUAGUUAAAAAAAAUAAUUUCACUAUUUUAAAAGCAUAUAUGUUGUAAGCACUAAAUUUUUGUCCGACUAGAGUUUGUGUUUAAUUUUCAAAAUUUCAAAAAAAAAUUUUAAAAAUAAAAAUUGCAUUUUGACCCCUAAAUUUUUCCUAAAUUUCAUUUUGACCCUUAAACUUUCAUUAAAUUUCACUUAGACCCCUAAACUUUCAUUAAAUUUCAUUUUAAUCCUAAAUUUUCUAAAAAUUACAUUUAGCCCCAGAAGUUUUGCUGUAUUUGUGAUUUGGUCCUUCAGACACGUUACGUGAUUUGGGGCACCCACUUCCCAGAUUUUCAGGCCACAAUCACCCACUACCUGCAAACAAUGAGAAAGAGGACAAAAUUUGGAGCUUUUAAAAAGAAAAAAAGAGAAGAGGAAGAAAAAAAGGAGAGAAAAAAACAAGCAGAAUUUUUAGAGAAAAAUAAAAAAAGAAGCUCUCAAUCCGGCCGAUUGCCUCCACCGCCACCACGUCCGUUGCGCCACCACCAUUGUCAUCUCACCAUCGAGUCCUAAACGCAAACAAAACAAAAACAAAGAAAAAAGCAAGCAAAAGAGAAAAGGAGAAAGUGCAAAGAAGAAAAAGAAAAAGGAAAAGGGGAGAGAGCAUACCUCCGUGCACGCCAUUGUCGGCCGUCGCACCAGGCGGAGGGACAUCACCGGCGAGACAAAGGAGGUGCUGCUGAUCGGGGAGAAAGAAAGGAAGAAAAAGAAGAAGGAAAGAAGAAAAGGGGAAGAAGAAAGAAAGAAAAAAGAAAAAAAAACUAAAAAAAAUAGCAGGCCAUUUUGGUGGACCAGAUUCAGCCCAACAAGAAGCAGCCCAAACCAGUCCUUUGGCAGCCAAUAGCAACAGCCCAACAGCAAAAAAAAUAAUAAAAGGGGAGGCCCAAAAUUUAAGCCCAUAACUUUGGGCUUUUGGGUAAUUUUUUUUCUUUUUUUCUUUUUAAUCUAUUUUAUUUUAUUUUAUUUAUUUAAAUGGUGUUUUAUUUAAUUUAAAUUAGUAUGCUUUAAAACAGUUUUCAUAAAUAUUAUUAUGUCAUUUAAUUGCAUAUUUUUUUUAAAAAAUAAUAAUAUUUUAAUGCAUAAGGCAACGAACCGAUUUAGCAUCGAGUCAUCGAAUUCAUCGCUAUGUUGGAUGGAUAUCGAUAGCUCGUGUUAAAUUCGGGACACCCUUUUAAAAAUAAAAAUAUUCAAAAAUCCUCGUAUUUUAAUAAAAAUUCUCGUGUUUUAUUAGAAUCCCGAUUAAAUAUUAAAUUGAAUUGAGUUAACAUUAAUUCGAUGGUUUCAUCGCCAUAUCGGGAUGAAUAUCAUCGAUUCGUGUUAAAUACGGUAUUUUUUAAAGAAAAAUUGUGUUUCAAAAAUUUUCAUGUCUUCAAAAUUUCUCGUGUUUCGUAUUUUAUCAAAAAAUUUAUGUUUUCAAAAACAAAUUUUCUGUUUUAAAAAUUUUCGUGUUUCAAAAAGAAGAUUCGUGUUUUCAAAAAUAAAAAUAAAAAAUCUCGUGUUUUAAAUUCUUCGUGUUUUUUAAAAAAAAAUUUUGUGUUUCUAAAAUUCUUGUAUUUUAAAAUUUUCGUGUUUUCAAAAAAGAAAAAGUUGUUGCGCUUUAAAAUUCUCGUGUUCAAUCGGAUCACGACUAAUAUUAAAUUGAACUCGUAUUUUUGAAAAUGAAGACAAUGCGCGUUUAACGAGAUACCAAUUUUGGGCGUUGCGAGGGUGCUAAUACCUUCCUCGCGCGUAACCGACUCCCGGACCCUAAUUUUCUCUGGAUUUUUACGUGGACCUAAAAUUACCUCUUUUUUAGAAAAGUUUAAAAAUAAAUUUUUCUUCUAAAAAGAGAAUUUUAUAGGUGUCCGAUCACACCUAGAAAAAAUAUCGGUGGCGACUCCUUUUUCAAAUAAAAUCGAGAUUCAGUUUUCAAAUUUACAAUAAUUACUUCGACUAGCGCCCGUGCCGAAAUUUUUAGGUCGCUACAGCUGGCGACUCCGCUGGGGAACCUUUUUGAGAGUCGAGUCGAAUUAAACUCGCGUUGUCAAAAUUUUCAAAGUUUCUUGUUCAAAUUAACAUUUAGUCGUGAUCCUUAAAUUUUUUGUUUUCAAAAAAAUCAUGCAUUUGCAUCGUGUUGUAUAUAUUCUAACUUGUUUUAUCAGGUUGUUUUUCAGCUUUAAAUUUUUGCGGUUUUAGUUUUGGUUUAGUUUUUCUAAAUAAAACGUAAAGGUUUACAAGUUUCUCCCCACACACCGUGCACGUGCAUUUAUGUUGCAUAACAUGAGCUCUAUACCCGGGCUCUGUCCCUGUUAAGAGAAAGUAAAUGCUACGCCUUCGUGAGUUAACUCGUUCCUCCGCACAGGCUAGUGAAUACUUUCGGGUUACAUAUGACUUAUGCUUUCGUGAGUUAACUUGUCCCUCCGCAUAGGCAUAAGUAAAUGUAAUCCCUCGAAUUGAUCUCGUAAGCCUAUGAUGGGCCAUGACCGAGGCUCUGUACUAAUCUUAGUAGAUGACAGUGCAGACGAUUCGAGUACCCACCUAGAACCAAAACCGCAUAUAGUGAACCAUACGAGCUAUCCAAUUAGAGUCAUGCCGAACCUCUGUCCGCUUAUAGUCAUCAAAAUAAGUACACGGGGAAAAUGCCUUUUGCCUUUCAUUUACACUGUUUAUGCAAAAUAAUUGGAUUGGGUAGUUUAAUUUGUUUUUCAAAUUAUAUUUGUUGUGUUUACUAACCAAGUUUGUUUGUUUUUACUUUUAUUUUCAUCAUGCAUCAUAGGCAUCAUAUUAGGAAGGUGUUGAUUAAAAGUUGGUUGCCAAAAAACGGGUUUCUGAUGGAAGAGUCAAUUACACAAAUAACCGAGAAGAAUGCCGUGGUUCGGGACUGGUCUCUAAAAAUUCAGAGAGAAAAGAGGGAUAGUCUAGUGGAAGGGUGUGUCACUAAUUUGCCCGAACAUAUAACUGUAAAUGUUCGCCAAAAUAACUUUGAGGAUUUGGUUCAAAUUUGGAAUCAGUGGGAUUCAGACACUAGAGACAUUUUCACUCAGAGGUAUGGAGAUAUAGCUCACCUGAUCAUCAUCCAUGUAGACGAACAGUUGAUUCAAGCCAUGGUUCGGUUCUGGGACCCAGCUUAUCAGUGUUUCACCUUCAAUCAAGAAGACAUGACUCCAACCAUAGAAGAGUAUGCUGCUUUACUCCGCAUCGACAAUGUACAAUUCGGCAAAAUAUAUGUGAAGGAGCCUAAACCGAUGACCUUCAAGAAAAAGUUAGUGAGACUGACAGACAUGACUGAUGCAUGGGCCGAAAAACAGAUAAAGAAGAAGAAUGAAACCAUUUGCAUUCCAUGGUCCUCCCUACGAGAUUUGGCUCUGAACCAUCCCAACAUGCUGAAAAGGGUAAAUCUAUUCGCUUUGGCCAUUUACGGUUUGGUCAUUUUCCCAAAAGUUCUCGGACAUCUCGAAGUUGCAGUAGUUGAUUUCUUCGAAAGGUUAAAACAAGGAAUCAACCCUGUCCCGACCAUCCUAGCCGAGACCUUCAGGUCCCUGAGUAGUUGUCGAAAAAAAGGGGAGGGACGAUUUAUCAGAUGCGCGCAGUUGCUCAAUGUUUGGAUUUUGAGUCACUUCUGGAAGGUAGAGCGCACUCCGUUCCAUAUGUUUUCUAAAACAUUCUCCCCGCUAGAAGCUUACCUCAAUAAAGAAUGGCCGAAGGAAGUCACCGAGCAACAUUGGGUAUCAGUUUUUCAAAAUCUUCGCACCGAGAAUAUAACAUGGAGAGCACCCUGGAUCCGUCCUUCAGUUCUGCUAUACAAAUGUGGAAGCCAAGAUUGGGUACCUCUACUCGGGUUUUGGGGAGGAGUUGGAUAUGCUCCGCUAUUAGUCCAAAGGCAAUUUUCUUCGCGACAAUUCCUCCCCGCAACUGGAGGAUUAGCACAGUUCGAGUUCGCUUUUGCGGGUGAAGGAUAUAUGAAGAGAGUCCGAGACACUGCAAAGUAUUGGAAGGAAAUUCAUUUCAUGGAAUUAGCUUUGUAUGUUGAUACCCUUACCCAAGAUUACGACAUAUGGAGGAAGCAACGGGUAAAUAGUCAGCAAAUCUCAUCAACAAACUACACCAUCCAGAAUCCUUUCUCGGAGAAAACGCCGUCUGAGCUAGAAAUGGCAAGACAAGAAUUCGAACGAGAAAAGGCCAAGAUGUCUCGGGACCUUAGUGCCCUUCAAGAAGAAAACUAUCAACUGAAGAUUGAAGUUCAGGUUGAAAGGUCCAGGACUGAAAAGUACAAAAAGAAGCCGAGAUUGUGAGAAACGACUUAAGGGACCUUCAUUUGGAAAACAAGAAAUUAAGAAACACUAUAAAGAAUAGCGGGUUGGGUAAGUCGACAGCAGAAUGGAAGGAAGAAAUUAGCAAUAUCAAGGGAGGAAUGGAGUUUUGGAAGGGAAAAGUAAAGAAAGAGGAGGAAAAGGCUGCGCGCGCUGUGAUAGAGUUAAGAAGGAAGAACGACGAGUAUGAAAUAGUGACUGCAAAAUUUGCGAAUAGUCAGUCUGAAUAUCAAGAAUUAAAAAGGAAAGCACGAGAUCUAGAAAAUAUGCUGCAAUCUCGUCAACAACAAUUAGAUAACCUCCUGAAGGCUCUAGAGGAAAAGCAUGAUCAGUACGAUAGGGACAUUCAGGCGUAUGAAGGAACUCUCAAAGAAAAAGAAAUGCAACUCGACUUCUUGAUCAAUGAAAUUCGUAAAGCGGCUAUGCAAGUUGUUCAAUUAUCAGAUGAAGCCGAAGUUAUCAGUUGCCAAUUCCCUCCGAGCCAAAGAUCGAGCAUAUCAGAGUUUUUAGAGCAAGUGAAUAAACAAGGCAAUGUGGCUAGGAAAUUUGUGUAACUGUUGGAAAAAUGAGAACUUUGUGUAAUAGACUAUGUUGAUAAAUGAAAUGCCUAAAUAUGGGGCUAUCUUGAAAUCAACACCAAAUUCUUGCAUGUUUACUCAUAACUAACAUUUAUGCAUCAUUUAUUCUUUGGACAUUCAUCCAUUCAUAUACUCAUUCAUUCAUUCAUCACGAGUACAUAUCACCAUAAUCAUCCACCGAAACUAAAGAACCGUAUAAUCCGCAGUUGCAAGAUUUCAAAUCUGGAACCACGCAAUUCCUAUAAAACGCGCCGACAAGCUAGAGUAAUGGAGGAUGAAUUCAAUGAGAGAAUUGAAAGGAUGGAAAGGGCUCAAAAGGAAUUACAAGAGUAACUGGCCAAAUCGCAGCAAGAGACGAGAGACCUAAUGGUGAGAUCUCGAGAGGAAUCACUCGAGCAAAGAGAUCAGAUGGCUAAAAUGAUGGAGAUGAUGACAACUUUGGUCAAAGGAAAAGGACCCAUGCAGAACUCCGAUGUUAUGGAACCUCGGUCAAGAAUUCACCAUGAUCAGGAUCCACUUUAUCCCCCAGGAUUUACUCCACCUCAUGUCCACGCAAUACAACGAGGAUACCCCCAAAGGGAACCUACAGGCCUAGAACAACAUCUUGCUCCGCCCACUAAUUUGGGGCAAGGAAUGUUAGCGUCGAACCUUGGGGCUAGUCCUGCUAAUCCACUAGUUCCAGAUCUGGAUGACCUAGCAGAGGCAGCCAAGUUGAAAUUGGAUAACCAUGACGCAAAAUAUAGGAGUCUAGAGGAAAGACUCAAAGCAAUAGAAGGCACUGAAGUCUUCUCCGCACUAGGUGCCAAGGAACUCAGUUUGGUACCUGAUCUAAUUUUGCCUCCGAAGUUCAAAGUGCCUGAUUUUGAGAAAUAUGAUGGGACAAGGUGCCCAAAAGCACAUCUCAUUAUGUUCUGUCAAAAAAUAACCGGUUAUGUGAACGAGGAUAAGCUACUCAUACAUUGCUUUCAAGAUAGUCUAACAGGGUCAGCUCUUCGGUGGUACAAUCAACUUAGUAGAGAAAAGAUUCGAUCCUGGAAGGACUUGGCGUCAGCAUUUUGCGAACAGUACAAGCAUGUAUCGGAUAUGGUGCCAGACCGUAUGACCUUGCAAAUGAUGGAGAAAAAGCCAUCAGAGACCUUUAGACAGUAUGCGCAGAGAUGGAGAGACGUCUCAGCUCAAGUGGAACCCCCACUAACAAAAACGGAGAUAACCGUUCUCUUUAUCAAUACUUUAAAGGCACCGUUUUAUGACAAAUUAGUGGGAAGUGCCACGAAAGAUUUCGCGGAUAUUGUAAUAUCCGGUGAACUCAUAGAGAACGCCGUCAAGAGCGGUAGAAUGGAAGGAUCAGAAGGCUCAAGAAAAGCAGCACCCUUAAGGAAGAAAGAGCCAGAAGCCCUCAUGGUGGGAACUGGGAGUCGUUACAUUCCCAAUUCAUAUCCUAAUCAACCCCGACCUCGAGAUUAUCCACCCUCGAGUUUCCAUUAUCCCCCUCAAACCCCUUGCUACCAAGCACCACAUCCGUCCUGCCCCGUAUACGCUACGAACAACCAAAGACCCGUCACCACUUUCCCACAAAACACGGUACCCACCCAAAGCCAACCCAGAAACGAACCAAGACCAUCAAGGCAUAAUCCUGAGAGACCGCAAUUUACCCCCAUCCCUGUGUCGUAUGGGGAAUUGUACCCAAAACUUUUAGAAAAAUAGCUAAUUUCUCCCCAUUACAUGGCACCCCUUAAACCUCCAUACCCAAAGUGGUACGAUCCAAACGCUAGUUGUGCAUACCACGCAGGGAACCAAGGGCACUCUACUGAGAACUGUCUCACUUUCAAAAGGAGAGUUCAAGGACUCAUUGAUGCGGGUAUCCUACGAUUCGAUAGUGCUAGUAAAGCCACGGAGAACCCGUUCCCUAACCAUACCGAAGGGAAUGUGAGCACAGUGGGGAAAGAGGAUGAAUGGAAGGUCAGAAGAUGUGUAUCAGAAAUAAGGACGCCUCUGCAGAAAAUCUGGGAGGUAUUGGUUAAGAAAGGAUUGCUCUGUCACUCUGAUAGAAUUUUUGGAGAAGAAGGUCAAAGUUUUUGCAAUUUUCAUGGGAUUGUUGGGCACGACAUUCAGUCGUGCGAGGACUUUAAAAGGUUACUUCAAGACUGGAUGAAUAAUAAAGAGAUCAAGGUCCUUAACAAGAGUGAAGAUGCCAACGAAAGAGAAGUAUGUGUCUCUGAUAGCCAAUCACCAGGUCCCCCUUAUAGUGCUGAUCGACCGUUGGUAAUUUAUUACGACGCGAUGAGAGAGCCCUUGAAACCACAGAUGGUAAUUGAAGUACCAUCUCCUUUCCCGUAUAAGGACAACAAAACAGUACCGUGGAGAUAUGAUGUUAAUAUCGUUACACCGGAAGUUGAAAAGUCCAAAGCCAUAAUUGAAGAUGUUGGGGAGGUAGGUCAUUUUACUCGAAGUGGACGAUGUUAUUCUAAAGAAGUUGAAUCGGUAAAGAAAAGUAGCGACUCGAAGCAAAAAGGAAAAGCAGUGAUGCACAAGGUCGAAGUCGAGCAAGAAAUUCCACCCGUGCAAGAAACUAAAAAGCUUGUGAAUGAGGAAGAAGCUCAAGAAUUCUUGAAAUUUAUUAAGCACAGUGAAUAUAGUGUGGUGGAACAAUUGAGCAAGCAGCCAGCACGAAUCUCAGUUCUAUCUCUACUGUUAAAUUCAGAGCCACACCAGAACGCUUUAUUGAAGGUGUUAAAUCAAGCUUACGUGGCCAACAACAUAUCUGUCGAAAAGCUUGAUAGGUGGGUAAACAAUCUGAAUGCGGACAACUUCAUCUCUUUUAGUGAUGAUGAGAUACCGCUAAAUGGUAGAGGUUCGGUGAAAGCGCUGCAUAUCACGACCCGCUGCAAGGGCUACAUAAUACCGAACGUACUCAUCGAUAAUGGGUCAGCGUUAAAUGUUAUGCCAUUGGCUACACUUUCCAAAAUACCGAUGGAUUUGUCCUACUUAAAGCCCUGUCAUUCCAUGGUAAGGGCAUUCGACGGGACGAAGUGCAAAGUCAUGGGAAAGAUCGAAAUCCCUUUGGAAGUGGGCCCCUACAUCUAUGAGGUCGAAUUUCAAGUUAUGGACAUUACACCCUCUUAUAACUGCCUUUUGGGAAGACCUUGGAUUCAUUCUGCAGCAGCAGUCCCAUCAUCCCUCCAUCAAAAAGUGAAAUUCAUCAUGGAUGGCUGUUUGGUCACAGUCGAGGGCGAAGAAGACAUUAUCGCAUCUAUCUCUGUUGAUGCGCCAUACCUGGAAGUAAGCAAGGACGUAGUGGAAUGUUCCUUUCGAUCCCUUGAAUUCAUCAAUGCCACUUUCGUCGCUGAGGGAAAUAGAAUUUCGAUGUCAAAACUGUCGAGAAAUACCAGAAUGGGUGUCAAGUUGACCGUAGGAAGGGGAGCUUGUGCGAGAAGAGGUUUAGGGAGACAUAUGCAAGGAAUAGUGAGGGCUUUAAAGCCAGUGCACCACAAGGCCUGAUACGGUUUGGGGUUCCAGCCUGACAUGCGCCAAAGAAGAAGACAGUGGAAGAAGGAUCAAGAAAGAAGAAUUGCAAGAACUUUGGGCCGAGAACCAGAAUGGGAACCAAUAGAGUACCCUCCUUUGUCAAAAACAUUUACAUCUGCGGGAAUGAUGUACCCUGGACAAGAGGAUCCACGAAACAUGCUGGGAUUAAUUGAAAAGGAUUUUCAGAAUGUUAGUAUAAAUGUCAUUGACAAAGAAGCUGGUGCAAGUAAAGAUGUCUCGAGGAUACGCCAUUGCCCUCCUGGUUUCAUGUUGAACAAUUGGAUAGCUGAGGAGCUUCUUGUAGUUUAUAAGCCUUCAGAGUAAUGCUAAACAUCAACCUUCUAUUGUGUCCUUAGAUAUAAUAGAGUUCUUUUGUAAGAGUUUGCAUUCGCUCUUUAUCAUUUAAAUGAAUAUCAAUGAAGAUGCAUUUUGUCACGAUUUUUCGCAUUAUCACUAAUUUCAUAAUCAUUUUCUCAUUUCAUAGCCUAUCCUUACAUUUGCCUCAUUGCCAUGACAUAAAAUUUUGUUUGUUGUUUCCAAUACUUGGAUGUCCCCCGAUAGCUUCCUUUUCCAUUCAACUUUCAGGUGCUCAGAUAUUGACGACAUGAAUAAGCCCGUUACGAAUCUUGAAAUUGAUUUUGAGAAGGCUGUUUGCUUAGGAGAAUUUGAAGCCGAAGAAAAUGCUGAAGAUUAUGUCUCGUCUCUUGAAUUGUUAAGAAUGGUGGAACAAGAGGAUAAACAGGUUCUGCCUCAUGAAGAAUCUGUAGAAACAAUAAAUUUGGGCACUGAAGAGAGGAAACAAGAAGUGAAGAUUGGGACUUCUAUUUCAGAAAGUACCAGACGUAGUUUGAUCACUUUACUCCGCGAAUACAAAGAUGUUUUCGCGUGGUCAUACCAGGACAUGCCAGGGCUAGAUGAAGAUUUAGUGGUCCAUAAGCUCCCAUUAAAGCCAGAAUGCAAGCCCAUCCAGCAAAAAUUAAGACGGAUGAGGCCCGAAAUCCUGUUGAAAAUAAAAGAGGAAGUCAAGAAGCAAUUUGACGCUGGCUUCCUACAAGCCUCCAAAUAUCCAGAAUGGGUGGCUAACAUAGUCCCGGUACCAAAGAAAGAUGGAAAAGUACGAAUGUGCGUGGAUUACCGUGACCUGAAUCGAGCAAGCCCAAAAGAUAAUUUUCCCUUGCCACAUAUUGACACGUUGGUGGACAACACAGCAAAACAUUCAUUGUUUUCUUUCAUGGAUGGAUUCUCGGGGUAUAAUCAGAUCAAGAUGGCUCCUGAGGAUAUGGAGAAAACUACCUUCAUAACAAUGUGGGGAACGUUCUGCUACAAGGUGAUGCCAUUCGGGUUAAAGAAUGCUGGGGCAACAUAUCAGAGGGCUAUGGUGACAUUAUUCCAUGACAUGAUGCAUAAGGAAAUAGAGGUCUACGUCGAUGAUAUGAUUGCUAAAUCUCGAGGAGAAGAAGAGCAUGUAAUGAACCUCAAGAAGUUGUUCGAAAGGCUGAGAAAGUUUCAGCUAAAGCUUAAUCCAGCCAAAUGUACAUUCGGGGCUACCUCGGGAAAGUUGCUAGGCUUCAUUGUCAGUGAAAGAGGUAUCGAAGUUGAUCCAGAUAAAAUAAAAGGCAUCCAAGAAUUACCACAUCCGCCACGCAAAAGGAAGUUAGAGGAUUUUUAGGGAGAUUAAAUUACAUCGCCCGAUUUAUCGCUCAACUUACCAACCAAUGCGACCCAAUCUUUCGGCUUCUUCGAAAACAUAGCCCGGGAGAAUGGAACGAGGAAUGCCAAGUGACCUUUGAUAAGAUAAAACAAUAUUUGUCCAGUCCUCCAGUGCUAGUACCGCCAACUCCGGGAAGACCAUUAAUUUUGUAUCUGACAGUGUUCGAAAGUUCAAUGGGUUACGUACUGGGACAACAUGACGAGUCAGGAAAGAAAGAAAAGGCGAUCUACUACCUCAGCAAAAAGUUCACUGAAUAUGAGGCAAAAUAUUCGUCCGUUGAGAAAUAUUGUUGCGCUCUGGUUUGGGUAGCUCGGAGACUCAAACAAUAUAUGUUGUAUCACACGACAUGGCUAAUUUCAAAGCUGGACCCAAUAAAAUACAUGAUGGAAUCGCCGGCACUAUCAGGAAGAAUGGCACGAUGGUAGCUCCUCCUUUCGAAAUAUGACAUUGCCUAUGUAAGUCAGAAGUCAAUAAAAGGGAGCGCAAUAGCUGACUUCUUAACAACUCGAACGACAGAGGAAUAUGAGCCUUUAAGAUUCGAUUUCCCAGACGAAGACUUAAUGUGCAUCACAGAAAUAGAAUCCGAGUCAUCAAAAGAGAAGUCAUGGAAGAUGUUCUUUGAUGGUGCGUCAAAUGCUUUAGGGCAUGGAAUUGGAGCAAUCCUGGUAUCACCAGACGGGAAUCAUUAUCCGUUCACUGCAAGACUGAACUUCUUCUGUACCAAUAAUAUCGCAGAAUAUGAGGCCUGUAUCAUGGGGUUUCGUGCAGCUAUCGAACGAAACAUCGAGAUCUUAGAGGUGUACGGGGACUCAGCCCUAGUGAUUUACCAAAUCCGUGGAGAAUGGGAAGUGAGGGACUCAAAAUUGAUUAAGUACAGCGAUUUAGUGGCUGGAUUGAUCAAGGAAUUCAAAGAAAUAACUUUUCAUUACUUCCCACGAGAAGAGAACCAACUGGCUGAUGCCCUAGCCACUUUGGCUUCAAUGUUCAAAGCAAGUAGAGAAGCAGAAAUAAUGCCCCUCAAAAUGAGCAUAUACGAGGUCCCUGCACACUGUUGUAGCAUUAAGAAAGAAGUAGACGGACGGCCUUGGUUUCAUGAUAUCUUAGAAUAUAUCAAGAAUCAAAGGUAUCCCGAACAAGUAAAUGAGAACGAUAAAAGAACAAUUAGAAGAAUGGCAGCGGGAUUUGUUCUUGAUGGGGAUAUCCUGUAUAAAAGAGGAAAGGAUCAGAUGCUUUUGAGAUGUGUGGAUGAUGUUGAAGCCAGAAAAAUACUUGAAGAGGUCCAUGAGGGAGUUUGCGGAACGCAUGCCAAUGGUUUCAAUAUGGCCAGAAAGAUCAUGAGACUCGGUUAUUAUUGGCUGACAAUGGAAAGUGACUGCAUCAAUUUUGCCAGAAAAUGCCACAAAUGUCAAAUCUACGGCGAUAAAAUUCAUGUAGCCCCUUCACCCCUUCAUGUCAUGACUUCUCCGUGGCCUUUUUCUAUGUGGGGCAUGGAUGUCAUAGGGCCAAUUUCUCCAAAAGCUUCAAAUGGACAUCGAUUCAUUUUUGUGGUUAUCGAUUACUUCACAAAAUGGAUUGAAGCCGCUUCAUUUGCCAAUGUGACGAAGACUGCAGUGUGCAAGUUUUUGAAAAAGGAAAUCAUUUACCGAUAUGGUUUGCCUGAAAGAAUCAUCUCAGAUAAUGCCACGAAUCUGAACAAUAAGAUGAUGAAAGAAGUGUGUGAGCAGUUUCAAAUAAAGCAUCAUAAUUCCUCGCCCUAUCGCCCAAAGAUGAACGGGGCUGUUGAAGCAGCUAACAAGAACAUUAAGAGGAUCAUUGGGAAAAUGACUGAGACAUAUAAAGAUUGGCACGAGAAACUUCCAUUUGCUUUGUUUGCAUAUCGUACAUCUGUGCGAACAUCUACGGGAGCAACUCCUUUCUCUCUAGUCUAUGGAAUGGAAGCUGUGCUACCUAUCGAGGUUGAGAUCCCCUCUCUGUGAGUAUUGAUGGAAUCAAAGUUAGAAGAAGCAGAAUGGGUUCGAGCUCGAUAUGAUCAGUUGAACCUCAUUGAAGAAAAACGUCUAAGGGCAAUUUGUCAUGGGCAAAUGUACCAAAAGAGAAUGAUCGCAGCCCAUGACAAGAAGGUACGACAAAGAGAGUUCCAUGAAGGAGAACUCGUUCUGAGAAAGAUUCUCCCAAUACAAAAAGACCUGCGAGGAAAAUGGGCACCAAAUUGGGAAGGACCAUACGUUGUAAAAAAGGCAUUCUCGGGAGGAGCUUUAAUCCUUACCAAGAUGGAUGGGAAGGAGUUACCGAAUCUGGUGAAUUCGGAUGCGGUGAAGAAAUAUUAUGCUUAAGAUGAAAACCCGAAAAGGGCAUCUUAAAAAAAAAGGGUGAAAACCCGAAAAAGGUGUCUUGAUUAGUACAAAAAGAUUAGGAUGAAAACCCGAGAGGGCGUCCUAAUGAAACAAACCUGGCGGUCAAACGAUAGGUCAAGUAGUGAGACUACAGUAUUUGAAGCACUUCUGAAAGCUCGAAAUUUUCUACGCAAGAAGCCAUGCUCGAAAAGAUAAUUGAUUGAGGAACGUAGAAGAGUUCAUGUGUUGAAUAUCUAGAGCAUUAGUAUCCGUUGAAUACGACCUUUUCUUUCUUUUUGACAUUUUUACUCUCAUUGGUUAACUUUCUUUGUUUGCCACACUUGAAAUAAAGGAAUAUGAGAUAUCCUUUGUGUCCCUACCUGACCAUUUUCAUGCAUCUCAUUAUGUGUUUAUUUAAUGAUAAAUAGUGAAAUGACAUACUCUAAACAAAAGAAAUGUCAAGCAUUACCCGGAUAAGAAUUUGAUAAGUGCAAGAUCUUCAAAGCAAGAACAAAGUUUAACCAAGGGCAAAAGGGUGAUAUCUGAGAAACGUCGAUUACUCGUAAAGCUCGAAGACAGGUAUGAGGCCUGAAGAGAAGGUCGAGAAUCAAAGCAAUGAACGCAGAUCCUCAAAAAUCAUGGCAAAAAUGACAUACGACCAAUAUGCUUAAGGAGCACUGCAUAAUCAUGUAGGCAUAAAGGCAUUUAAGACAAACAUGUGCAUAUCAUGAUGACUUCAUGCAUGGCAUAUACAGGUAAUCCAGUAAAGCAAGAAAUCUUGAAUCGCACAGAAUCAAAGGAAAAGAUACCCGAGUUCUACCAAAGGACUGGUUUUGGUAUUUUGAUGUUUAAUAUUCAUGCUUUCCAAGGAAAAUCAACUCAUAUUGCGAGAAAUGAGUUGAGCCUCAAGACACGUUGAGCUAUUUUUAAUUUUUUUAAAAAUCAACUCAUAUUGCGAGAAGUGAGUUGAGCCUCGGGGCACGCCGAGGUAUUUUUAGUUUAUGUUUUAAAUUGACUCAUAUUGCGAGAGGUGAGUUAAGCCUUUUAAUUUUUGUUUCUCAAAAUUCAACUCAUAUUGCGAGAAAUGAGUUGAGCCUCAAGACACGUUGAGGUAAUUUCAAUUUUUGUUUUCAAAAUUCAACUCAUAUUGCGAGAAAUGAGUUGAGCCUCAAGACACGUUGAGGUAAUUUCAAUUUUUGUUUUCAAAAUUCAACUCAUAUUGCGAGAAAUGAGUUGAGCCUCAAGACACAUUGAGGUAUUUUCAAUUUUUGCUUUUCAAAAUUCAACUCAUAUUGCGAGAAAUGAGUUGAGCCUUAAGACACGUUGAGGUAAUUUCAAUUUUUGUUUUCAAAAUUCAACUCAUAUUGCGAGAAAUGAGUUGAGCCUCAAGACACGUUGAGGUAAUUUCAAUUUUUGUUUUCAAAAUUCAACUCAUAUUCCGAGAAAUGAGUUGAGCCUCAAGACACGUUGAGGUAAUUUCAAUUUUUGUUUUCAAAAUUCAACUCAUAUUGCGAGAAAUGAGUUGAGCCUCAAGACACAUUGAGGUAUUUUCAAUUUUUGCUUUUCAAAAUUCAACUCAUAUUGCGAGAAAUGAGUUGAGCCUCAAGACACGUUAAGGUAAUUUCAAUUUCUGUUUUUAAAAUUCAACUCAUAUUGCGAGAAAUGAGUUGAGCCUCAAGACACGUUGAGGUAAUUUUCAAUUUCUGCUUCUCAAAAUUCAACUCAUAUUGCGAGAAAUGAGUUGAGCCUCAAGACACGUUGAGGUAAUUUCAAUUUUUGUUUUCAAAAUUCAACUCAUAUUGCGAGAAAUGAGUUGAGCCUCAAGACACGUUGAGGUAAUUUCAAUUUUUGUUUUCAAAAUUCAACUCAUAUUGCGAGAAAUGAGUUGAGCCUCAAGACACGUUGAGGUAAUUUCAAUUUUUGUUUUCAAAAUUCAACUCAUAUUGCGAGAAAUGAGUUGAGCCUCAAGACACAUUGAGGUAUUUCCAAUUUUUGCUUUUCAAAAUUCAACUCAUAUUGCGAGAAAUGAGUUGAGCCUCAAGACACGUUGAGGUAAUUUCAAUUUCUGUUUUCAAAAUUCAACUCAUAUUGCGAGAAAUGAGUUGAGCCUCAAGACACGUUGAGGUAUUUUCAAUUUCUGCUUCUCAAAAUUCAAUUCAUAUUGCGAGAAAUGAGUUGAGCUUCAAGACACGCUGAGGUAAUUUCAAUUUCUGUUGUUAAAAAAAAAUCAACUCAUAUUGCGAGAAAUUAGUUGAGCCUCAGGACAUGCUGAGGUAAUUUCAAUUUCUGUUUUCAAAAUUCAACUCAUAUUGCGAGAAAUGAGUUGAGCCUCAAGACACGUUGAGGUAUUUUCAAUUUCUGCUUUUCAAAAUUCAACUCAUAUUGUGAGAAAUGAGUUGAGCCUCAAGACACGUUGAGGUAUUUUCAAUUUCUGUUUUUCAAAAAUCAACUCAUAUUGCGAGAGGUGAGUUGAGACUUUUAAUUUCUAUUUUUCUAAAACCAACUCAUAUUGCGAGAGGUGAGUUGAGCCUUUUUCUGUUUUUCAAAAAUCAACUCAUAUUGCGAGAGGUGAGUUGAGCCUUUUAAUUUCUGAUUUUCAAAAAUCAACUCAUAUUGCGAGAGGUGAGUUGAGCCUUUUAAUUUCUGUUUUUCAAAAAUUAACUCAUAUUGCGAGAGGUGAGUUGAGCCUUUUAAUUUCUAUUUUUCAAAAACCAACUCAUAUUGCGAGAGGUGAGUUGAGCCUUUUUCUAUUUUUCAAAAAUCAACUCAUAUUGCGAGAGGUAAGUUGUGCCUUUUGCAAAUUCUGUUUUCAAAAAUCAACUCAUAUUGCGAGAAGUGAGUUGAGCCUUGGCUCACGUGCUGAGCUAUUUUCAAUUUCUAUUUUUAAUGUCUAGUUUUAANNNNNNNNNNNNNNNNNNNNNNNNNNNNNNNNNNNNNNNNNNNNNNNNNNNNNNNNNNNNNNNNNNNNNNNNNNNNNNNNNNNNNNNNNNNNNNNNNNNNNNNNNNNNNNNNNNNNNNNNNNNNNNNNNNNNNNNNNNNNNNNNNNNNNNNNNNNNNNNNNNNNNNNNNNNNNNNNNNNNNNNNNNNNNNNNNNNNNNNNNNNNNNNNNNNNNNNNNNNNNNNNNNNNNNNNNNNNNNNNNNNNNNNNNNNNNNNNNNNNNNNNNNNNNNNNNNNNNNNNNNNNNNNNNNNNNNNNNNNNNNNNNNNNNNNNNNNNNNNNNNNNNNNNNNNNNNNNNNNNNNNNNNNNNNNNNNNNNNNNNNNNNNNNNNNNNNNNNNNNNNNNNNNNNNNNNNNNNNNNNNNNNNNNNNNNNNNNNNNNNNNNNNNNNNNNNNNNNNNNNNNNNNNNNNNNNNNNNNNNNNNNNNNNNNNNNNNNNNNNNNNNNNNNNNNNNNNNNNNNUAGAUAAUGUGAAUGUAUUUAGAGGUGCUUAUAUAGUAUUCAAAACUAUCAUAUAAAUUCAAUUUUCAACCAUAUAUAAUUGACAUUAUGGGAGUUGGAAAAUGAUAGGGGGCACUAUAGCAAAUGUUAUAGUUGUAUAAAAUUAGGACUUUGUGAUGGAAUAGUUUAGGGCAUAUUGUUUGAAUAUUCCAUAAACAUUAAAAAAAAAACCAAAUUUGUAAUGGAAUAUAAGAUUGGGUUUUCUUUUAUUAUCAAUUUAAAGCCAUGAGAAUCUUUAUUAUUUAAAAAUUAAUGUAAUUGUUAAAUUGAAAUUGCAGGGGAAUUUCAAAUAGGAGAAAAUAUAAAAGAAAUGGAUCCAAAAACAGUGGGAAGUAGUGUUGUAAAAUAUGGGAGGUGGAGAUUUGGAAUGACAAAGAAAGCAAUGGGGCAUUCAUUAGUUUAUAGCCAACUUUAUCCAUUUAAAGGCCUCCAAAAUUAUACCUCUGGAAUUAUUCACCAUGUUCGCCUCACUGGUAUUUCUCACCAUUUCUUCCCUUAUUUAUCUUCUGCAAAUUUGUUUUCUUACCAUUUCUUUCGCAUUAAUACUAACUUUUUUAAUUUACAAUAUGGUAGCCAAUACUGUUUCGGUAUUAGUAAUAUUAGUCGAUACAUAUCACUUUUAAGGGUGAGUUUAAAGGGAUAGGAACAAUUCCGUGUGUUGACUUAAUAGUCAGGGUGUUCACCGUUCUAGGUAUGGUUUGAGUUCAAGUUAAGUUGUGCUAGUCACGUUACUGUUAGGGUUUUGCCCUUCUCUUGUAAUUCAGCAAAAAGAAAUUAAUAUAUGGUGAAAUUGCACUUUAACUCCUCCAAAAAUGAAAAUAUUUAUAUUUAAUUCCUUCAACAAUAAUGAAAUCGUAAGUUAAUGCAAGAUAAAUGACACUUUAACUUAACAAUCUCCGCUCCCCUUAAAAAAAAAAUCCUAACUUCACCCUUAAUCAUCUUGAUUUUAGAUUGGUACCAAGUAGAUUAAAUUUUGUUCUUAUUAAAACAUUGGUGUGUUUCCUUCUGUUUCAGCUAAUACCAACUUAUACCGAUAUGUACCAAACAAUAUUGGUAGGACUGAGAAAGAAAUCAAAAAAUUGAACUAAUUUUUAUUUAUAAUUUUAUUUAUAAUUUAAAAAUAAAAAUAUAUUUAAACAGUGACAAUAACUCAAAUUUUAUAUAAAAACUAUUUAAAAAUAUUAUCAUAUAAGAGUUAUUAAUUUAUUUGAAAAUUAGUUUCUUUUAAAAAUAUUUAUGAAUAUUUUUAAAAAUUUUACAAAAUAAUAUCCAAAAUUCAUAGAAUAAUUUAUCAAGAUAAGUUCAAACACCCAAAAUUAAUAGAUCUUGAACCAAAUAAAUCCAACUAAAAUAAACCCAAAAUUAAUAGACCGAGAAUCAAAUUAUCAUAGAAGAUAUACCAUACACACUAAUACCCAUAAUUACCCAAUAAUUCUUCUCACACUUUGCAGGUUUAAAACCCAACACCUUCUAUUACUAUCAAUGUGGAGACCCUUCAAUCCCAGCAAUGAGCGAUGUUCAUUAUUCACCAUGUUCGCCUCACUGGUAUUUCUCACCAUUUCUUCUCUUAUUUAUCUUCUGCUAAUUUGUUUUCUUACCAUUUCUUUCGCAUUAAUACUAACUUUUUUAAUUUACAAUAUGCUAGUCAAUACUGUUUCGGUAUUAGUAAUAUUAGUCGAUACAUAUCACUUUUAAGGGUGAAUUUAAAGGGAUAGGAAUAAUUUCGUGCGUUGGCUUGAUAGUUAGGGUGUUCACCGUCCUAGGUGUGGUUUGAGUUCAAGUUGUGCUAUUGUAAUUCACCAAAAAGAAGUUAAUAUAUAGUGAAAUUGCACUUUAACUCCUCCAAAAAUGAAAAUAUGUAUAUUUAGUUUUCUUCAACAAUAAUGAAAUCGUAAGUUAAUGCAAGAUAAAGGACACUUUAACUUAACAAGCUACGCUCCCCUUAAAAAAAAUCCUAACUUCACCCUUAACCAUCUUGAUUUUAGAUUGGUACCAAGUAGAUUAAGUUUUGUUCUUAUUAAAACAUCAGUGUGUUUCCUUCUGUUUCAACUAAUACCAAUUUAUACUGAUAUGUACCGAAUAAUAUUGGUAGGACUGAGAAAGAAAUCAAGAAAUUGAACUAAUUUUUAUUUAUAAUUUUAUUUGUAAUUUAAAAAUAAAAAUAUAUUUAAAUAGUGACAAUAACUCAAAUUUUAUAUAAAAAUUAUUUCAAAAUAUUAUCAUAUAAGAGUUAUUAAUUUAUUUGAAAAUUAGUUUCUUUUAAAAAUAUUUAUGAAUAUUUUUAAAAACUUUACAAAAUAAUAUCCAAAAUUCGUAAAAUAAUUUAUCAAGAUAAGUUCAAAAACCCAAAAUUAAUAGAUCUUGAACCAAAUAAAUCCAACUAAAAUAAACCCAAAAUUAAUAGACCGAGAAUCAAAUUAUCAUAGAAGAUAUUUACCAAACACACUAAUACCCAUAAUUACCCAAUAAUUCUUCUCACACUUUGCAGGUUUAAAACCCAACACCUUCUAUUACUAUCAAUGUGGAGACCCUUCAAUCCCAGCAAUGAGCGAUGUUCAUUAUUUCCGAACAAUGCCGGCCUCCGGUCCAAGGAGUUAUCCGGGAAGAAUUGCAAUCAUCGGAGACUUGGGGCUCACGUAUAACACAACUUCAACAAUUGAUCACCUUAUGAGCAAUCACCCGAACCUGGUGCUGUUAAUCGGCGAUGCAAGCUAUGCCAACUUGUAUCUCACCAAUGGCACCGGUGCCGAUUGCUACUCUUGCGCUUUCUCCGACACUCCUAUUCACGAAACGUAUCAGCCUCGUUGGGAUUAUUGGGGAAGGUAAAUUUUAACGAUGUUUCAUGGAUUUAAAUAGCGGUCACAACAUGACAUUACGAUAGUAUUUGUUAUAAAUGUGCAGGUUUAUGCAGCCUUUGGUGUCCAAGGUUCCCUUGAUGAUGAUAGAAGGGAACCAUGAAAAAGAAGAACAGAUUGAGAAGAAGACAUUUGCGGCUUAUAGUGCUCGAUUUGCAUUUCCAUCGGAGGAGAGCGGAUCAUCGUCGACAUUCUAUUAUUCUUUUAAUGCAGGUGGCAUUCAUUUCGUGAUGCUCGGUGGUUACACCGACUAUAACAAAUCAGGGGAUCAAUACCAGUGGUUGAAGAAGGACCUUGCAAAAGUUGAUAGAAAAGUGACUCCAUGGUUGGUUGCAACAUGGCAUCCUCCAUGGUACAGUACAUAUACUGCACAUUAUAGAGAAGCUGAAUGUAUGAGGGUAGAAAUGGAAGAUUUAUUAUACAAAUACGGAGUUGAUAUAGUCUUCAAUGGACAUGUAAGUCGUGCUUUAUAAUGAAUUAAUUCAAUUACAUUCACUCGAAGAGCUGAUGGUCGUGUUCAUUUGGUGAUAAUCAAUAGGUUCAUGCCUACGAGAGGUCGAACCGAGUGUAUAACUACAACUUGGAUCCUUGCGGUCCUGUUCAUAUUACGAUUGGUGAUGGUGGCAACCGAGAGAAAAUGGCAAUUACACAUGCUGAUGAACCCGGAAAUUGCCCCAAACCAUCGACAACUCUGGAUAAAUUUAUGGGUGGGUUCUGUGCAUUUAACUUCACAUCAGGGCCGGCAAGUGGUAAAUUCUGCUGGGAUAGGCAGCCUGAUUAUAGUGCAUAUAGAGAAAGCAGCUUUGGACAUGGAAUCCUUGAGGUAUAUUAUGCAGAUAUUUCAUUAAGAUUAAUUUCUAUGGACCGUAAAAAGGACACAAAGGGUACUUUAAUUAUACAAAAAAAACAUUAACAGCAAGUGUUUUGCAGGUGAAAAAUGAGACUCAUGCACUGUGGACAUGGUACGGUAAUCAAGAUGCUUAUGGGACUACUGGUGAUGUGGUUUAUAUAGUUAGGCAACCUGAUAGAUGCCCUGUUGAACCCGACGUAAUUAAUUAAGAGUAAACUCCAAAGCUUAAUUAAGUUGAUUCAUCUGCAGUCACCAUUAAAAAGUGAUGCCAAGAAAGUUUAGGUUUGAAUCUCGGCAUCUGUCCUCAGACUAUGAUUUCUUUUGUACCAGUAAAUAUCUUUCAAAGCUAUAAAUACAUAUUAAACAUCAAAAUCAGACAGCUGAUAAAUCACAAAGGGAUUAUGUACGUAUGUAUGCAUGCAUGUAUGUUGGCUUCUAAAGAUUGAAAAGUAAAUAAUUAAGGAUUCAAAAGGAACAUUAUUGUGAUAUGAUUUGCAGGUUCGUAAUUUUAAUUAAAUGAAAUAAGUUUGAUGUAACUAUGCAAGUAGUACUUAGAAUCCUAAAAGUUUGAAAUAAAUAUUUGUAACUUUGUUGAAUGUUUUCAUGAGAGUUCCUUUCUCAUGGAGGUCAAUUUCUUUGUUAUAAGAUACGGUCCCAUGGUUUGACAUACUAAGAUUAAAUAGGCUCUUAUGUAGGCUAACACGUAUCCUACUUUAGGGUCAACACGUGUCUCUUGAGUAUGGGUUUGCCUGCAUGGUGGUGUGAACCCAUUAGGUGCGGACUUAUACAGACGAACUAUAUGGUUUGGUUAACUAUAUCCGAAAUAAAAGGGGUCAGAUCGGUCUUAAUCAGAAAACAAAUAAUUUAUGGCGGACACUACAACAAACUUAAUAAUCACAUUUGUUAAUAACAAAUAAUUAAUUUGUUUUGAUAACGUAAUUACAAGACAUAAUUUGAAAAUAAUAUAUGCUUGCUUAGAUACCAUUAUUCUCAGUACUCCAAGUAACAUAAAUAUUGAAAUGAAUUUGUGAGAGAGCUAAGAUGGUUGUAUUCUAAUAGAGAGAUUUCUAUUGCUGGUAAAGAAGACUUUAGCUCCACUAUCGUGCGGCCGUGACAUUAGCUUAAGCUCCUCAUUAAGCUAAUUAAAUGUGAUCUCUAGAUUAACCAACAAUGUCUUCAUAAAGUAGACAACUAAAUGAUCGAUACCACCAGCAUCCUUCCAUAAAUAGCUGCGAAAUAGGGCUUCAACUUCUAACAAAAACGCCUCUUCCUAUCAUUGGGGUCAUGCAUCAAGGUUUAAAAAGUUCCAUAUUGGAUGCAAAAUAAAUGAUAGAACAAGUAAGAGCAGGAUAGACAUUGAGCUUGUGUUGAGUGUACUAUCAAAUGAAGCUCUAGAGAGAAAUGGAGGGCUGAAUCCAGGGUAAUUGAGCCCCGGACCGCCACCUCCGCCAUUGAUCGGUGUGGUUGUCGUAGUUGGCACAUUCGGAUUGUUCCACGACCCUGUUUUUGGCAUAGCUGUCCCUCCGGAUGUGCUGGAAAUUUCAUAACUUAAGCUUUUAAAAUCAAUAAAAUAACAGUGACAAAAACUACAAAUAAUGAUGGAAUCCAAUUUGGUUGGUAAUUUUCAAAAAAUAGGCGAAAGGAGCUAUUAUUAGCUUUUGCUGGAACCCAAUAGAGGUGCUCAUGGGCCGGGCCGGGCCGGGCCCAGAAAAAAUUUCGGCCAGUGUCCUAGACCCUGGCCUGGCCGAGGCUGAAAUAUGAGCCUAAAAUUUUAUCUAGGCCAGGCCUGAAAAAAAAUUCAUAAGCCCGAGCCCAGCCCGGCCCAUUUUUUAAAUAAACACCAAAAAAAAUUUAAAAAUAAAAAAAUUUAUUUUAAAAAUAUUUUAAAAAAUAAAAAUAAAAAAUAUUUUAAAAAUAAAAAAAUAAAUAGAUUUAUUAUAUUUGGGUCGGGUCGGGCCGGGCCAAAAAAUGUUAUGUGAGGCCCGGUCCAUUUUUUAAAUGGGCCUUUUUUUUUGUCUAAUGUCAUAUUUCGGGCCUAUUUUUUACUUAAACCCUCCCAUAUUUUGGGCAGGCCAUUGGGCCGAGCCGGGCCGCCCGGCCCAUGAAGACCUCUAGAACCCAGCAAUGCGCCCAUGGAUAGAGAUGACAACAAGGUGAGACGGGACGAGUUUUUGCUCGCCUCAAUUUCGACUCGAUUUUUAUAUCCUCUACUUCGAUUUAUUCUGAGCUCGAUUUUAUUUAAAAAUGUAAAAAUAAUUAUAAAAUUAAAAAAAAAGUGUUUUAGUAAGUAAAUCAAGGCAGACAAAUCGAAUUUUCAUCUAAAUCUAAACUCGAAUUGAUCUUGAACUACCCAUGUAUGACUCCAGUAUCCAAAUAUCUAGAGUGUUUUUUGACCGUUGGAUGUCUUUCAAGAAAAGAGUACCCAUCCAACGGUUGAAAAAGUCUCACCUAAACAAGACGGUAGGAAAACAUUACAAGUAAAGAAGUGGCCAACAGACAUAAAUAAGCCUGGAAACGUAAAAGGUGUAAACCUUCACAAAGUGACGACUGCAUGUAGGAUACGAAAAUGGACGGUUAGAGAUCAUGCCGAGAAACACGUGUCAGACAUCUACUCAAUUACAGCAUCACCAUGAAAGGCUCACACCCACUUGAGAAUCAAAGGAUUAUGCAAAGUUGAUUCAUGUUAGUUAAUUAGGAUUUAAACAAUAUCUUAUUUUGCGCCUUUUUGUUUUUCUGUCUUUGAUCCUCUUACAAGCCACAAGGGUUUCAAUAAUAAAUUACACCCAACUUCAAAAAGUUAUUAAAUGAGCAAUAAAUUAUUCAAAUUUUUUUAUUUAAGUCACUAAACUAUUUAAAAGUUUUUAUUUAAUUUACUGGGCUGUUAAAUUUUUUUUUUAAAAAGGAGGUUCAGCUAGUGAACUCCAAGCAACAAUUUAACAAUCGGUAUGGUGGAUAAAUACCCGCUGACGAGUAGAUCCAAGUUGAUCUAACGGUUAGUGUCGGAGAUCGGAGAAUGAAGAGAAAAACUGUUUGGAUUUUAGUUUAUAGAUUUGUGACGUUAAAAGUUAUUUCAUAAAAAAAAAUUAAACUGUAAAAGAGAAGGGAAAUUAAAGCUUUUGAGUGUUGCAAGCAAUGCAGACAAAGAAAGCCGUACAACAGUAAUUUUAACAACCCGAUGACUUAAAUGAAAAUUUUCGAGUAGUUCAAUGAAAGAAAAUACAAAAAAUUCUCUCUGCUGCGUUGUUUUCGUCUUCUUUGCAGGUAAGGAGGCUAGCUGGCGUAAGGAGGUGGUGGAUGUGGCACAGCACACGCGGGGAAGGCCUUGGUGGCUGCGGCGCCGGAAGGAGGGCUGUUGCAGCUAGGGUUUUCUGAUUUUUUUUUUGUUUUGGGCUAGGGUUGUGUUGAUAGUUGUAUUGGGCUAGGUUUUUGGGCUGGGUGUAGUUGGACUAGAUGCAUCUGACUUUGGGUUUGUACCGGGUCACUGUAAAUGGGUUUGGUUUUUAUUGUUAUUGGGCUGUGAACUAUUUGAGUUUUAAUUAAUUUUUAUUUAUUUGGUUUUUUAUUGUGGGCUGGGCAAAUUGGGUAUUACAAUCAGCUAAUUAGGAAAGACUGUGAUGAUAGUCACACCUUACAUCCAAAAGCAAAGCUUUUUACAUGUGUAUGUGAGGUUGCUAAGCAAAUCUGAUGAGCCUUCACUGAUGUUUUAAGGUUAAGUUAAUGUUCCUUUUCGGCAAAGAACAUUAUCGAGAUCACGGUAUUUUGAUCGCCUUUUGCUUGUUAUGUUAUUUGUUCUGAAACGAUUGCAUAAUCUUUACUGUGAUUGCAGGAUAUAGAGCAACUUCUGAAUUUCAUUGGUGUAAAGAGUUGAGGACCACGACAUGUUCUUGCAAAUUUGAAGGAGCUUCUAAGGUCUGUCCGGUCUUCAGAAUAUAUAGAUACCUGAAUUAAUUUUGAUUUUGUAGGAUCAACUAUAAUUAGCUACUUAUUACACUAUGAAUAGACAACCUCACCUUCUUCACACACUACACGUGCGGAUUUUUUACCAAUCCCAUUUCAAAGGAUCACACUUUUUUGUUGUUUACAGAAUCAUAAUUAAUGUUAAUUAAAGUGGAAUAUUUCAGAUUUCUGAUGAUGAGCAUAUUCUUGAGUAUUGCAGUAAAAAAAUGGGUGUGGAACUUAUUUGAACUUUGAAUGUAUGUUCUGUUGGUGAGAAUAUAAAGUUGAUAAAGAUUUGGUAAAUAGAAUAAAAUAUUAUUUUUAUUAGAAAAAUUAUUUGGUAGACUGCCAAUCGAGUUAUAAUUAUCAUGACGUAAAACAUGUCAUAUUACAAAUAAUAAAAUUAUAAUGACUCAAAUAUACGAACAUGUCAAAAUUUACGUAAAACGAAUUAUUAACAUGUCAAUGUAUAAUACGGUACGCAAAAAUAGGAUAAUUGCUUGUUUUUUAAAUUGAAUUGUUAUAACAUAUUAUACAAAAUACAUUGUGAAUUAAAGCAUAAUAUGAACAUGAUAUCAAAAUAUUAAAUAUUUUUUAAAAUUUGAUGAUACGAAUAAUUAUGUAAAAUAUAACAUGAUACAAAAUAACUUGAGAGGAAAAGAGGAAUAAAGAAUUGCAUUGUUUGUGAGGUUUUAAAAUAUUCCAGUUUUAGAUUCAAUUUUCUAGUAUGUUUGGUUUAAUUUUACAUUAGAUUUCCUUUUUAGUAUGCACUAGUGAACGCUUGGCAGUUAAUUUAAUUUAAUUUAAUUUAAAGAGAUAUUGCAUAUACAUAAUAAUGGAUUAUGAUUUUACAUUAAACUUCAUAGAAGAAAAAAGAAAUAGACGGUUGAAAAUGAUAAAACCAUAAGAUAAAAGAGCUUUUAUUUAAAAUGCAAAAAUCAACAAAAUAUGCAUUAUCGCUCAACUUAGCAUAAUUAAACAUUUAGGUGUGGAAAUCAAAUCACAAUUUGAGUAGCUAAACAUAUCGCUUGAAAAUGUGAUAAGUAAGAAAAUUGCCCACAUUUGAGUAGCGACAGGUGGUAAUGCAUUUCCCAACAAGAGAAAACCAAGCUCUUCGCCAGUAUGGAUUUAUGUAGAGGACAACAAAAAUUGUUAACAACACAACUACAUAAGAAACCAAAAAGCUCACACAAAAAUCAUAACUAUCUAUCAAACCAUCUUCUCCUUUAUCUUCUGAUACAGUUGAUAUUGUUGAUGGUGAAUCGGUUUUGGAACAACUUUUAUGCAGUAUAGGUCCACAAAGAAAAGGGUUUCCUUCAUAACUGUUUUCAAUAAAGGUCUCAAAUUGAGCUUUUGGUUCGGGAAUACUACCUGACAAGUUGUUAAAUGCCACGCUGAAAACCUCCAAAGAGUUUAACUCUACCAAUUGAUUGGGGAUUUCACCACUUAAGUUGUUGUAAGAAAGGUCCAAACUCUCAAUUUGAUGUAGUUUUGAGAGUGACGAGGGUAUAACUCCGGUCAACUUAUUGUGUGAAAGGUUUAAAGAAUGGAUUUCACUCAAGUUCCCUAAUUCUGGUGGGAUAUGACCAGUUAAGUUGUUGCAAGAUAAAUCAAUCCCAGUCAUAUAUGAAAGGAUGUCGCCCUUGUAUGAAUAGAACCCACUCUUUGUUGUGAACUCUAUUACUUCUUCUAAGUAGCUACUAGGAUAGUAAGAAUCCAUUCCCAAAUUUAGUAUCAUACUGCGUGUUGUUUCAUCCUCUUCUAUAGAUGGCCCAUAGAACCAAGUUUCUAGAAUCUUCUUCGUUUGCAUUGGAAGAGAUAAAUUUCCCAAACAAGAAGGUAUAGGACCAGAAAACAUAUUUUGAGAAAGAUCUAUGAUGCUUAAAGAAUGCAACUUGCAUAACUCAAUAGGAACUUUACCAUGAAAAUGAUUAUCUUUCAAGAGAAGAACACUCAAAGAAGAAAGCGUGUAAAUCCAUUUUGGAAUACUACCUGUCAAAUUGUUUCCUCUAAGAUCUAAAGUCACUAUUGAAGAGCUAUUAUAAAAAGCAAGUGAUAGUGGGCCUCUCAGUCUAUUCCCGUGGAGGUGGACAUGCUCUAUGUAUGGUGGAUUAAAACAUGACGGUAUAGAGCCAGAUAAAUUAUUUUGAGAAAGAUCCAAAAAUUCCAACCUAUUCAACUUGCAAAAUUCCAUUGGAAUGGAACCUUCAAAACCAUUGUUGGACAUAGCUAAUCUCUGCAAAAACGAUGCAUUCCCUAUCCAUCUUGGGAGCUUUCCAUGCAACUUGUUGUUACUGAGAUCAAUUUCGCUUAGUGAAUUUGGAAACUCAAAAGUAGACACAUCAACAUUUGUCAUCUCUCCUGAAAAAUUAUUUCCAUCCAAAUAUAAAUGCUGCACCCCAUUUGCGCUGAGAAUCACAGGAACUACAUUUCCACUGAGGUUGUUAUUUGAUAGUCUCAAAAUGGUCAGUGAGCCUUUCGUGAUCAACUCUUCUGGUACUUUUCCAUACAAAUGAUUGUCUAAUAGAUCUAAAAAUGAUAAGUCCUUCAUGCCACUUAAACAAAGUGGGAUAUUAUCUUCAAAAGCAUUCUUGGAUAAGAAUAACCGACUCAAAUGUGGAAAAGUUGAACAUAUACCAGUUGGAAUUUGACCUUGUAAUUUGUUUUCAGAUAUGUCAAUUGAAGAUACAUCAGAAAUAAGAGCCGACGAAAGUGAGAGAGGACCUGUAAAUGAAUUACCCUUCAAGAUGAGAUCUUCUAACUUUGUGUUGUUUUCUAGCAACCAAGUUGGUACAGUUCCACUGAGAUUGUUAUGAGAAAGAUCCACAUAUCUCAAGUCAUAUUGGUAGUAAAGGAAGGUAGGAAAUUUACGAUUGAGUUGUUGAGAUGCUAUGCACUUUGGCAAUCUGAUGACUUCCAAUUGGAACUUUGGGAUUGAGGUAUAAAAGGAAGAUUCCAUUACCAUCUUGUUUUCAUUAAUCGAAAGGGCUUUGAGGUUUGAAAGGUUUGCAAAUGGUGCAAAUGACAGCGGAAUUUGAAAAUGGUUUCUUGAAACAUCUAACACACGAAGAGAUGUCAAGUUACUAAAACAACGAGGAAGCAUCCCCUCAAGUGCAUUGUUGCUCACAUCCAAUACUUCAAGGUUCUUUAGAUCACACCAUCCUGAAAAAUUUAUAAAUUCAUGGAAGAAAUUUUAAUUAAAUUUGGUCCUAUUAAAUAGAAUAGGAGAUAUUAUAUUACAAAAGCUAGUAAAGAAAUCAAUUUGAGCCAUAAAAUUAUUUACCUUGAUUAGGUAAGGGACCAAUAAGUCCACAAUGAUAUAAAGACAAUGUUUUAAGAGAAGCGAAUACUCCAAUGCUUUGCAAAAUGUUGGUGUUGAGAGUAGAAUAGUCAAGAUAUAUUUCCUCCAAACUGCUCGACACAUUUGAAUCUAAGCAAUGUCAAGAGGUAUUAGAUAACGGUAUUAUAGAAAGCCUCUACUAAGUAGAAUGCUUUAUUUUCUGUGAAUGAAAUGAAGUAUAUAAAUAUAUAUAUAUAUUUUUUAUGAGUUAGAUUAUUCAUGAUUUAUCUGAGAUAAAUUUUGAUAGAGAGAAGAUGUUGAAACUUUAAUAUAACUCUUCAUCCAUUUUAUUAAUUAUACUAUUUUUUUUCUUUUUAGUAUUUUCUUAUAUUAUUUUUUAAUAUAAGUAAUUAACUGAUAUAGCUAAGUUGUAUAAUUUUCAAACUCCAAUCAACAACACUAUAAAUAAUAUUUAUAAAAUAAAACAUGUCUACACUAAAUGUAUGUUUAAAUUUCAUAAAAUUGAAGAUAUUUUUAAAUUAUUCAAAAUUCACAUGUCUACACUAUAAAUAAUAUUUAUAAAAUAAAACAUGUCUACACUAAAAUUAUUAUAUUACCUUUAAAGAUGCCAAUAGUAUAUAAAAAAAUCAAAUAGGUAUUUUACUCAACAAUAAAUAAAACUCAAAAGAAUUAUAAGUAAACUCAGCGGAUUAAAUGAAAAUUUUAAAGCAUUAAAUCUUGGCCCAAAAAUAGAGUUAAGUUAAAAUUCAAAAUUCAAAAUUAUUUUAUUAAUAUUGUUAAAAUUAUUUUAUUAAAUCCAUGUUCAUUACGUCAUUUUUUUAGUUACAUUACUACUAAGUUUUUUUUUUAUUUCAAAAUGUCACACCAACAAGCUAUUUUAAAAUUUUAACAAUUUUAACAAUUUAACUAGGAUUUUGAUUUUUUUUUAUAAAAAAAACAGGGAUUAAAUUCUUGAAAAUAAAAGUAUAAGAAUUAAAUUACAAAUUAGUAAAGAGUACAUAGACCUAUCAUAUUUUUUAAAACCAAAAAGUUAAAAACAUAUGCACUUUGAAAUUUAUAAAAAGAUUGCAAUGGAAGUUUAAGCACCUCUCAAUGUAUGUUUAAAUUUCACAAAAUUAAAGUUUUUUUUUAAAUUAUUCAAAAUUGACAUUUAUUUAUUUUUGCCAAAAAAUGCCAUUUAUUUAACGCUAAUAUGUAUUUUUAUGUUUUAUACUAUUAAAAAUAUAUGAAAUUAAAAUAUAGUUAUAUUACAUAUUUUCUCAUAAAUAUAUGUUUUUAUUUAUUUAUAAUAUCAUUUUUUAUUGUUAUAAUUAUUUUUUAUCUCAUAAAAAUUCAAUAAAUUAUUUUAAAAAAUAUAUUUAUACAAACAAAAUAAUUAUAAACAUUAAUAUUUUAAAAUGAUGAAAAUUUUAAAGAAUUUUAGUUUCAAACCAAAGUCCAAACACAUUAUAAUGGAUGAUUUAGAAAAUGUUUCACCAAACCCAUAUUUUACUUUCAAGUAUGAUAUGAUAUAACUUUAUUAAUAUUUAUGACAAUAACCGUUAUUAUAAUAUUUGACAUCAAAACUAAAUUUCUAAAUUAAAAAAAAAAAGGAAGUUUAAUUAAAUGAUACCUUGGUGGAUCACCAAAUCUUUCAAUUCAUUAUAGCUCAUAUCUAGUUUCCUUAAGUUGAUAAAUGCUUCCAAAUCUAGGAAAACAAAAACAACAAAUCAACUUCAUUAUAUUCUCUUAAAACAUUAUUAUAUUCUUGUUAAAAAACUAAUACUUUUACCUUUCAUAUCUAUUGAUCCUUUCAAUUCAUUGCCUCUUAUGCUCAAAGAUUUCAAAUUUGAAAGCUUGUUAAGGGAUGCAAAUACACUAGUAUUGAAGUGAUUUCCAUCUAAAUUAAGCUCUUCCAAGUGGGUCAAUUCCAAUUUUCUACCAUCAUCUACAAAAGAUUUAUAUAAUUUCAUCAUCUACCAUCACUAAUUUCAUCUACCAAUUUGUUAAAUUGCUCAAUCCUAUACAUAUCCACGUACAAUUCAAAAAAUCAUUAUGUUAAUAAUUUUAAUUUCUACUUAAUAUUUUAAUGAAAUAAAAAUGAAAAAAAAAAGUAAAUCUAAAACUUGAAUUGAAGAUAAAAAUCCUCAAACGUGAAAUGUGAAUGUUCAAAUUUGAAACAAUUAAUUUUAAAAGGCUCUAGAAAGAAUUAUCAAGAAAAACAAAGUUAUAGCUUUAGUACCUUUAGUAUCUAAUGAGCCUUGCAAACGGUUGUUGAACAAAGUCAAAGACUUUAGGCUUGAAAGCCCUUGAGGAAAGGAAAUUGUGUUGUUCCGAAAGAGAUUACCACUCAAAUAAAGUUCCUCUAAGUUUGUUAGCCUCAAUUGUGUUCCAUCUAUCAUUGGAAGAAAGUAAUUAGUAUAGUUAACAUCAUUCAAGAUAUAAAUAGUUAGGAAAAAUGUUUGUUUGAGAAGGAAGAGCCAAUUUACAAGCUUUCCGAUGAAUUGAUUCAAUAUAUAAAUACUUUGUUUGAGAUACCUUCCUACUUAAAUUACUCAAUUUUGAAAUUUAAUCCCAAAUAUUGAUUACUUAUAUAUAUUCAUGAUAUGAUAAAAUCAAAUGACUUAUUGCAACAACUUUUCCUUCAACAUGAAUUUAUUUUAAAGAAUGCUAUUCUUCAAAUAAUUCCAACUUAUAUCAAUAAUUUCCAAUUUAAUGAGCCAUUGAAAACCUCAUUUAUAUAUUAUAUAAUUAGUUACUACAAAACUUAAAUAAAUAAUAAUACUCCAUUUUUGCAAUAAAAAUUCACUAAAGAAAAUACAUUUGAAGUCUGUCAUUGCCUUUUGGAAUAAGAGUCGGUCAAGAAAGUUACUAUGCAGAAAUACUUAUACCUUUGUUUGAGAUGCUUUCAAUGUCGUUCCAACUUAAAUCCAAGUACUUCAAAUUUGUCAAAUUAUUCAAUCCUGAAAUUCAAUCCCAAAUAUUGAUCAGUUAUAUAUAUAUAUUCAUGAUAUGAUAAAAGCAAAGACAUAUUGCAACAUUAACUGUCCCUUAAACAAAAAUUGGUUUUAAAGUAAAAAAGAAACAUAUAAAACCAGUCUACCUUUAAUAUGAAUUGACAUAUAAAUACUGUACUUAUACCUUUGUUUGAGAUGCUUUCAAUUCUGUUCCAACUUAAAUCCAAGUAUUUCAAGUUUGACAAAUUAUUCAAUCCUGAAAUUCAAUCCCAAAUAUUGAUUAGUUAUAUAUAUUCAUCGUAUGAUAAAAUCAAACUUGAACAUACAUUGAUUUUUAAAUCAAGGAUGAAAGAUUUCUCAUAUGAAACAAAAUGCUAUUCUUCAAAGAAUUCCCACUUAAAUCAAGAGUUUCCAAGUUAUUGAGUCUUGAAAGCAAUUGAAAACCUGAUAUAUAUAUUUACUUGUUAAUUGUUUUUUCUUUCUUAGCCAUAUGAAAAUUUUACUAAAGCAAAAGUGGAAUUACGACGGAUAAAAAGAAUGGAAAACUAGGUACCAAGCCUAGAAGACCAUCCUCAAACUCCACUAUACAAAUAAAAACUAACAGCAGACCAAACUUAAUUUACCUCUUUGAUGACCUGAUCCUUCAAAUUUGUUGAUUGAUAGAUCUAAAUACCGGAGAGAUGAAAGCUCACUCAAAGAUAACAAAAUGCUAUCAUUCAAGUAAUUGAAACUUAAGUCAAGGAUCUCCAAAUUACUCAAUGUGGAUGAUAGUUUUCCAAAGCCUAUAGAAAUAUUCUUUUAAAUAUAUACAAGUUAGUGACUUUUCUUCCAUAAAAUAAAAUAAAAUAUAAGUAAUUGCAAAUUAACGAUGGUAAGAGUAGUGGGAUAAUAAAAGAUGUAAUUAAGGAAAAACUAGAGGCACGACCUUCAUUUUCAAGGUUACCACUUAUGGCAUUCCCCCGCAAAUAAAGACUCUUCAAUUCCUCAAAGGGAAGAAACAUAGAGGUAUUGAGAUACCAGGCAUUGAGAUUCCUAUUAUCCGUUUUGUAUCCCAUACUGUCAAACCAUCUUGUAGAAUUAAGGGAGAGUUGUAUGAGUCUCCUAGUGGUGGUGUUACACUCAACUCUUUCCCAUUUACAACAAUCUGAACCCUUCACCUCAACCCAACUUUGCAAUUGAUUUUGAUAAUUGAAGAAAGGCUUGAGAUGCAAGAGAGCGAUUCUCUCAUGCUCCAAACAAGCAUCAGUAGUACACCAUCUGCAUCCUUCUAACACCAACAACAUUACUGCCAUCCUAAUAAGCCUUAACCAUUUCCACUCCAUCAUCAUCAUCUCUCUGUUUUCACUUCUCUCUCAGUUAUAUGUUACUUUUUGUUAACUUCUAUAUGUAAAUAAUCUAAAGCAGCCUAACCUUCUUAUUUAUAUACAAGCAGAACAUACUGGAUCCCACUAAUUCACUAUAAUGUAAAAAUAAUAUAUAAUUAAUUAAUUCCUCAAAAAUUGGAUCAAAAUCUAGGCUUUUUAUUUACGUAAAUUCCUUAUUGCAAAAACUCCUGGUGGAAAUUCGUUAGGAAAGGAUGAAUGGACCACAAGAAUGUUGAUGUUAAUCUUGAAAAACGAAUGGCCAAAAAAAUAUGAAAAGUGAGAGGUGGACAUAAAAUCUUGUGGUUGGGGUUGCAAAAGUCUUCAUGUGGCUUUCUUGUGAGCUUCAUUUAUACCCUUCUUACACAUAUACAAACUUAGUCUUGACUUGGCUUUAUUAAUGGAAAAUUUAGGUCUUCAUUUUUGGUUUCAUUCAUGGAAAUUUUACUUCUUUGAUUUUGAUUUUGCUUUUAUUCUUGCACAUUUUAGGUUUUGAUUUUGAAAAUUUAGUUUUUUUCAUCUCUAUUAUUAUAAAAUUUCUUGAUUUAAUUAAUAUCAUGAGUUAAUUUAAUAUUUUAAAAAAUAAAAUAUUACAUUCACUAUUUUUAAAAAAAUAGGAGUAACUAUAAAAUUUAAUUAUUUAUAUAAUAUUUUUAUAAAAAAACUAUUUAUUUCUACUAGACCACUACUUUAAAACUAUCAAUUAUCAUAUAACUUCUCUUUAAUAAUUCACUAUUCUUUGAACAUUCAUUAGUUUUUGAAACAUAAAAUUUAUAAAUAAUUAUUUUUAAAAUGACUUGAGUUUUACUUGAAUCAUUUUUGUAAUUAGUUAAUUAAAUUGGGUUAUUUUUAAAAAAAAUCCUCUUAACUAAUAGCAAAAAAAAAAAAAGAAAAAAAAAAGCCAUCAUGUAGAAAAUUCUGGUUUGUUGGAAAGAUAAAGACUUGCACCAUUACUUUAAAUUUUGAAAUGUUCAACUUGAUAUUGACAUCUGAUAAUAUGUACAAAUUUCUCAUUGUUUUGAAUUUUAGUGAUAUUACACAUAUGAUAAUAUGUUUGUCACACCAAAUUUUGAAAUAGUAGAACUUAAUGAAUUUAACAAAUACUUAAUGAAUUUAAGAAAUAUCUAAAAUAUCAAAUUAAAGUCUAGGAAUUAAAUCUACAACUUCAGUAAAGUACAAGAACUAUUGUAGAAUUAAACCUUUAUAUAAUAAUUUCCUUCUAUGAACCACAAUUCAAGUGCACCCCACAAGCAACAUUAAAAAAUUGGCAUGUGUCUAUUUUUUUAAAAAUAUUUAUUUUUUUAAUAUUAUAUACUACACCUCUAUAGGAUACGUGUCAAUCCUUUAACUCUCCUUAUGGAAUUUAAAAACUCCACUAACAAUGUACCAAAUAUUAAUCCUAAUUAUUAUACUAUUCAUGGAUAAAGAUAAAAUAUAAUAUUUGCUUAAAAAUCUCAAUUAUAUAUAUUUGGUCACCCAUUGUGAUGUAAUAUAGCACCGUCUACAAAAUAGUUGGAGGAAAGUGUUAAGAAAAUAUCAUUACAUAUAUCAACAUUCGCAUAAUUCAUUGCAUUAACUUUCAAAUGUUAACUAUUGACUUCUGCGUCAACUUUGAGCUUAUAUAGGUCCCCCUCAUGGAAAUUGAGAAAAACAAAUUAAUAUGUAUAUUCUUGUGGGUGGAAAUUUAGUGGAGAUGCCCAUCAUCUUUCCUAAUUAAUAAAAAUGAAGACUUAGAAAAUGUGCAAUCAUAAUCCUAGUCGUCGUUAUGGCCCCAAGAAUAGUUAUCUUAAUUUGUCUCUCUUCAGGAUUAAAGAUAAAAAAUAAAUUUUAUAAAGUUAGAACUAUAAUUUUAUAAUUAUAUUAACAUAUAAUUUCAUAAAAUUUUAAAAAUGUAUCUUUUAAUUUUUUAAUUAAAUUGAUAAUUCGUUAACUCAUAAUAUUAUUUUAUUUUUCAAAAUAUUUACGAGAACGAGUUCGUAUUCUAUUGUGUGGAAAAUUUUAGUACAGAUUAUUAAGUUAUUGGAGAAGCCAAAUCCAACUUGUUUGACCAAGAAAGUUUUUGUCGCGUGGAAAAUGGACAUUACCAUUUCCUUGAAUGACCUUCAAUUUAAUGUAUUCACACCAAAUUUCAUUAAUGAGUAAAACAAAUAAUGAAUAAUAAUGAAAAUUGGAGGAAAUUGUUAAGAAAUUAUUAUUACAUAUAUCAACAGUCACAUAAUUCAUUGUAUUAACUUUCAAAUGUUGACUAUUGACUUUUACAUCAACCUUGAGCUUAUAUAGGCCCCCCUCACGGAAAUAAUCUCAUAAUUAAUGCCUGAAAAAUUAUUAUACAUCAAUUUACAGUUUUAAUCCCUAGACUUACUCAAUUGAAUUAAAAUUUUAGUUUUUAUUAUUUAAUUUGAACUAUUACUUUAGAUUUUGAAAUGUUCAACUUGAUAUUACAAAUUUCUCAUUCUUUUGAAUUUUAGUGAUAUUACACCUAUGAUAAUAUGUUUGCCACACCAAAUUUAGAAAUAGUAGGACUUAAUGAAUUUAAUAAAUAUCUAAAAUAUCAAAUUAAAGUCUAGAAAUUAAAUCUACAACUUCAGUAAAGUACAAGAACUAUGGUAGAAUUAAACCUUUAUAUAAUAAUUUUCUUCUAUGAACCACAAUUCAAGUGCAUCCCACAAGCAACAUUAAAAAAUUAAAAUGUGUCUAUUUUUUUAAAAUAUAUUUUUUUUAAUAUUAUAUACUACACAUAUAUAGUAUACGUGUCAAUCCUCUAACUCUACUUAUGGGAUUUAAAAAAUCCAGCAACAAUGUACGAAAUAUUAAUCCUAAUUAUUAUACUGUUCAUGGAUAAAGAUAAACUAUAAUAUUUGCUUAAAAACCUCAAUUAUAUACAUUUGGUGACCCAUUGUGACGUAAUAUAGCACCAUCUACAAAGUAGUUGGAGGAAAUUGUUAAGAAAAUAUCAUUACAUAUAUCCAACAGUCACAUAAUUCAUUGCAUUAACUUUCAAAUGUUGACUAUUGACUUCACGUCAACUUUGAGCUUAUAUAGGCCCCCUCCUCAUGGAAAUAAUGUCACAAUUAAUGCUUGAGAAAUUAUUAUACAUCAAUUUAUAGUUUUAAACCCUAUACUUACUCAUUUGAAUUAAAAUUUUAGUUUCAAUUUGAUAUAUUUUGUUCCUCUUAUUAAUAUUAAUGUUAUAGAUUUAUUAAAAUAACUAACAUUAUUAAUUCUCUAACAUUUAAAAAUUAAAAUUAUGUGGUUAUUAAAAUUAUGAUGCUAAAUUGAGAAUUAAAAAUUAUCAAGUUUUAAAUGAUCUCGGGAAUUAAGAAGAGAUCGUGUCCUAACUUAUUGGGCAUGAUCCUUUUUUUUCUCAAGUUUUAAAUGAUCUCAGGAAUUAAGAAAAGAUCGUGUCCUAACUUACUGGGCAUGAUCCUUUUUUUUUUAAAAUCUAAGAUAGCUAAAUAUUUUUUAAAUAAGUAAAUUUUUGGCAUUCAUUCGCGCAUCGGGAAUUCAAGACAUUGUGUCCUAACUUACUGGAUAUAAUUCUCUUUCUCGAUUAAUGUGAAUUAUGGCUUUUUCCCGAAAAUUUUCAACAUUUCAAUAAAGGAUCGUAUUUUAAAUCUCUUUAAAGUUUUCAAUCUUCGAUACUAAGACAUUAAUUAAUCAACUAGGUACCAAUUUUGGGCGUAACGAGGGUGCUAAUCUUUCCUCGUACGUAACCGACUCCCAAACCUGUUUUUCUGAAUUUCGUGGACCAAAAUUAUUAUUUUAUUAAAAUUAAAUUGUUUAUUAAAAAUAACCACUUUUCAAGGUGGCCCGAUCACACCUUAUCAAAAAGGAUUGGUGGCGACUUCCAUAUUCGUUUUCAUUUUUUAAAAUCCAAGUCGACCCCGUUUUCACAAAAAAAAAAAGUGUCAACAAUUAUAUUAAUAUAUAAUUUCAUAAAUUCUUUAAAAAAAAUUGUAUCUUUUAAUUUUUUAAAUUAAUUUAGUAAUUCAUUAACUCAUAAUAUUAAAUUUUUUAUUUUUCAAAAUAUUUACGAGAACGAGUUCGUAUUCUAUUGUGUCGAAACUUUUAGUACAGAUUAUUAAGUUAUUGGUGAAGCCAAAUCCAACUUGUUUGACCAAGAAAGUUUCAGUCGUGUGGAAAAUUUUAGUUUUGUGGAAAAUAUAGAUUAACUUCUAUAUAUGUAUGUAAUCUAAAGAAGCCUAAGCUUCUUAUUUAAUUAUAUACAAGCAGAAGAUAUUGCAUCCCACUAAUUCACUAUAAUAUAAAAAUAAUAUAUGAUUAAUUAAUUCCUCAAAAAUUGGAUCAAUCUAGGCUUCUUAUUUACGUAAAUUCCUUAUUGCAAAAACUCUCGAUGGAAAUUCGUUAAGAAAGGAUGAAUGGACCACAAAAAUGCUUAUCAACUCUUGACUUUGGCGUUCAAUGCUAAGUUCAUUUUAAAAUUCUUUCAUGGAGAGAAGAUGGGAUGACAAGAAUGAUAAGUUUUAAGUCAUUUAAGUUUACACAAAAUUUUAAUCACUCACAAAAAAUCAGUCUUGAUAUUCUAUUAAAAAAUUUAAACAUGGCUUAACGUUGAUUUUAAAUCUAAUGUCGAUGUCAAUCUUGAAAAACGAAUGGCCAAAAAAAUAUGAAAAGUGAGAGGUGGACAUAAAAUCGUGUAGUUGGGGUUAUAAAAUUCUUCAUGUGGACAUAAUAUAUUUUUUAUGCCCUUCUUACACUUAUAUAAAGUUAGUCUUGAUUUCGCUUUAUUAAUGGAAAUUUUAGUUCUUCAUUUUUUGUUUUAUUCAUGGACAUAAUAUUUAUUUUUAUUUUUUAUUUUUGUGUUAUGGUCUAUGUUCGAGGUUUAUGGCUAUCCCCUUUCAACAACGUCGUCUCAACGGUUCAAACAUACACUUGCAGGUAAAAUAAUACUUUUUAAAAUCACAAAUAUUUGAAAUAAUAUAUUGCAGCUAUAUAAAUGCUUUCUUGUUUAAGAUACUAAUAAAGUAAUUAACAAAGUAAUUAUUAUACCUAUAAUAAUUCAAAAUGCCACUUGUUAUCUAAUGAAGUAUAGGGGUGCAAAUGAGACAUCCGUACCCGCAAGCUAUUCGAAUUCGGCUCAAAAAAUUUUGAAUUUGAUUCGGUAAUUAUUGCGCCGAGCUAUAGGUCGAUCCGGAUUCAAGCUUAGUAAUACUUGACUCGAGUAGUUUGGGAGCCUUAUUGAACUUUUCAUAUUUUUAUAUUAUUAGAUUACAUUAUUGCCUUUAAUAUAUAUUGUUAACCCUAAGUUUAAUUAUUGAGGCGAGCUCGAACUCGAGUACAAAAAUUGAUAAACAGAUUUAAUUUCGAGCUUAAAAAUAUAUGUUCAAUCGAGUAUCAAGCUUUGAAUUUCAAAUUAAACUUGAGUUUAACCGUAUUGAGUUCGAAUAGAUUCAAUUACACCCUACAAUAAAAUAUACCAACAAAACCUACAUUCCAUAUUUGCUUAAAAACUUUGCUGUAAAUUUUAUAUAUGUGUGUGUUUAACGUGAGUUCCAUCUAUGUCCAACUUGAUGACGAUGAAAGUUCCUAUGGUGUAAAAAGUUUUAGUUAUGUGGAAAAAUAAGGUCUUCUCUUCACACGUUUAAUAUGCUUACUUGUGACGGUCAUUUCGGGCUUGACAUCAAUUUUCAAAAUGUUCUAAUUGGUGGAAAACUUACGUCUGCUUUUAUGAUUCUUUCAAGUCAAUUGGAGAAUGCCUCUGUUACACUUCAAAAGAAGUAGAUUUUGAACUCAACAUGAACCUGUGAGAUUUGAUGCCUAAAAUAUAGGUAUAAGGUUUCAAUUCAAGGAAAUGUUGGAAGUCCAGGAAAUUUCUUAGUCUCCUCUCUUUGGAUGUUUUUGAACAAAAAUGUUUUAAGUCUCUUCCGAUGCUAAACUUCUGAUUGGUCGUCGGUUCACUGACCCUUUGGUACACAGCAAUAUGAAGCAUUGGCCAUUCAAGGCCAUUGCUGGUCCUGGUGAUAAGCCAAUGAUUGUACUACUAUAGAUUUGAAAUGAUUGUACACAUCUGAUCGGCUCUUUGUAAAUUUAAAUCUUACAAAUUCGGAUAAUAUUCGAAUUUAAAUAUUUCAAUUACUAUCUGCAAUAGAUUAAAAACAAACGUGAUUAUCAAUCCUUGGAUAUCCACAUACAGAUUAUGCAAUACAAUCUCUUAAGGCAUAUAGAAUUUGGGUCUUAACCAAGCUAUGUUGCUUAAAAGCUUGCUAAAAGCACCCCUAACAAAGGGGUAAAUAAAUAAAAUAUCAAGCACCAGUUAUCAAAGCAGAUUGACCACCUUAUAUCUAUGUAUGCUACUACAAAACUUGCACCAUUAAAAUCUCAAGCUGGUAAUUGGAGCUUCAUGUUAUUCUUGCAGCUGCAGGCAUAAUAAUCAAAUAAGUUGCAAUCAUUCACAUAGGUACUAUGAAGUGCUUUCCAGAGCGUGAGAAACCUCUGGAAGUAAUAGUAGAAGAAAUCAGCAUAAAGCAAUGUCUGGACAAGACCGCAAAUCCAAGCUGAUCAAAGGCAUCAAUCAUGUAAACUAGGUGUUAGAAAUAACAAAUAUAGCAUAGAAUAUAACAAAUAAUGAAUAACAAUGAAUAGUACACGUUACCAUUUCCUUGAAUGACCUUCAAUUUCUCCAUUGAGAUAUAGUAAGAGGGAGUGGAAUAGAUGUAAGGUAAUAUUUGAUGUAUUCGGUAAAUGAAUAAUAACACCACAUUCCAUUAAUGAGUAAAACAGAUAAUGAAUAAUAAUGGAAGUUUUAUAAAAUAAAAAUAAAUUAAAUCAUAUACAUAUAAUGUAUUAAAUCUUAUUCGUGAAGUUCACAAUGAACAAAAUACUAAUCCAUAAUGGAGAAAAAUAACCUAAACUUUAAACAUUUGUUCAUUACUAUAAACAUAUGUACAACUUUUUAAAGGUUUUAUAUAAACUAUUAAAAGGUAUAAACACUCUCAUAAAAAUAUAUUAUUAAGUACGUCUUCUUUUACUAGGAAAGUUCCUAUCCUGUAGAAAAAUGUAGUUUUGUGAAAAAAGGUCUUCUAUGCACUAAUUUGUGGCAAUCACAUGGGGUUUGGGAAUUUCAAUUUUGAUAGCCAACCGAGAUUCACUAAAUUUAAAUUUUAUUAUGAUUAAUUACGCUCUUCGUUUUGGAGAAAUAGGUAAUCACAACAACUAAUUUAAUUAAAUGUAAUUUAAUAAUUAAUUUUUUUAUAAUUUAAUUACAUUAACUAUAUUUAAAUUUAAUAUUUAGUAUUUAUAUUUUAAUUUAACAUAAUUUAAUUCACUUACUUUUAUAAUAUUAUUAGUUCGUCUAAAUAGUUGACACCUUUAAUUAAUUCUUAUUAAAAUGUUAAAAAUGUUUAUACUUAUUUUCCAUGUUAAAAUAUAUAUUUUUUUGUGCUUUUAAAAACAAAAUUUCACAAUAUCAUUUCCCGAUAUAAAAAUUAAAUCUCAAAUUAAUUUAUAUUUUUGUAUUUUUUUAUAACUAAUGUUAUCAAGAACUCUUAAUAGUGCAACUGAUUCCACCAUAAUAUUUAUAUUCUUUAAAUAUGAUUUACAAUUUAUGUUUGGAGUUCGUGACUGUCAUUCUUAAUAAUGUCAUUUCUAAUGUUCGAACAUGCAUCUCCCCUUGAGAAUGCAAUAUUCAUUACUAUUGCACCUAAUUAUUUUGAUAAUUUAAUUUUAAAUAUUGACAUAAAAAUAUUUUUAAAUAUAUUAUUAAUAAAUUUAAUUAAGAUUAUAAAACUUGAGGUUUUUUUUAAUUCUUCAAAAAUGUCAUUUAUUUAUUUUUGGCCAAAAAAUGCCAUUUAUUUAACUCUAAUAUGUGCUUUUAUGUUUUAUUUUAAAAAUAUAUGAAAUUCUAAUGAUAGUUAUAUUACAUAUUUUUUAAUUUUAAAUAUCAUUGUUCUUUUAUAAUUUGUUUCAAGUAUGAAAUGAUAUAAUUUUUUUUAGUAUCUAUCACAAUAACCUUUACUAAGAAUUGAAACUAAAUUUCUAAAUUUUGAACAAAAAUGAAAGUUUAAUUAAAUGAUACAUUGGUGGAUUCAUUACCCCUCAUAUCUAGUUCCCUUAAGUUGAUAAAUGUUUCCAAAUCUAGGAAAACAAAAAACAACAAAAUCAACUUCAUUAUAUUCUCUUCCAACAUUAUUAUAUUCUUGUUAAAAAUCUAAUAUUUUUACCUUUCAAUCCAUUGCCCCAUAUGCUCAAAGAUUUCAAAUUUGAAAGCUUCUUAAGGGAUGCAAAUACACUAGUAUUGAACUGAUUUCCAUCUAAAUAAAGCUCUUCCAAGUGGGUCAACUCUAAUUUUCGACCACCAUCAAUAAAAGAUUUAUAUAAUUUCAUCACUAAAAUGAAUUGGCAUAAACUUUUAUUAUAUAUAAGAAUUUAGGUAAUUGGUUAAAUAUAAAUGCAUACCAUUUAAGGAUUGAAAGCUUUCAAUUUCAUUCCAACUUAAAUCGAGUUUCUUCAAAUUUGUUAAAUUGCUCAAUCCUAUACAUAUCCUCAUCCAAUUCAAAAUCUGAAAUUAGUAAAGAUAAAAUUGCACAUUGACCCCCUAAAAUUGAUAAAAAUUUAAUUUAAUUCUUUAAAAAUUAUAAACAUAUGUAGCGACCUAAAAAUUUCGGCACGGGCGCUAGUCGAAGUAAUUAUUGUAAAUUUGAAAACUGAAUCUCGAUUUUAUUUGAAAAAGGAGUCGCCACCGAUAUUUUUUCUAGGUGUGAUCGGACACCUACAAAAUUCUCUUUUUAGAAGAAAAAAUUAUUUUUAAACUUUUCUAAAAAAGAGGUAAUUUUAGGUCCACGUAAAAAUCCAGAGAAAAUUAGGGUCCGGGAGUCGGUUACGCGCGAGGAAGGUAUUAGCACCCUCGCAACGCCCAAAAUUGGUAUCUCGUUAAACGCGUGUUGUCUUCAUUUUCAAAAAUACGAGUUCAAUUUAAUAUUAGUCGUGAUCCGAUUGAACACGAGAAUUUUAAAGCGCAACAACUUUUUCUUUUUUGAAAACACGAAAAUUUUAAAAUACAAGAAUUUUAGAAACACAAAACUUUUUUUUUAAAAAAAACACGAAGAAUUUAAAACACGAGAUUUUUUAUUUUUAUUUUUGAAAACACGAUUCUUCUUUUUGAAACACGAAAAUUUUUAAAACAGAAAAUUUGUUUUUGAAAACAUAAAUUUUUUGAUAAAAUACGAAACACGAGAAAUUUUGAAGACAUGAAAAUUUUUGAAACACAAUUUUUCUUUAAAAAAUACCGUAUUUAACACGAAUCGAUGAUAUUCAUCCCGAUAUGGCGAUGAAACCAUCGAAUUAGUGUUAACUCAAUUCAAUUUAAUAUUUAAUCGGGAUUCUAAUAAAACACGAGAAUUUUUAUUAAAAUACGAGGAUUUUUGAAUAUUUUUAUUUUUAAAAGGGUGUCCCGAAUUUAACACGAGCUAUCGAUAUCCACCCAACAUAGCGAUGAAUUCGAUGACUUGAUGCUAAAUCGGUUCGUUGCCUUAUGCAUUAAAAUAUUAUUAUUUUUAAAAAAAAUAUGCAAUUAAAAUGACAUAAUAAUAUUUAUGAAAACUGUUUUAAAGCAUACUAAUUUAAAUUAAAUAAAACACCAUUUAAAUAAAUAAAAUAAAAUAAAAUAGAUUAAAAAGAAAAAAAGAAAAAAAUUACCCAAAAGCCCAAAGUUAUGGGCUUAAAUUUUGGGCCUCCCCUUUUAUUAUUUUUUUUGCUGUUGGGCUNNNNNNNNNNNNNNNNNNNNNNNNNNNNNNNNNNNNNNNNNNNNNNNNNNNNNNNNNNNNNNNNNNNNNNNNNNNNNNNNNNNNNNNNNNNNNNNNNNNNNNNNNNNNNNNNNNNNNNNNNNNNNNNNNNNNNNNNNNNNNNNNNNNNNNNNNNNNNNNNNNNNNNNNNNNNNNNNNNNNNNNNNNNNNNNNNNNNNNNNNNNNNNNNNNNNNNNNNNNNNNNNNNNNNNNNNNNNNNNNNNNNNNNNNNNNNNNNNNNNNNNNNNNNNNNNNNNNNNNNNNNNNNNNNNNNNNNNNNNNNNNNNNNNNNNNNNNNNNNNNNNNNNNNNNNNNNNNNNNNNNNNNNNNNNNNNNNNNNNNNNNNNNNNNNNNNNNNNNNNNNNNNNNNNNNNNNNNNNNNNNNNNNNNNNNNNNNNNNNNNNNNNNNNNNNNNNNNNNNNNNNNNNNNNNNNNNNNNNNNNNNNNNNNNNNNNNNNNNNNNNNNNNNNNNNNNNNNNNNNCUCUUUUUACUUAAUUAUUUAUCAAUUUACACUAGUUCGAGUUUUUGUAACAGUAUCAUGGAGACUUAUGUACUAGGAGUUAGAUUGUAUUUUGCCUCUUUUACUCAAAAAAUGAGUAAAUUAAUCCUUGUACGUUAAAUCAAUGAGCAAACUAGUCCUUUUAGUUAACAUUUUCAUUCAUUUUUACUAUUAAAAAUUGGAGUGACUAACGAAAUAACCAGAUAGUUACACAUUACAUGCCAAGGGUGAAGCCAGAAAAUUCUUUUAGGGGGCCGAAAUUAAAUUUUAAUUUUUAAUAGCUUAUAUCUUUAUAAUUUUUAAAUGAUUAAAUCAAAUUUUUAUCAUUUUUAGGAGGGGACUAAAGUGUAAUUUUAUCUUUACUAGUUUAAAUUUCUAAAAUUUCUAAAAAGCCUAAAUGGAUAAUUUUCAAUUUUAGAGGGGUCAGGGCCCUUGCCAGCCUCCCUAGAUACGCCACUGUGGCAUGCCACAUGUACCUCAUGUCAGCAUACAUGAACCCGUUUUUAACAGUUAAAAUGGAUGAAUUUUUUAGUAGAAGGAUUAAUUUUCUCAUUUUUUGAGUAGAGGAAAGAAAAUGCAAUCCAAUGCCUAAUACAAGGGCCUCUAUGUCUUUCAUUAUUACUCAAUUAUUUGUCAUCAAAAGUUGUAUAUGUUCAAAUAUAAAUACAAUAAAACACAUAUGUAGUUAUUAAACAUAUCAUGCUAAUGUCAUUGUUUCUUCUUUAUCCAAAAUUAUUGGACUUAUAAAAUUCUUGAGAAUAAGAAAACCCCAUUAAACUUCCUUUUAAGUAAAACGUGUGUUCAAAAUCUUGAACUAGGUUUAUGCAGCAAUAGAAAUUCACAAGCUGUUUUUUUUAUACAUGAGAUGUGAAUCUCAAAAUUUUAGGGUUUCUGAUCUCAUAUAUUUUGGGUCCAGAUUUAAUGCUAAGGAUUUGUUGAGAAAGUUGAAAGGGAAGAAAAUGAUGUUCAUUGGGGAUUCACUAAGCUUGAAUCAAUGGCAGUCUCUAACAUGCAUGUUGCAUGCAUUUUUGCCACAAUCAAACUACACUGUUCACAGAGAAGGGAACCUUUCGACCUUUUAUUUGCCUGUGAGUUGCCAAAUCUAGUAGCUAUUUUAUUUCCUUCUUAUAAUUAAAACUUUUCAAUGUCACCUUUAGAAGGUAGCUGCAUGAAUCAAAUGAGUUAAAUCAAAUAGACUAAUUACUAUUGUUUGGCAAAAAUACCGAGUAGACCUUUUUAAAAAUAGUUAUUAUACUUUUAUUACAACAAAAUAAGCAGGGGUGAACCUAAAAUUUUUUUUAGCAGGAUAGAAAUUUAAUUAUAAUUUUUUCAUAGAUCAAAAUAUAAAUUUAUUAUGAAUUAAUUUAUAAUUUUAUCAUUUUUAAAGGGAUUAAACAGAAAUCAUUUCAUUUUUAUGGGGGUUAAAGUGUAAUUUUACUAUAUAUUAAUUUAUAAUUUCUUUAUUUAUAAGACUAGAAAAAAUUUUCAUGGGGGCCAAAGUACAAUUUUACUAUAUAUUAAUUUAUAAUUUCUCUAGUUAUAAAAGAACUAAAUUAAAAACUUUUCAUUUUUUAGGGGGGCCAAGGCCCUGCCUACCCCUUUCAGAUUAUUCGCCUCUGAUAAUAAGCCAUUAAACUUUAAUUUAUAACCGUUACCAUUAAUUUUUAACUUAUAUCCAAAUAACCCCUUACCAUUUUAUUUAUACUCAAAAUAAAAUUUAACAUAAAUAAAGGUGAGAGAGGGGCCUUGGCCUAUUGGUUAAAAUAGAAAAUUUUCAUUUAGGUCCAAAGGUAAAGCCAAAAAAUCAUUUUAGGGGGUUGGAAAUGAAUAAUAAAUUUUUGGGGAGACUAAUAUUGCAAUUUUAUCAUUAUAUCAACUUAUAAUUUCAUAAAUUUUGAAAAGAUUAAAAGACAAAUUUAUCAAUUUUUGGGGUUGUCUACUCUCCUGAGUUGGUCUCUAUUGAAAAUUAAUAAUUCCAUAAAAUAUAGCUUUCCUAAAUUUAUAAUUUUAGCUCGACCCUAAAUAUAAAAUUCUUUGCUUUACCCCUGAUAUUAAAUCAAAAGAUAGAAACUUAUUAUGUUACUAUAAGAAUAUAGGGAUUUAUUUAGCAAAAGCAAACUAUUUCAAGGACUUUUUUGGUAGUUUGCACUUAUAGUUGGUAUUAGUUAGAAUUAAGUGCCAAGAUUAAGUUUCCUUUGAGAUAUAUAGUUGGUUAAGCAAUUUAAUAUAAGUGGAAAUUUAGACCCCUAAGUUAUACCCUUCAUGCAUUUGGACAACUGUGUUGAGCCAAAAAAAAAAUUGCAGGAGUAUGAAGUUUCGUUGAUGCUAUCACGCAAUGCAUUUCUUGUGGAUAUUGUCCAAGAAAAGAUUGGCACCGUUCUGAAGCUUGAUUACAUUAAAAACGGCGAAUCAUGGAAAGGAUAUGACUUUCUCAUCUUCAAUACCUGGCAUUGGUGGCUCCACACUGGAAGAAAACAACCGUAAGCAAAACAUAAUUUCAGCAAUUAAAACCCGAUUUUUUAAUUGCAUCCCGAGUAGAUUUGUAAACAAAUACAACACUCGAAUUGGGUUGGGUUUGAACCGGAAUAUCAUUCCUAUAGUUUUGAUUAGACCUGUAGUUUAAAAGUUAAUUAUUUAUUUAAGUUUGAAAAUUCGUUUGAAAUUUAGAAGAAUAUUUAGAUAAAAAUAUUAGACUUCAUAAAUGAGCUUGAGUAAAAAAAUUAAACCCGUUUUUAAUAUGGGUUAAGCUUAAGCUCAAAAAAGUUAAGGAUCCAGACAUGUUGAUGAACUUAAAAUGAAUUUGCGAUAACUAUUUACAAAUAUUAGUAUGUUGGAGCAAAAUUUUAAGCCAUUGUUUGGUCCAACUAAAUUUAGGCAAAUAUAAAGUGCGUUAAUAUCAUGCUUAAAAUUGAUUCAAACUGAUCCCAACCCAUAACCACUUCUAAUUCUGAUUAGUUUGACUCAACCUUUUUAUUCUUUUAAAUACUUAUAAAAUCUCUUAUCCAAUUAUAUUUAUAUUUGAGCAAAAAAUGAUGUAUGUAUGUAUGUAUGUAUGUAUGUAACUUGAAAAAUGAAUUGGAUAUUAGAUGGGAUUUCAUUGAAUCAAGAGGAAAGGUGAAGAAAGACAUGGAUCGUAUGGCUGCAUAUAGAGAGGCACUAAGAACAUGGUCAAAAUGGGUGGAUUCCAAUGUUAACACUACAACUACCCAAGUGUUUUUUCAAGGCAUUUCUCCGACUCAUUUCAAGUAAGCUUUAGCUCUUCUCUUCUCUUCUCUUACCAUUUGCAUUAACUUCCUUGUUCUUAUUUUACUUAAAAGAAAUGGAAUUAUGAAAAAAAUUGAAAGCCAUUUUUUUUCCAAUAGAACUUAAUUCAUUUUAAUCCCAUCAGAUUUGGUUCAAAUUAGAGGUGUUUAUAAGUUGGUGAGUCAAUCGGCUUAGUUCGCUUUAGACUGCACUUGAAGUUAAGUUUUCAAGUUUCGAGCCAGAUUAGCCUUACUUGUUUUAUUAGUCGAAGAAAACUAUUUUUAAUUGUUUUAUAAACAAUGAAAAUGGACCAUUUAGGUAAGCUUAAGUUUGGAAAAUUUUUGAAAUUGGGCUUAAACUUGACUUGGAAAAUGAACACUUAUAGUUGAAAGAAACUCAUUUGUCAUAAAGCACAAAUACUUUUAUGAUUAGAGACGUUAAUGGGCUUGAACUUAAAUUUUCUUUUUGGUUUAAGCUUGGUUCGAGUUGAAAACUCGUAUUGUUUAAAAUAUUUCUAAUAUAUUAUUGUUUAAAAUAUUUCAUAAAUAUUUUCAAAAUGAAAUAUGUGUAAGAAUCAUAAAUUCAAGCUGUAGUGUUUCCUCAUAUAAAUUAUGAAUCACUCUAAAUAUCUCAAAGAGAAAAUGACAGUUCAUUGACAUCUAUAUAAAGAUUUUUUUUUUUAAAAUAAAAAUCAACAAGUCUCUUACGUUAUCCAUAUAUAAUAUGUGGAUGUACAAUUAUAAACUUCACCUCAAACAAUUUGGUAUUUUGAUCCACAAUUUUGACAGUGGCAAAGAAUGGAAUGGUACCAAAUCAACAACUUGCACACAUCAAAUCAGACCGGCUACCGAUUUAACGUACGAAAGUGAUCCACCUCCGGAAGUGACGAUCGUAAAGGAAGUGCUAAAAAACAUGUCGACGCCGGUGGUUUUGCUCGACAUAACCAGAUUAUCACAGCUGAGGAAAGAUGGUCACCCAUCAAUUUAUACUGGUCUAAAAGGAAAUGAUUGUAGUCAUUGGUGCCUAGCUGGUGUUCCUGAUACAUGGAAUGAAAUCUUAUAUGCAAUUCUUACAAGUAGGAAAACUUAAUUCAAGAUUAUAAUUUUUUUUUCAAUUUAAUGUAUUUAGUUAAUAAAAAUUAAUUUCCCAUUAAUAGAUGAAGAAUUUUAAAUUUAAUAACAUAGGUGUAGCCAUCAAUUUAAUGUAUUUUUUACCCGAACCCAAAUUAAGUCAAGCUCAAACCAAUGGAAAACCUACAAUAUUAUUCAUAAUAAUAUUGAAACUUUAGAUUUUUUUAUUAGUAUUAUAUAUUUUAAUAAUUAAUUUUAAAUAUUUUUAUUAAUAAAUAGUAUUCAGGUCGCGCCAGCCCAAUUUAAAAGAUAUUUAACUCAAUAUAAAUUCAACAUAUUAAAUGAAUAAUUCAAAUGUCAAAAUGAGCAAAGGAAAAUCUAGAGUUGUAAGCUUUGCAACUUUAAAUUGGACAUGAGAGUUUCUUUUAUUGGAUACAUGCCACAUUAUUUUUUAACAAAAUUCCUUUAUUUUAUCAAUUGAAUUUAAAUUAUUAUAUUAAUAAAAUUAUUUAAUUAUUUAAUUGUGUUUCAACCUUUUACAUAAAAUAAAAUUUUCUCUUUUAACUUUUUCAUCAUUUAAUUUUUCACUUUUUAAAAUCACCCUCAAUUUCAAAUAUAAAUUUACUUGUGUAAAAAAAAAUCUAAAUCUGUUAAUUGCAUCUAGAACUUUUCAGAGUUGGUCUUGUCAAAAUUUUAAGUCUAUUUGCUAGGCCCAAGUUUGGCCUAAAAAAUAGACUUAAAAUUUUGUCUAAAUUUAACCCGGAUAAAAUAUUAAAAUCAGGCUCGACUCAACUCACCUGAAUUAAUUUUUCUAUAAAAAUAUUAAAAAUAAUAGGUCAAAAUACUAAAAAUAUUAAAAUAAAUAUUUUUUAAUAAUUUAAAAAUAAAUUUAAAAAUAUUUAUACUUAGAUAAAAUUAACAAUAAAAUAAUUUUUUAAUGUUUAUUAAAAAAUGGGCCGGACCGGGCUCGGGCUUAUGAUAUUUUUCCCGGGCCGGGCCUGGAAAAAUAUCAGGCCCAUAUUUCGAGCCGGGCCAAAAAAAAUUUCUGGGCCCGACCCGGCCCAUGGACAGGUCUAAUCUUAGACCUUUUCAGUGUUGGUCUUGUCAAAAUUUUAAGUCUGUUUGCUAGGCCCAGGUUUGGCCUAAAAAAUAGACUUAAAAUUUUGUCUAAUUUUGACCCGAAUAAAAUGUUAAAACCAGACUUAGACUCAACCCACUUGAAUUAAUUUUUUAUAUAAAAAUAUUAAAAAUAAUACGUCAAAAUAUUAAAAAUAUUAAAAUAAAUGUUUCCUAAUAAUUUAAAAAUAAAUUUAAAAAUAUUUAUACUUAGAUAAAAUUAACAAUAAAAUAAGAGUUAUAUAAUAUAUAAAUAAUAAUAAAAUAAUAGUAACAACAAGAAAAUAGUAAUUUUUUGUCUUUUUGUUAAUUCAUAUCGGACCGGGCUUAACCCGGUUGAGAACGGUACUUAUAUUUGUACAAAAAAAAAAUCAAAAAAAAAUGUGAACGGUACUUAACCCGGUUGAGUCGGAGCUCCAUGACCCGAACAGCAAUUUAUUUUUCAAUUCUUCUUCGUUACGCAAAAAGGAAAAAAAAAAAAACAGCUCAUGAAAAUGGCAUGGUCAAAUACUCUGCUUCAGAUUCACAUCAAAUCCCCUUCGAUCCCUUCUCUCCAUUUCCCACAUUCCCUCCCAAAAAGCUCCCCAUUCCUUCUUAAUCCUAACCCUAUAAAUCCCAUUCCCAGAUCCCUCAGAAUGCAAUUCCUUCACAGACCCAACGCUGUCCCACUCGUAUCAAGAGCCAUGGACAUCAUCCAAUCGUCUCCUCCCACGUGGCAAUCCGCAGUCCUCAGUAACCUCUUGAUCUUCGUCGUCGGCACCCCACUUUUAGUGGCGGGGCUUUCUCUCUCCGGAAUUUGUGCUGCGUUCUUGCUUGGCACUCUCACUUGGCGCGCUUUUGGCUCCCCUGGGUUUCUCCUCGUUGCUUCGUACUUCGUUAUUGUGAGUUGCUAAUAAUAUAUUAUGAAUUGUAGCUGAAUUAUGGGAAUUAAGUUAAAUUUUGGAAAUUGGGUUUUGAUUUUGUAUCCAUCUGGUAUUAAAAGUUGCUUGCUUUGGAGAAUUAGCUGUCAUUGUUUGGUAGUAUGGCAAGGAAAAUAAACUUAAUUUAUGUCGAAAGGUUACUUUUUAAUUAGUUAGCUAUUCAAGUUUGAUUAGUUGUAUUUAGAGAAAUUGAUUGUACUAGGUGAAAUGAGAUCAAAAGAUUAACAAAAGUUACUUGAUGGUUUCUAGCUUUUUAGCUGAAAUAAAGUCCUGUAUGAAAUGAUAUAAUAUUUUAGUUUUCUAUUAUGGCUUGUUUUCCUUGCAAAGUAUGAAUCUUGAAUUAGUUCCUGCCUCCCUCUUCUAAUUCUCCUUACCCAUUUCUAGUUGAAAGUUAAUUGAAAUUCCAUGUGAUUUUGUGUUAUAAUUCCAGUUCAUAAUCUGAAUGGAGACAAUAAAUUUGGAUGAAGGAGCUUUAAGCAGUGGGAAAAAUCCAUAAUAAUUUGUAAUUCUCUAAAUCUCUAAACAAUCUUACAUCUCUUUGUCAUGCCUUUCAAACAUAGUUGGUAUAACUAUGUUCAAUUGUCUUAGCUAUUGUUUAAUCAUUUUUAAUUUUUCAUUCCCCCUGCUCCCCCAAAAAAAAAUGUUUGUCUGAGCAAUGAGUCUUUCUCAAAAUCAAUUUCCAAGGCCAUUUUAUUUGAUUAUGACUUUGUGAGUAAAACAUGUUUGUAUUUGUUAGGGAACCGCAGUAACAAAAGUGAAAAUGGCUCAAAAGGAGGCCCAAGGGAUUGCUGAGAAGAGGAAAGGAAGAAGAGGACCUGGGAGUGUAAUUGGGUCCAGUGCUGCUGGUUGUGUAUGUGCUGUUCUAACAAUAUAUGGAGUUGGAGGAGAGGCAUUUACACGUCUUUGGCAACUUGGUUUUAUUGCUAGUUUCUGUACUAAGUUGAGUGAUACAGUGUCCAGUGAGAUUGGGAAAGCAUAUGGCAAAACAACGUAAGUAGUGCAUCUCUGUUUGUUAAUGUAUAGGCGCUUUAGAUUAACUGUAUUAAUAAUUCUCCUUAGUUCAUUCUAAAGAAAGGAUAUUUCAAAUCAAGUGGAAUUUAGAUCCCUUAUGGUUCUUGCUAUAUUCGAGCUCUAUUAUUGUCAUAUAUGCUGGUGAUAAAGGUCGCUUUGACAUCCUAUAUAGAAACAAAAUUUGUGAGUGUUAAUAUUGCCUCAAAUCUUUUUUUUUUUCUUCAAAGGUUUAUGUCAAUUGCUACUCUCUUUUUUUUUUACUGUUAAACUACACUUUAGAAUUGCAAAUAUAAAGUGUGUGAUGUGCCAAAAUGAACAGGUACCUGGUGACAAACUUUCAGAUUGUUCCUAGGGGAACAGAAGGAGCUGUCAGUGUUGAAGGAACUGUUGCUGGACUUCUAGCAUCUAUACUGCUUGCCACUAUUGGUUGUCUAUUGGGUGAGGUAGUACUUGCUAUGUACUCAUACUAUGUGAAUAAUUUGUUCUGCCAUUCAUGAUACCAUUUUUUUUUAAUAACAAGCAUUAUUGUGAUCAUUACAAAAUGUUUACACCUUGUAAGAACCUGGAAUUUUUUCUAGUCUCUGCAACAAUAGACUAAUUGGUGGGGUGGUGCCUAGAUGGAAUGAUUUUGCAGAUAUAAUUUGUUGAAGGUGUUUUUCAAAGGGAACUCUUAGCAAAAUAGCAGAUCAUGAUAUAUUUAUAAAUUGAUUUUGACAUCUCAGUUUAGGCGUGUACGACCUUUGUGAGCAUUAUUUUGCUGGGAACUUAAAUUUCAAUUUAAUAUAGUUCAGGUAUUACAAUUUGGUAAAUUGGAUAAUAUUUUCAAGGGGAAGGAGAAUUAAAUUAGUUGAAACCGAUUUUUAUUGUUAGUGGUUUUUUGUAUGUGAGUGGAUGAGGUUGUCUCUCUAGCCUUGCUGCAUCUUUAGCUAGGAUUUUCUCAAAAAUCUUGUAUAUAUCCCUAAGGUUAUGGUGUUGUUCAUAGUAUUGACGCCAUAACCUCUAUACACUUUCAAACUGAAUAUGAUCAACAGCUUCUAGAGAAUGCAUAAAUGAAAUAUGGGUAUUUGAAUUUAUAGAGAUGUUCUAAGCUUCUGUUUUUUGCUUUUUCAUUUAUCUUUGCAAGCAGAUAAAUGUACCUGAGGUAUUGAUAUGUGUAAUAGCAUCCCAGAUUGCUAAUCUUGGUGAGAGCAUAAUUGGUGCUGCAUUCCAAGGGAAAGAAGGAUUUCGUUGGGUAAGGAAUCAUUUGAAUAAUAGGAUGGUUUCUGUCAUCCUGUUUUCUUAACCAUUUUUUCUUAAAUUUAGUGCCUAUGUAUCUUCUAGAUUUUAGUGUUACCGAUGAAUCAGGCUUGAUUCUAUAUGAAUGUAUGGUUUGAUGUGGUAUAUCGAUGAGAUGAUUACAUGUAUAUCAUUUUGUGGACUCUCAUCAUGUUUGGAUCUGGCUGCACUCCUAAAGCUGUAGUGAGGAAGAAUUAUAUACCCACUGUUUUGGGGUAAAGAAGAUCGAAGAGUAAAUUUAGAGAGAUCAGCCUGUUAUAAAACUGCCUGCUAAGGAUUAAUUCUAGUCUUAAUUUUCAUUCGAUGAAAUCACGGUAUUGUGCAUGUAAAAGGCUGUUAUGUUGGUCUGAUUCUUCUUUUUGCUUUGAAGUAUCCAUGUUCAACAUAUAGUCACACAAGAAAUAUGGAGAUAUGACCUUCAAGAUACAUGAUAAACUUUAGCACAAAUCUCUAUCAGACACUUACCUGAAUUUGAGCGAAAUAUCUGGGUUGGCCAUAUAUAAAUCUGCCUAGGAUCUAUCAUCUUAGCAUGUUUAUAUGCUUUUCAUUAUAAGGCUGAAACUUGGAUUCUUUUACCAUAUUGAUUUUGGUUUUCAUCUUGCAGCUGAACAAUGAUGCUGUUAAUGUCAUCAACAUAUCCAUAGGCUGCAUUUUGGCAGUCUUAAUGCAACAACUACUCCAAAACUGGCAAAUGUAAGUUCACCCCAUCAUCUCUUUUGCGAUGUCAGGUAAUUAUUGCAGAGUUCAUCGACACUGCAAUCGACAUAUUGCAAUGUGGGGAAAGAAAAGAAGAAGAAGAAAGAGAAAGUCUUCAAUGUAAUGCAAGAGAUGAGCACAAAGGUGCAACAAUUAUAGCAAUGAUUUUGCUAACCUUGAAAGAUACUCAAAUGAUAUGGAAAAUCAUUAGCAUAACCAUUUGUUCCAUGAGUAUAUUUUAAAAAGGCUUCUCUCUUUUAUAGUCUUGGUAUUCAAAGAUGUAUUCCUUUUAUCAAUCUCCAGUUAGAAAUGAAUUAGAUGCUUUUUAAAUUGCAUUUCUUAACCAAAAUUAUUGGCUUUUUUUUUAUUGUUGUUGAGCCGCACUGGAUUUAUGGGUGUAAUUGAAGCACAAGCUUGACUUGGAACUUUUAUGUUCAAAGUUCGGCCCGGGCCCAAGCUUGAGUUCAAUUAAGCCAUUUGUGAAUAUAUCAACCAAUUGUUCCUUUGUAAAGACAUGUCUAGUUUGGACUAAACCAUCUUGGAUUUUUUUUACAAGGUGAGAGUCAAUCUCUAUAUGUUUCGUUCUCUCGUAGUAUUCAGGGUUGGUUGCAAUCUGAAUUGCUGCUUGACUAUCAUAGAAUAAUAUGAUUGGUUCUACUCGUUUAAAUCCAAGUUCCUUCAGUAGUCCAGUCAACCAAACUAACUCAGCCAUAGUUCUAUACUUUGCCUUUGCUGAAGAUCGUGAUACUGCAUUUUGUUUUGUUUUGUUUUUUCCAAGAGAUGAGACUUAAAACUUCUGGAGGAUGGUCAGGAUGGGUGUUUGGUUUACAAGGUAAAGAAAACGGUGAAGGUGGAGUUUGUGAGGUUUUCUUUUUACCUUUCCCUUUGGAGGAGGAUGAAGGUUGGAUCAUGAAAUUUUCUGGAAGUUUUUCUGGUGGUCUAGAAAGAAUGUCUGCAAGAACAUUGGUUUUCCCUUUUAUGUGGAGGACAUUCUGUCACUAAUCGCUUUGACAUUGGACUUGAAGCCCAAUUCGAAUCACAAUAUGCUACAAGUUAUGGAGAACCAACUACAGCACAGAAUAAACCUUGUCCUGGAUCCUUUUUAAUGUAUCUGACUAUUCUAAGAGCAGCUUUAUAAUGCGACUUCUUGGGUCGUUGCAUAAACUGACUGGAUGUUGUACCACAAACGUCAUAUCUAGCCUUGUAUGAGUCAAGUACAAAAGCCUUCUAAUAAGCCUUUGAUAUAAUGAAACAUCUGUCAAUACCUCAUCAUCAUGAUUCAUUUGCACCAUCUCAUCUUACUGGAGAUGUCAAGUUUUGAUUUUGUUCUAAAGGAGUGACAACUAUCUUUCCUCCCCCUUACCUCGUGUCUGAAAUUAAUUCAAGAGCAUAUUUGCGUUGAUUCAGUACAAUUUCAAACUGUGAUCUUGUGAUUUCAAUGCCAAGAAAAUACUUUGAGAUCACCUAAAUCUUUCAUUUUGAAAUUUUGAUGCACAGUUCCUUUAAGCUCAUUUAUAAGCUUGGUAUCAUUUCCAGAAAUCAACAAAUCGUUAACAUAUAUCAACAUGACAACCAGCUUAUAACCUUUCUUCUUGAUAAAACGAGAAUAAUCGUACUUACUUUGUGAAUAACCAUUUAGAAGAAUAGCUUUAGUAAGCUUUAGAUUCCACUGUCAGACUUAGCAAUUGACAUACUCUAGUCUCUCUUUGAUUGCGAAAAUCGUCUGGAAGAGUCAUAUAAACCUUCUCAUGUAAAUCUCCUUGCAUUAUAGGCAUCCAUUUGAAACAAGGGCCAACCAAACUAUACAGCAAGAGCAAUGACCGUGCAAAUUGUGACUUGCUUCGCAACAGGGGAAAGUGUCAUGAAAAUAAAAAACCUGCCUGCUGAGUAUAACCCUUCCUAACAAGUCUGGCUUUAAAUCUUUCAACCGAGCCAUCAGAGCUGUACUUGACCUUGUAGACCCAUAUGCAACCAAUGGGCGUUUUACUAGGAGGUAAAGGAACUACCUCCCACGUGACAUUUGAUUCCAAUGCUUGAAUUUCUUGAUCCAUGGCCUUUAUCCAAUGUUUAUCCUUAAUUGCUUCACUUUAGGUUUAAGGUUCAAUAAUAUGGGAAAUGGAGGCAGCAAAAAAUUGUGUAUGCAAAGGUAAAUGAGCAUCAGCUAUACAAUUAGAUAUAGGGUACUAACCUUUAUGGAGUGAAGAAGAUAAAGAAGAGCAAUUUAAAUCUUUCAUCCAUGUAGGAUCCUUAAAAGAACGAGUAGUGCGAUGUAAAGACAGCUGGUAAGGUAGUAGACUACGAAGGUAAUAAGGACUGGUUGGGAAAUGGAGCUGAAGAACGACAAGGAGCUAAGGAUGAACAUUUCAAAUGGGAUUUUUCCAAUUCAAAGCUGAAGUAGGUAAUCUGUUAACAAUAUAACAAGCAGCAAGGAUACACUCGCCCCAAAAUUUGGUAGGUACAUUAGACUGAACUUUGAAAGCACAUGCUAUUUCUAACAAAUGUCGAUGCACACAAGAACUUUGAUGUAUUAUGCCUAAGAAGAAAAAAAAGGAGUAUAUUCAGAGUUAAAGAACUCAGUACUUAUGACUUCCAAAAGUUUUAACAACAGUUGAAAAUUGCGUGUGAACCAAGGCUAUAAACUGUUUCAAAAUGACAAUAGUGUCGGUUUUAAGCUUAAACAGAUGAACCAAAGAAAAAGGAGAAUCCGCUCGAGAAUAACUAAUAGGAAAUGGCAAUCGUGUUUGUUUAGUAAGAGGACGAACAUGGCAUGGACUAAUAUAGUCACUGUUCCAAAAUGAAAGAAACAUGGCCAAGUCCGGCAUGCCAAAGGAAAGACUGAUCAUGAGAUGUCAAAAAGGAAGAAAUGGGAGAAGAUACAAAAGAUGGCAAUUGAGGCUGUUGAUGCACCAGAAUGUAAAGAUCAUUCUGUUCUUUACCAAUCCCCUUCACUUGUCCACUGCAAAGUUGCCGUAAAAGGCAAAAAUCGGGAUAAAAGGAUACAAAACAAUGUAAGUCUCGAGUUAACUUGAAAACGAAAAUUAAAUUGAAAUGAAAGUCUGGGACAUGAAGGGCAUUGGUUAACUUGAUAGAGGAGGACAAGACAUAGGAACCCAUGUGAGUAAUAGGGACGGAUUUACCAGUGGGAAAUUGGACAAAUGAAGAAUGAAAAGUAAAAGGAACAAGAGAAUCCAAAUAUUGGCAAUCAGAUAUCAUGUGGUUGGUGGCCCUCGUCUCCAAAAUCCAUUGGAAAGAUGCAGGCCAAGAAACCAUACCUGCCAUGUGAGCAGCUACUCCAACAGUUGAAGUGAACUCAAGACUGAGUAAAUUCAAGAUCAGUAGAUACUGUGCCUGAAUAAACACAGGUGCAAAUACUAUGGUAGCAUUGUUAGUCAUAGUUGACCUUUGUUUUGUAAAUUUAAAAUCAACAGGAUACCCAAUAAGCUUCUAACAAGUUUCCCGUUUGUGACCUUUAAUCUUUCAAUGGUCACACACAUCUUUCAAUGGUCACAGAAUACAAUGUUGUAGGUUCAGAAGGAAAAGAUAUGCCAGAAGAAUGUUGUCUUUGAGCUUCCUCUUGAACAAGCACGGAAUUAGCUUAAUUAACAGAAGGUAAGGGUUCCAUUAACAAAACCUGACUUCCAACAACAGCAUAAGAAUCAUUCAGGCCCAUCAGAAACUGAAAUAACCACUGUUGUUGAAUAAGUUGUUGAUUCAUGCGGGAAUUUUCACAAGAAAAAGAACCAAAGCAUCGUAAUCCCACAAAAGCUUCAAUCGUGUAAACAAAACUGAAACAGAGUAAGUACCUUGAGCAUGGGAAGCAAUCUCACCAUGAAGAACCAUCGACUUUCUCAUAUCGUUCUUGAAGUUCUUUCCAUGUUGACAAAAAUAAACUGUGCGGUAUAAUUAUAUAAUUAACGUCGCUCAAAAUUAACAUAAAAUUUCAAUAUUUGUAAAUUCGAAUAAAGAAGGUGAAAUUCAAUUAUAUUACUUUAUAUACUCAGUGCUUUCUAUGUAAAUUAUUUUCAUUAUUUUAAAUAUAAAAUGUUUAUAUUAACAUGAUAAAAAAUAAAUUAAAUUAUAAAUUAAAUAAAAAAUAAAAUUCAGUUUUAGUUACAUUCAAAUACUCGAUUUUUGGGGUUUUCUGCGCCCUAAUAGUAGGAAAAGAAAAUUCUCAUCAAACCCUAAAGCCCAUAAAAGAAAAAGUGAGAAGUUUAGUUGAUCUAUCAGAAUCUCAAGCACUCACCCUUAAUUUGCAGUAAGUUGCGAGUCUGCAAUUCUUUAGACCCCUUUUCUCAAUUGAUUUUCUUCUUUAACCAAUCGUUUCUCUCGCGCUCUGUUUCUUUUAGGAUGGCCGAUGAACAUAUUUCCACAGUCCUGGAGCAGCUACGACGAAUCAUGGCCGACGAAAGAUUUCGGAACUCGGAGUUUCAGAUAAACUUGCUUGUAUGGAGACUCGAAGCUUUUCAAUCUAUGAUUCUUUAACAUGGGGACGGGCUAUUUUCGGUUCGGCUAUUGGAGCGUGGGAUUACUGUUCAUGCACUCGAUCAAGUGCUAUAUAACAUAGAAGAUGUAAUUAACGACGUCUUACAUUUAGGAGUAUCUACUGAAUUAGCAGCAGCAGGCCUUGAGAAGUUUGCUUCUACUCAAUCAAAAGCAGCAUCAGCAGAAACAGCCACUCUUUACAUCUUGCGCAAGAGGUUGGAAGAAUUGGAGGAGGUAUUGAUUGGUAAUCCGCAUGAAUCGCAUCCCUUGCACUCUAAACGAUCUUUUUUUGUAAAAUUGUCAAAGUUAUAUGGUCUAGAUGUGGUUAAGAAAGAUAUAAUAAAUGUAAUUUUGGGUGAAAGUUUCAGGGAUAGUAGCGACAGCAUUAAAACCAUCAUUAUUGUUGGCAUGGAAGGAACGGGGAAAACAUAUCUUGCGCGGUGCAUUUGUACUGAUUGUCAAGUUCUGGAAAUUUUUGACAACAUAAUUUGGGUGAAUGUUUCGGAUGAUUUUGAUUUAGGUAAAAUUGCAAGAAAAAUUAUUCUGUCUCUUGAAGGUUUGGAGCAUGACUCUUUGCGUCUCCUAACAUUAGUUCCAUUGCAAAGUCUGUUAGAUAGAAUUCAGCGAAAGAUUGUUAACAAGAAAUCACUUCUUGUUUUAGAUGGUGUGGGGAGAUAUGAUUGUGAUGAUUGGGAAGCACUUAGAGCUGUUUUUCAACAUGGCAUGUCGGGGAGUGGGAUUCUAGUGACUACUCAUGAGCACUCGGUUGCAGGAGCAAUGGAAUCAUCUUAUAAAUUUUGUUUGGGAAAGCUGUCUGAUGAGUUGUGUUGGAUGAUACUUCGUGAAGUUGGAUUGAAUGAUGAUACUCUUGAAUAUGCGGUAGAGGAUAUAGGAAGGGAACUUGCAAGGAGGUGUGAAGGACUACCCUUUGCUGCAAAGGUUUUGGGAGAUGCUAUACGACAUUAUGACUUUGGAAUAAGAGGAUGGGAUGUUUUUCUGAGAAAUUGUAUCUGGAAAUCUCCUAGAAUACCCAAAUAUAUGUCUAAAAUUCUAUCACUAUCUUAUUGCAAUCUACCUUUGUCUGUAAGACGGUGCUUAUCGUAUUGGGCUAUCUUCCCCAAAAGCUUUGAGAUUUCAAAAACUCUUUUGGUGCAACACUGGAUGGCACAAGGUUGUCUGUACUCAUCUGAUAAUUUAGAAAUGGAACUAAAAGGUGAAGAGUACUUUAAAUGCUUAGAAGCUCAUUCAUGUUUCCAAUAUUGUACCAGAGAUGGUGGUAUGCUUACUUGUAAGAUGCAUAGCUUAGUACAUGAUUGUGUCCAAUCUUUGUCCCCAUAUGAUUUAAUGAUGAGGUUCGAGUCUGUUAAACAGCUGACCUUGAAUUUAUCUUCUUGGACGGAGGAGGUCAAAGUUGUUGGCACUCAUCAUUUGGUAAUGAUGAUUGCUCAAGGAGCUGGUUUUCCCAUGGACAUUAGUGGUGCAGAGAAAUUGAGGACCCUUGUUGCUGUUACUCAAGGGUGUUUGAUAACUAGUCAAGCAUUAUCUAACUUAUUUAAACAAUCCAAACAUCUGAGGUUAUUGGAUUUGAGCUUGACUAGUGGGUGGCAUAAUUGUUUUGGGCCAUCCGGACAAGGUAAUAUACUAGAUGAAAUUCCGGUGGAAAUCUGCAGAUUGAUUAAUUUGAGGUACCUUAGCUUGGCUGGCAGCAAAGUAUUGAAGAUAUUACCAGAAACAUUGUGUGACUUGCAUAAUUUGCAAUCCUUGGAUCUUACUGGUUGUAGUAGUCUUAGAAAAUUGCCAGAUGGAAUGGGGAAAUUAAUGAACUUGAGGUAUUUUUAUACCUGGUGUUGCUCUAGUAUAACUUCCUAUCCAAAAGGGAUUAGCUGCUUAACUUCUCUUUGAGAAUUAACCAAUGUCAUUGCUAGAGCUGAUCACAAUGAUGCAAAGGAAUUCACUCUUGGAGAUUUUGAAAAGUUGAACAACCUUUGUGGACAUGUUCGUGUGAAACUGGUAGGGAAUGCGAUGGAUGCAGAUGAGGCUAUUAGAGCUAACCUUUGGAACAAGAAGGAUCUUGACCGUAUCAGAAUAAAUCUGGAUGGGGAUAUAGGGAAAGAAAGCCAAGACGUUAUAAAGAAAGCAUUAAACCCGCCUUCCGACUUGAAUAUAGAGUUCGUAGGUUGGUGGUUCUAGUCCAGAAAUGUAAGGAUGCUGCAAAGCAACAGGUAGUCUCUCUGUCUCAUUUUCUCUUUUGUUGUAGCUUUGAUGGUUCAAAUUCAGUAUUUACUCCUAUGAUUCAUUCAAACCCAAAUUUCAGUUGUGUUAUAGUAGUUCUAGUUUCUGUUGUUAUCAUCUGAUUAGAUGGAAUAUUAUGAAAUCUCUUAUAACAUUACAAUGACAAAGAUAUCGGCUUGUCUAUCACAUGAAAUUUCUCUCUUGCUAAAGCAUGCUCUGAAUGAAUCACUUUAAAACGGCAAGAUAACUUAGAUUAUCCUUAUUUUCUUUUGCUGGACAUACAUAUCCCGUGAGAGACAUUGUCGUUAUCGGUGGUACUGUAGUUAAAGUUGGAGUAUAUUUUUAGUAUUUUAGUUUUUAUAUUAGGAUUUAAUCAGUUAUUAAGAUGGAUUUUUUCUGGAAAAAACAUGGAUACUUUUUUCUAAAAUUUUUUAUUAACUCUUUUGAAAUUUGUUAAAUUUUUAAUUAUUUUUAUUAGUUUUUGAAUUUUUAUGAAUUAUAGGUAGGCUACCACACGAAUUGAUCACGUCAAUAUUGUUAAAAUUUUAAUAAUCUUUUUAAUUCAAAAGAAAGUAAUAUAACUAAAUUGUAAAGGUUAAGUGUAAAAGUCAAAAUGACAAAAUAAGUCAACAUUAAAAGAUUAAAUUUAUCACGAUGCCUUUUUUAUAUACUCAUAAUUAAUUAUAAUAAAAAGUUAACUUUAUUCAGAUAUAUUUGUUAUUUUAAAUAAAUAUUCAGAAUACAACUUGAAAAUAAUCUCAUGUUUAUAAUUAUAACACGAAAACUUUACUUACUAUAUAAUGGAAGAGUAUUUGGUAUAUUAACAGUGUGCCUUUUUUUAUUGCACAAGUAUGUGUAAAAGAUUGAUAUAUGUCUUUAUUUUUUAAUAUUUUAUUAUACUUUCUAAGACACUUGUCAAUCUUUUAACUUUGCUUAUAAAAUUUAAAAAUUCCACUAAUAAUCUCACCUAGCAAAAUGGAUUAAAAACAUUUAAAGUAAUUUAGUUGAAUUAUGAUAAAAGGUCAAUGUAUUCUAAAAUGCUAAAUGGCAUAAAUUUGAGUUUGUCAAAUUCUCUAGCAUUGGGAGGUAAGUCAAAUUGCAAACUAAGUUGAAUAUUUUUUGGCUUUUCAGUAAUCAUAUUCAUGCUAAUAUUUUUAGAUUUAAUUCUCACUUUCAAUAUUAAAAGAGGGUUCAAAUGCAACUUGGAGUCAACAUGAACAUGAUACUUUGAAAACCCUAAAGGGCACUUGCACUCUUGUUUUGGAGGUGAGGUUAAGAAGACCUACAACAAGUUUUAAUAGAAUUUGAUAUAGUUGAAAAAGAUUCAGAGGAAAAUGGUACCAAAAUCUACAGUCGUGGAAUACGAUGACUGUAUUAAAAUAUAUGAAAUUGGUUGAUGGUUUUAUUUAUUGUCUCUUAAUAUUUUAACUAAUCAAUUAAGUAGUAAUGAGAAGGACAUGACACUUAAUCAUUAUAGUUUCUAGUUAAAGUUUAGGAAGAUGCAUUGACAUCAAUUCACUAAUUUUUUAUGAAAAAUGUUUUUAACCGGUUCAUAUCCCCAAUACCAUUGAACGUUGAAUCAAAUGGUUUUGUUGAUUAGAGAAAGACACUAAGAAAUGUAGAGGAACAUGUAUGCGUAAGAGAGAAUUUGAGGCACAUUUAAUAAGUUAACUUUGGAAAUUUUAUAUGUGGAUAAUAGCAACGAAGAAAGAGACUGUUGAGAAUGAUCAAACUUGGAGCAUAUGUUUAGAUCCAUGUGGAGGUACCUAUUAGGUAAGUGAAACAAGCAAUUGAAAUGAUGGAGAGUUUAGUACACCGGUAUCGUACUAUGAUAAUUUAUGGUCAUUUUUAAUUAAUACAAGUCAAAAAUAAUAAUAUUUAAUAAACCUAAAAUUAAUGGGCAAAUAGUGAUGAGUUAUCCUAAAAUAGAAUUGAAGAGGAUAAGGUCCUACAAUUAAUAAUAAGAAAAGUGAAGACUCUUUGAAAAGAUUAAGGAUGUACUUUGAUUAAGAGUGGUUAUAAAAAAAAAAAUUGGGGGGAAGGGAUAGAGUGGAGUAAGGAAAGUGGUGUGAUUGCCCAUUAACAUAAGUAAGAAAUAUGCGAAUGAUUGCCCAUUAACAUAUAGAGUAGGUAAAAUUGACUUGUUUUUCUAGAAAGACAAUAGAUAAGCCUAAAAAGUUAUAAAAAGUAAUUGUUAAAAUAGUUAAAAUGAGAGGAAAAAAUAAGAUAUUUUUGUUUAUGAGAAUUAAGUGUCGUGAGUCGGGACGAAAAGAUUAAUCAUUGUUACGACAGUAAAUACCUUGAUUACAACGAAAAAGAUAAAAUACCAUUUUACUUUAUAGAAAAUUCUCAUGAUUUUAUAAAAUAUACCAUGAAUAUAUUAAAUCAUAUAAAAAGCGUAAUUCUAUAACUCAUACCUAAUUUAAAUACAGGAUGGUAUUUAGAAUGAUUAUAAGAAAAUGCUUGUUCAUGAAUGUUGUGAGUUUUCCGAAUCUUGGGGACAAUGUACCCUCUGGCUCCCGUCAGGAUUCACCUGGUAAUUUAUAAAAAGGAAUAAACAAUCACUUGGUAACUCACAACUCACAAGGCAUAAAAUAUAAUCACGUCAAGCAGCAAAACACAAACCUUUUUUAAUAUUCCAAUCUAAUACAAGUGAUAAUAUCAACUCUUAGAGCCCUAACUCUUAAAGUAUCAGCACAUAAUUUUAACCACUUACUUUUAAUAAAUACCACCAUCACUACCAUUAUCACCAUCGACAGAGCCUCUCAAUUCAUAUGUCCUGCAAAAAAUGGUGUCAACACUAACAAAAAAACCAAAAUUAUAUCAUUAAAAUAUAUUUGUAUUUCUUAAAAGGCAGAUCAUUCAGUUUUUCUGGACAAGUUUCCCUAUGCAAUCUAAUACAAGUGAUAAUAUCAACUCUUAGGGUCUGUUUGAUUGACGGAAUUGAUUUUCCGGAAAAUCAUUUCCAACUUUUCCAGCGUUUGAUUGGCGGAAAACAUUUUCCAUUUGGAAAAUGAACUCCAAAACAAGGGAAAAUGAGUUACAUUUUAGGGAAAAUGUCUUACUCUUUCAAUUUCUAUAAUUUUAGGCUUUUCCCACCUACCUCUAAUUACACAAAAUAUUUUCAGAUUUAAUUUACUAAUUUUGGCUUUUACAAGGUCAAGAUUUGACUAUCCCAUCAAAUGUCCCAAAUUUAUAAUUUGGUCCCUCUUCUCUUUUCCAUGCUUCAAUCUAACCCCUUCUUUGCUUGUUUUUGAUUUAAAGUGCCCGAAUUUUGUUCCUGUCAAUAUUUAAACACAAAACGCACCAAUUACCAGGGAUUAAUUUGAGAAUAAGUCGAGUUGAACACGUAAAUUAUGCAAAAUGAACAAGUUAUCAUUGACCAUUAGUGCUACGUCAGCACAAACAAACGGUGUUAGUGCAGAGAUACCAACCUAGGUGACAGAAUAUAAAUUCAGGUACCAAUUAGAUAAAAAAAAAUCAUACACCAAAUAAAUACUUUUGAAUAAGUUCGAAAAUAGACGACAAAUUAUCCUUUCUUUUCUCUUUUUAUCUACCUGUAAUAUUUGAAUAUGAAAAGAAGUUACACAACUUUUCAAUUUCAAUAGUAGUUAUUUAACUUUGCCUAGUUGAGUUUUACAUAAAAUUUCUUUCUUUCGUUGAACAUGCUCUCAAUGAAUCACUUCAAACCCCCAAGAUCCUAAUAUUUUGCAGAACAUAUCAAUUGAGAGGCUCUAUCGAUGGUGGUGGUGGUGUUAGAAUCCGUUUAUGCUGGUGGUAGCAUUUUGUAUUUUUUUUUAUCGUAUUUAUUAAAAAUAAGUGGUUAAAAUUACGUGUUGAAAAUUUAAGAUUUAGAGCAUAUCGCCACUCGUAUUAAAUUGUAAUAUAAGCAUCGAUUGUAAAAAGAAAAGUUUGUGUUUUGCUUGUACUGUCUCAUAAAAGACAUUAAGUAAUUUCGUUGUCGUGUUUAUAUUUUAUGCCUUAUGAGUUACCAAAUGGUUGUUCAUUCCUUUUUAUAAAUUACUAGCCGAAUCCUCUUCAGUGAAGGAGCUUGAAAAUUUUUUGGGAGGGUCGGAAUUAAAUUGUAUAUUUGUAUGAUGGUAAAAAUAGAAUUUUAUAAUUUUAAUAGCUUAUAUCUUUAUAAUUUUUAAAAGGUUAAAUCAAAAUUGUAUCAUUUUAAGAGGUCAAAGUAUAGUUUUACUAUUACUAAUUUAAAAUUUUAUAAAUUAUAAAGGGCCUAAAUUAAAAUUUACUAUUUUAAGGGGGCUAUGGCGCCUUGGGUCUCCACUACAUUAUGCCACUGAUCCUCAUGGAAGACAGAGGCUACCUUGACCCCCAAGAUUUAGAAAAUUGCCAUUUGACCUUUUUAAUUUUAUAAAAUUUUUAAUUUAGUUUAUUAAAAUUCUGUAAAUUUUCAUUAAACAAUUUUUAAAACUUUUAAUUAGAUCUCUCAAAUUCUUUUUGGAAAUUCUUAUUUUCUCAAUUAAUUUUUUAAUUAAACUAUUCAGAAUUUUUGAUAAUUCUCAUUAAACCUUUUUAAAAUUCUCGAAAUUUUAAUUAAAUUGGUAAAAUUUGAAAAAUUUUAGUGAAGGGAAUCCCUCCCACAUAUUGAUCAAGAAAGCUUUGAAAAAAUAUUAAUUAAUUAUAUGUUUGAGAGAUUAAUAAUGUACUAUUUGGCUCCCAACAAUAAUAAUUCACUCUUAAUUUUGCUUCUUUUCCCUUUUUCUUUUACUUGUUUUUGUGAAAGAUAUCAUAAUAUAUGUUUUAAAUAAUUAAUGUAAUAAUAGAAAUAUUAAAAAAUAUAGUUAAUAGUAACAAUAUUUUAUACAAGCACAAUGACUUAUUCAAUUCUCCAAUUUUACAAAAAGAGACCAAUAAGUGAUUAGAUGUAAUGACAGGUCACAUUGCAUUCCCAAAAGAACUGCCUAAGUUCGAACAUCAUAAGUAAUAUAAAAACUUAAACAAAGUCAUGUAACAACCCAUAUAUCAAGUAUCACCAAAUACCAUUUCAUUCUUAUUCCAUUGUUUAGUUUCUAUUUUCAAUCAACUGAAUAUCGUCCGAUGGAACUAUAGCAAAACGGGCUCAAAUACACGGGAAUAAGUUGGUCACACAAGUUGACAGUAUAUUAGGGCUGCUCAGACAAGUUGACAUUACAACAGAAUUGCUCACAUAAACUGAUAUUAUAUCAAGGUUAUUCAUCUGGGCUAAACCUUCAAUAUGUAUAACCCGAGAAUUUGAGACAAGCCCAAGAACUCAUCCUAUGUAAAAGGGGUGCCAAACCCUAGUGCAUAGUAGGGUAUGUUGCCGCCCCUUAGUGUUUUGAAUAAAGGGGAACUGUAGUAUCAUAUUAAAACAAUACUAUUUAAUUACUCAUUAUUCAAGUAAAACUUUUGUACUAUUUUCCUAAAAUAGGAUCUAUGAAAUGAUUUAAUUACACCUAUCGCUGUUAUUUUAUCAUAAAAUAGUGGUAAUUUGUUUAUAAGAAUAAAUUCUAUAUUCUGAAAAGCUCAAAGUUUUCGAUUUCUAUAUAGAGAAUUAACUUUCUCACUAAAAGUUCAUGAAAGAUUGGUUGAACUGGGCAAAAAAAUUGGUCGAAUUAGAUGCGAUUGAACUGGUUGAACUAAAAUAUUUUAAUAUAUUUUUAUUUUUUAUGAAUUUUUUAUGAUUUAUUUAAUUGAAUUAGACUAAUCAAUCAAACCAAUUGAAUCAAUUGGAUCAACAAACUAGUAACCUUAUUGGUUUGAUCAUCGAUUUAGUUUUUAAAACCUUAGAUUUCGUCAUACCGUUUCAAUUAUUAUACCUUAUAAAUAAAAUAUAAAGUAAACCAGUGGUGAAAUUAGGGGGAUUGGCAAGGGCCCUGGCCCUCCCUAAAAUGAUUUUUUUUUUCAUAUGGACCCUCUAAAAAAAUUAAAAUUUUAAAUUAAUAAAAAUAAAAUUAUACUUUGGCUCCCCUAAAAUAUAAAAAUUUGAUUUAAUCUAUUAAAAAUUAUAAAGAUGUAGUCUAUUAAAAUGGUGAAAUUGUAUUUUUCUAUCGUAAAAAUUACAAUUUAAUUUUAGCCCAUAAUUUUUUUUUUCUAAUUUCGCACCUGAAAUAAGCUAUAUUUGAUUAAAUUUAUUAUUUUACCUUACAUACAAAACACAAAAUAAACAUUUAACUAUACAAAAUUAAUUGAUGAAUUGUUUUACUCAGUUGAAAGUAGAACAAAUAAUUGAUCCAAGAGGAAAGUGAAAUUUAUCCUUUUAUACGUCGAACAUUAGCGAAAAGGACAAAAAAGAAAUUUUGGGUUAUUUGGCUUUUGUUUCCUGCUGCUCUCCUCAAUCCAUUGACGCUGUUUCACCCCCUUUCUCUCGAUUUCUCAAUGUUUCUUUUCCUGUAAUUUGUUGUGAUUUGAAGUAUAAAUCAGGGAGAAGUAAAAGCUAUCAUAAAAAUGGCGGAGGCAAUUCUUACGGUAGUCUUGCGACAGAUAACAACAAUCUUGAGUGACCAAGCGGUAAAAGAGAUGACGAUGUGGGGAGACCGCGAGGCUGCUCUCAAAAAUCUUGAAACAUAUCUGAAAUCCAUCCGAUCCGUUCUCAAAGAUGCAGAGGACCUUCAAAUUACAGACGAUGCAAUCAAACUGUUGCUAGAAGAUCUGAAAAUUGUAAUUUAUGAAAUCGAGGAUGUGUUGAAUUUAUGGAGCUGUAAAGUACGGAAGGCAGAAUCUGUUCGUGCCAAGGUAAAUUGUCUACUUGAAUUCAUUGCAUAUCGUCGUAGUUCUGAUAGAAUAAAGAAGAUUUGUGAAAAACUGAGUCCAUUUGAGCUGAAAAACAAGCUGGAUCUGGGCAAGAGUAAAAUUAUAUCUCCUCUGCGGAACAAAGAAAGUACUAGCUAUUGUGAUCUAUCAAAAAUUAUUGGUCGAAGCGGAAUAAAAACUGAGUUAGUGUUCCGUUUAGUUUNNNNNNNNNNNNNNNNNNNNNNNNNNNNNNNNNNNNNNNNNNNNNNNNNNNNNNNNNNNNNNNNNNNNNNNNNNNNNNNNNNNNNNNNNNNNNNNNNNNNNNNNNNNNNNNNNNNNNNNNNNNNNNNNNNNNNNNNNNNNNNNNNNNNNNNNNNNNNNNNNNNNNNNNNNNNNNNNNNNNNNNNNNNNNNNNNNNNNNNNNNNNNNNNNNNNNNNNNNNNNNNNNNNNNNNNNNNNNNNNNNNNNNNNNNNNNNNNNNNNNNNNNNNNNNNNNNNNNNNNNNNNNNNNNNNNNNNNNNNNNNNNNNNNNNNNNNNNNNNNNNNNNNNNNNNNNNNNNNNNNNNNNNNNNNNNNNNNNNNNNNNNNNNNNNNNNNNNNNNNNNNNNNNNNNNNNNNNNNNNNNNNNNNNNNNNNNNNNNNNNNNNNNNNNNNNNNNNNNNNNNNNNNNNNNNNNNNNNNNNNNNNNNNNNNNNNNNNNNNNNNNNNNNNNNNNNNNNNNNNGCAUCUUUCUAACACCAACAACAUUACUGCCAUCCUAAUAAACCAUAAGUACCAUUUCCACUCCAUCAUCAUCAUCAUCUUUCUGUUUUCACUUCUCUCUCAGCUAUAUGUUACUUUUUGUUAACUUCUAUAUGUAUAUAAUCUAAAGAAGCCUAAGCUUCUUAUUUAUAUACAAGCAGAACAUUUUGCAUCCCACUUAUUCAAUAUAAUAUAAAAAUAAUAUAUAAUUAAUUAAUUCCUCAAAAAUUGGAUCAAUCUAGGCUUCUUAUUUACGUAAAUUCCUUAUUGCAAAAACUCUUGGUAGAAAUUCGUUAGGAAAGGAUGAAUGGACCACAAGAAUGCUUAUCAACUCUUGACUUUGGCGUCCAAUGCUAAAUUUAUUUUAAAAUUUCUUCAUGGAGACAAGAUGGGAUGACAAGAAUGAUAAGUUUUAAGUCAUUUAAGUUUACACAAUUUUAAUCACUCAUAAAAACAAGUAUUGACAUUCUAUUAAAGAAUUUAAACAUGGCUUAACGUUGAUUUUAAAUCUAAUGUUGAUGUUAAUCUUGAAAAAAGAAUGGCCAAAAAAAAUAUGAAAAGUGAGAGGUGGACAUAAAAUAGUGUAGUUGGGGUUAUAAAAUUCUUCAUGUAGACAUAAUAUUUUUUUUAUGCCUUUUUUACACUUAUAUAGAGUUAGUCUUGACUUUGCUUUAUUAAUAGAAAUUUUAGGUCUUCAUUUUUUGUUUUAUUCAUGGACAUAAUAUUUUCUUAUUUUUAUUUUAUGGUCUAUGAUCGAGGUUUAUGACUAUCCCCUUUCAACAACGUCGUCUCAACUGUUCAAACAUACACUUGCAGGUAAAAUAAUACUUUUUAAAAUCACAAAUAUUUAAAAUAAUACAUUGCAGCUAUAUAAAUGCUUUCUUGUUUAAGAUACUAAUAAAGUAAUUAACAAAGUAAUUAUUAUACCUAUAAUAAUUCAAAAUGCCACUUGUUAUCUAAUGAAGUAUAGGGGUGUAAAUGAGACAUCCGUACCCGCAAGCUAUUCGAAUUUGGCUCAAAAAAUUUUGAAAUUGAUUCGGUAAUUAUUGAGCCGAGCUAUAGGUCGAUCCGGAUUCGAGCUUAGUAAUACUUGACUCGAGUAGUUUGAGAGCCUUAUUGAACUUUUUAUAUUUUUAUAUUAUUAGAUUACAUUAUUGCUAUUAAUAUAUAUUAUUAACCCUAAGUUUAAUUAUUGAGGCGAGCUCAAACUCGAGUACAAAAAUUGAUAAACAUAUUUAAUUUCGAGCUUAAAAAUAUAUGUUCGAUCGAGCAUCAAGCUUUGAAUUUCAAAUUAAACUUGAGUUUAACAGUAUUGAGUUCAAAUAGAUUCAAUUACACCCUACAAUAAAAUAUACCAACAAAACCUACAUUCCAUCUUUGCUAUAAAUUUUAUGUAUGUGUGUGUUUAACGUGAGUUCCAUCUAUGUCCAACUUGAUGACGAUGAAAGUUCCUAUGGUGUAAAAAGUUUUAGUUAUGUGGAAAAAUAAGGCCUUCUCUUCACACGUUUAAUAUGCUUACUUGUGUCGGUCAUUUCGAUCUUCACAUCAAUUUUCAAAAAGUUGGAAAACUUAUGUCUGCUUUUAUGAUUCUUUUAUGUGUGUGUUUAACGUGACUUCCUUGUGAGUUCCAUCUAUGUCCAACUUGAUGACAAUGAAAGUUCCUAUGGUGUAAAAAGUUUUAGUUAUGUGGAAAAUUGGUGGAAAACUUACGUCUUUUUCACUUGCUUUUAUGAUUCUUUUUACAUGAUAUUACUAUAUAAUUAAAUUGAAAUACUGAUAAAUUUGAACCCAUAUGAUGUAAGUCUAGGCAUCAUCUAAUUUAUUGAUAUUUAAUUAAUUAAUAUAUAUACUUUCAAUUAUAAGAAUUGAAACAUAACUUUCAAGUCAAUUGGAGUAUGCCCCUGUUACACGUCAAAAGAAGUAGAUUUUGAACUCAACAUGAACCUGUGAGAUUUGAUGCCUAAAAUAUAGGUAUAAGGUUUCAAUUCAUGGAAAUGUUGGAAAUCUUGGAAAUUUCUUAGUCUCCUCUCUUUGGAUGUUUUUGAACAAAAAUGUUUUAAGUCUCUUCCGAUGCUAAACUUCUGAUUGGUCGUCGGUUCACUGACCCUUUGGUACACAGCAAUAUGAAGCAUUGGCCAUUCAAGGCCAUUGCUGGUCCUGGUGAUAAGCCAAUGAUUGUACUACUAUAGAUUUGAAUAUUUGUACACAUUUGAUCGGCUCUUCGUAAAUUUAAAUCUUACAAAUUCGGAUAAUAUUUGAACUUUGAAUGUAUGUUUUGUUGGUGAGAAUAUAAAGUUGAUAAAGAUUUGGUAAAUAGAGUAAAAUAUUAUUUUUAUUAGAAAAAUUAUUUGGUACACUGCCAAUCGAGGUAAUUAAAACAUGUCAUUAUAAAUAAUAAAAUUAUGAUGACUCAAAUAUACGAACACGUCAAAAUUUAUGUACAACGAAUUAUUAACAUGUAAAUGUAUAAUACGGUACGCAAAAAUAAGAUAAUUGCUUGUUUUUUUAAUUGAAUUGUUAUAACAUAUUAUACAAAAUACAUUGUGACUUAAAGCAUAAAAUGAACUUGAUAUCAAAAUAUUAAAUUUUUUUUAAAAUUCAAUGAUACGAAUAAUUAUGUAAAAUAUAACAUGAUGCAAAAUAUCUUGAGAGGAAAAGAGGAAUAAAGAAUUGCAUUAUUUGUGAGGUUUUAAAAUAUUCCAGUUUUAGAUUCAAUUUUCUAGUAUGUUUGGUUUAAUUUUACAUUAGAUUUCCUUUUCAGUAUGCACUAGUGAACGCUUAGCAGUCAGUUUAAUUUAAUUCAAAGAGAUAUUGCAUAUACAUAAUAAUGGAUUAUGAUUUUACAUUAAAUUUCAUAGAAGAAAAAGAAAUAGAUGGUUGAAAAUGAUAAAACCAUAAGAUAAAAGAGCUUUUAUUCAAAAUGCAAAAAUCAACAAAAUAUUCAUUAUCGCUCAACUUAGCAUAAUUAAACAUUUAGGUGUGGAAACAAGUCACAAUUUGAGUAGCUAAACACAUUGCUUGAAAAUGUGAUAAGUAAGAAAAUUGCCCACAUUUGAGUAGCGACAUGUGGUGAAGCAUUUCCCAACGAGAGAAAACUAAGCUCUUCACCAGUAUGGAUUUAUGUAGAGGACAACAAAAAUUGUCAACAACACAACUACAUAAGAAACCAAAAAGCUCACAAAAAAAUCAUAAGUAUCUAUCAAACCAUCUUCUCCUUUAUCUUCUGAUACAAUUGAUAUCGCUGAUGGUGAAUCGGUUUUGGAACAACUUUUAUGCAAUAUAUCUCCACAACGAAAAGGAUUUCCCUCAUAACUGUUUUCAAUAAAGGUCCCAAAUUGAGCUUUUGGUUCGGGAAUACUACCUGACAAAUUGUUAUAUGCCACGCUGAAAACCUCCAAAGAGUUCAACUCUACCAAUUGAUUGGGGAUUUCACCACACUCAAGUUGUUGUAAGAAAGGUCCAAACUCUCAAUGUGCUGAAGUUUUGAGAAUGAUGAGGGUAUAACUCUGGUCAACUUAUUGUGUGACAAGUUUAAAGAAUGGAUUUCACUCAAGUUCCCUAAUUUUGGUGGGAUAUGACCAGUUAAGUUUUUGCAAGAUAAAUCAAUCCCAAUAAUAUAUGAAAGGAUGUUGCCCUUGUACGAAUAGAACCCACUCUUUGUUGUGAACUCUAUUACUUCUUCUAAGUAGCUGUCAGGGUUGUAAGGAUUUAUACCCCUUUCCCAUUUUCUCAUCACAAUGGAUGUUGAUUCAUCCUUUUCUAUAAAUGGAAGAUAGAACCCAGUUGCUAGACUCUCUUUCUCUUUCAGUGGAAGAGAUAAAUUUCCCAAACAAGAAGGUAUAGGACUAGAAAACAUAUUUUGAGAAAGAUCUAUGAUGCUUAAAGAAUGCAACUUGCAUAACUCAAUAGGAACUUUAUCAUGAAAAUGAUUAUCUUUCAGGAGAAGAACACUCAAAGAAGAAAGCGUGUAAAUCCAUUUUGGAAUACUACCUGUCAAAUUGUUUCCUCUAAGAUCUAAAGUCACUAUUGAAGAGUUAUUAUAAAAAAGCAAGUGAUAGUGUGCCUCUCAGUCUAUUCCCGUGGAGGUGGACAUGCUCUAUGUAUGGUGGAUUAAAACAUGACGGUAUAGAGCCAGAUAAAUUAUUUUGAGAAAGAUCCAAAAAUUCCAACCUAUUCAACUUUCAAAAUUCCAUUGGAAUAGAACCUUCAAAACCAUUGUUGGACAAAUUUAAUCUCCACAAAAAUGAUGCAUUCCCUAUCCAUCUUGGGAGCUUUCCAUGCAACUUGUUACUGAGAUCAAUUUCGCUUAGUGAAUUUGGAAACUCAAAAAGAAAUGUUCACACAAAGUUUUUUCCAACAUAUGUCUGUCAUUUGUGGGGUCUUGAAUUUAAUAUCAAUGGUUGAAUUUUCAUAGCUAAUAUGUGCGCAAAAGGCCUAGUGGGUGGAAUUUUAUGUCAGGAAAGCGUUUCUACAAUGACAUAAUUAAUUGCAUUACUUUUCAAAGAUUGACUAUUGACUUUGGUGAGCUUAUUAGGUUAAAUUCUGCUGCUGGUCACUGUUCUUUGUGAAAGUUGUAAAUUUAGUCUAUUUACUUCAAUUUGAUCAAUUUUAAUCCCUAUACAUUUUGAUUUUUAAAAUUUUAGUUGUGACCCAAACAAUAGAGUUAAAUCAAUUUAAUUAAAACCAAUUACUAGUCCUAUAUUAUGUGUACAAUUGUUGAUUUAGUCCAUACUCUCCAAUUGGAUCAUUCUAAGUACCUAUAUUUUUCAAAUUUUAAAAUUUCAGUCUUGAUGCAAAUGACAAUCCUUAGUCCGUUAACUAGAUUUUUAGUAACAUAUGAAAAUAAUAAGAUGAUAUGACAUUACAAAUAUGAUAAUAUUUUUGCGUUAAAUAUGUCAACAAUGACAUAAUUAAUUGCAUUAACUUUCAGACGUUGACCAUUGACUUUUGCUUCAACCUUGAGCUUAUAUAGCCCCUACAAUAAUUUAGGUUAUGGAAAUAAUCUUACAAUUAAUGCCUGAGAAAUUAUUAUAGAUCAAUUUAUAGUUUUAAUCCCUAUAAUUACUCAAUUGAAUUGAAGAUUCAGAUUUUCUUAUUUAAUUUGAUAUAUUUUCUUCUCUUAUUAAUGUUAAUGUUAUGGAUUAGUUUUUUUAAGACAACAUUAUUUUAUUCAAUGAAUAAUAUCAUACAAUUCGAGGAGAAAAUAACAAACACUCGUUGUACUCGUUAAAGGACAAGUUCCAUCAACACAACAAAACCUUUAACUUCAACAUUAAUAGAACAUUAUGGCAUGUUGAAAUCGGCUCUGUCACAACUCAAGCACAACAUAUCAGGAGUGAUUACAAGCACUUAAUAUGGUAAGAAAAUUAACCCCGGAUGGUCCAAAGCGGUGGGCAUAAAUCAGCAAAAGAACUGAGCAUCCACCAAACUAGAGGGGAUGCGGCGACAAAACUAACCCUAAAAUUACUCUCAAAAGCAAGACUAAAAAGCGUACUACAAGAGUAGACAAAAACUUCGAAAAGUAAAGACUUAUUAAACAAUGGAAAAAUAAACAAAAAAAACAUAUAAAACUUAAGAUAACAUGAGUCUAAACCGAGUCAUGAAAUUAUUUAUUAUUUUGAAACUCUCAAAACAUAAACAAAUUAAGAAGUCAACGAAGAGGUACCCACUUUCUAAAAGAAAGUGUUGGUGGUCGGUGGUGUUUCAAUGAUGAUAGGCAUUGUCACCUGUUCAUCACAACUUGUAAAGAUAACAAAAAUACCCACAAAAUAAAUCUGUAAAUUGAAAAGAACGAAGACUCAUGGAGUGAAUGAGAAGAAGAAAAAUAAAAAGGGUUAAUAGAGACAAAGCAGGGCGGUAACUAGUUCAGAGGCUAACACCGCUGCUAGGCUAAAAAAAGAAGAAGAAGCAAACAUGUUAUGGAUUAGUUAAAAUAACUAACAUCAUUGAAAAUUUCAUUACUUGGCUGAUUUGGAUUUUUUUUUUUAAAAAAUUGAAACUAGAAACCAUAAAUGAUCUAACAUUUAGAAACCAUAAAUUGGGUUCAAUUGCUUUGCUGUCCAACUCCAUCCAUCUAAAAUCGCAAGGAUGUACCCAUGUUCAAUAUGCAGUACAGACCCAAAAAUUGACCAUAUAAUGUGGCUCAAGAGAAUUUUCGAAUGGUUUUAAAGAAUUAUGAGAACACAAUGAAUAAAGUUAAGGCAUCAUUUAUUCAGCUUGCUAUAAUGCAGGUCAUUCCAAUAAAGAAGCAUUUUUUAACUAUAUUUUCCGUUACCCCAAUAACAAUGGCACAGAAUGUUCUCCGAUGAACAUAGAACUCACCAUUUUUAGGAACACGUGUAGUUGAGGAUGAGAAUUCGGAUCAACUGUAACUUCAAAUGGUGGAAUGAAAACAUUGUCCAGAAUAUUCUGAAAAGAUUUUUCAAUUCCCAUUUGCUUGUACACAUUAUACAAUCGUGGUGACUGCAGAAUUAAGUCAAAAUCAAGUGAAGAAGGUUACCUUUGACUUGAGAAAUAUAUCACAGAGAGAGAGAAAGAGAAAACAGUAAUCUGGAAAGAUGAUGCUUAAUAUGGACAUGAUACCCUAGAAACCGAUCGAUCUUAAAUUUUAAUUUCUAAAAUAUUAUUAGCUUGUGCAUACUUUCAAAUACUUUUCAUUAGAGUUACCAUAAGACUAAUUUUUCCAAUUUUAGAUGAUUCAAGAAACUAUUUGGGGGCAAUUCUUAAAUAAACAUGUCCAAACAGUAGUCAUUAACAAGAAAGCAUCCAAGAAAACCAGCAGUUAAUACUUAAAUUAACAUUAUCAAAUGGAGAUGUAAAGAAGAAAGAAUCCUACUGCAAAGCUAGAUAGCAGGAGAAUCACUAGAAUGAAGAGAAAUACUAUUGGCACUAUACCUGGAUUAACCAAACAGUAGUCUCACUAUAAAUUUCAUUGUUAAUAAACCAACUUGCCAAACUGGUCCCAUUCACUUUGUUUCCUUCCAUAUAUGGACACCCUGUACUCUGCCAUCUAGAAAAUAUAUAUAUUAUUCAGUGUAGUCAGAGGCGCAAGGAGCACUCUAGGUGCUAGAAUCCUUUUAUUGUACAAGGCACAUGGCGCACAAAAAAAAAAAAAAACUUGCUUAUGUUAAGGCACAUGUAUGCGUGUUUUGGUAUGUCCAUGUCUGUAUAUAUAUAAGCCGAAGAUAUAUAAUUAUAAUAAUAAACUAUAAAAGUGCUCCAGUCUGAAGUACAGAACAUGCCAAAUUUUCUUUCUUUUGUCAACCAUAUGCAUAUUUCCAUAUGAUGCCAUGCCUGGUGUUGAAUACUCAAAUAUUGAGAAGUUGAGAGUUCGAUAUUAUCCCUUUGUUACAAUUAAGAAACAAUUAAAGAGAUAGUAAAGAGAACUUCAAUUAGAAGGCCUUUUCCCCCUACAUGCACCAGGCAGGCGCUUAGCCUGAAAAGGUCAAAGGCCCUUUUACUGUCUGGUGAUAAGGCAAAAAACAUUGGACAAAGUUGGUGGGAGGAUAGAAUACUAAAAGAGCCCAAUGUUGUCACUUUUCUAAAGUAAGCUCAUAUGCCUUUUUUGUACCCAAACAAUAUCUUACCCUUUAAUUUGUACCUAAAGAAAUUAUUUCUAAUAGAAAGUUUACUUUUGUUAUGAUCAAUGCUGGAGGCCAAAACUGAUUUGGGCUAAGGAAUUGGUGGUGAGAGUUGGAAGGCAAGAAGAAAGAAAGUUCUUUUGAGUGUUAUAUUUUUCAAAAAAUACAAAUUGUUCAUUUUUUUUACCACAUCAUCAUGCCAGGUCAGCUUCCAUGUGGAUAAAGAAAAUUUUGGCGGCAUUGAAACAGAGGCUUCAUGGGCUUUUAGUAAUUUAGCCCUUGGAAGGAAUAUGACCAUCCAAAAAAAGGCAGUUGAUGCUUUAAGGUCAAUUAGCCGAAACAAUAACAACAAUUCCUAGGCUUCAAUAAAAUAAUUUAGACAACAAAUAAAGCUUGAAGGUUGAGUUUUGCACUGCAGCAGCAUUGGGCUUUACAAGGUGAAAACCCACAUUGCACAAAAAUAUCAAAGUUUCAGAUCUAUCAUAAUUUAAAAUUCUAACUAAACUAAACGCCAAGAAUGCUGAAUGCCUAAUCAAAAAACAUAAGAUUAACCCAAGGACCUAAUUGGGUAUGCUAAAAUUUGUCUUGGAAUGAAAUUAAUAAUAUCCUUACUAUUUCACUUUUUUUUUCUUCAUAUGUUUGGUGUGAGCAUGAUACAGAUUAGACUGAUUUUAAAGUAAAAGUAAAACGAUACCAAACCUAAACAUUUUGGUUUUUUUUUAAUUUUUUAUCAGAGCCCUGUUUGAUGCAUUUUUAGUUUUGUUUUCUAAUAACAAAUGGAAAGUUAAUUAAAAAAAAACCCUAAUCCAAUGAGUUCUUUUAUAGAUAUAAGAUAAGUCCUGCAAAGUUUUUGUUUUUUAGAAAUAAAAUUUUAUUUUUGUUUUUUAAUUCUUCAUACCUAUUUUAAUAUCUAAGUUCCGGAUUCCUAACUGCCCUUUCAAUUAUAUAGUAUUCAAGAUUUGAACUUAUAUUUUUCUAUAAAAAUAUAAUGUAUUUUAUUAUUGUAUCCUACAUUCAUUAAUACUUAGUAGAAAUAACCUAAUAAAAUGAUUUUUUUCAUAUAUUAAUAGAGAUAAGAUUCGUGCAAAAUUGUUGGUUGAAAAUUCAUUAGGAAAGGAUGAUUGUACGAAUGUACCAUCAUUAUAAGUGAGCUCAACGAUAAGCCUCCUAUCAAUCACCAGUGUGCAGAAAACAUUUGAAAUCGAAACACCCGUUCAUACAUCAUACAUCAUCAUAAGUGAGCUCAACGAUAAGCCUCCAAUCAAUCACCAGUCUACAGAAAACAUUUGAAAUCGAAACACCCCGGACAUCUCCAACAAAUCUGCCAUAACGUUAGCAUCUCUUCCAUUUUUUCUAAACAAAACCUCACUAAGCUCAUCAAAUGUGCCAAUAUUUCCAAGGCCUAGAUUUCUCAUUGAUACACCAAGAAAGCUCGACUAUGGAGUCGGAUUCAACCAUAAGCUUUCAGUCUAUAAUCCACUAGGAAUCCAAAAAGAAACACUCUCGAACACCUAAAGAACCUGAAACAUAGCAAUGACAUGACCCUUUGAAUUUCUAAGAACCUCACCUCACCACGUCGAGCUAAGAUUACCUAAUGUCGAACCUUCACGGUUAAACUUUUACCAGCCUUCACCUUACUCUUGAUAUGAUGAUUAUGGAUACUCCCUUCACAAUCCCACAAACACUCCCACCAAAUUGACUCAACAAAAUUUGCACCUAUAGGUUUUCUGUUUAUAUUUGAUUUUGUUCACACAUUGCCUAAAACUACUCAUGAUCCCUCUCCAACCUAUAAAUACGAGGAUAAUGCGCUUCAACGCGCUCAAACCCACGUCCUCCUACAUUAGCAACAAUACUCAUGUCAAUCGAGUUAAAACACAAUCAAUAGAUUUUUUUUAAAAAAAAUCUUUAAAUGUUAUAUUAUUAUAUAAGAAUUUGAAACAUGACUUCCGUAGGUUUUAAAUCUAAUGUUGACACUAAUCUUGAAUAAGUCAUUCCACUCCCAUCUUAACUAAUGGCCAAAGAGAUAUCAAAAGUGGGAGAUGGCCAUAAAAUUGUGUAGUUUGGGUUAUAAAAUUUUUGGGCAAACUACAUAUAUUAUCAUUUAAUUAUAUAUUUUUUUCAAUUUAAACACUUAAAGUAAAAAAUUUAUAAUUUAAGCACCCACAUUAUAUAGUUUAGUUAUUUUGAUCACUCCAGUUAAAAUAAAAAAUGGCAAACUGAAGCGACAAUUAAAAAAAUGUAUAAUAACAAAUUUAACCCUCAAAUUUUAUAUAUUAUAUCAAUUACAUAUUACAACUAAUUUUAUAAUUAUUGAUAUUGAAUAUGUCCCUCACUACGUUAGGGAUUUUUUUUAUAAUUUGUAUUUAAUUAAUAUUUAAAAUUAAUUUCAAAAUAUGUGAAAAUUUUAUAAUUAUUUGGUGUUAGUCCCUUUAUUAUACCCAAAUUUAGGAUUAAGCCCCUAUAUUUUAAUUUUGACAUAAUUUGUUUCUUUCACUUUUAUAAUCUCAUUAAUUAUUUCAAGUAACUAACACUUUUAACAAUAUUGCCAAAUAAAAUAAUGUCAUAUUUUUUUUUCUUAAAGCCAUCACUUCUAACUAAAUCAUGACUUAAUCACUUUCUAAUUAAUCAUACUAACUUAGAUUUUUCUUUUGUUGGAAUCAGUACGUUUAAGGAAAACCCACCUUAACAUUUGUAGAUGUCUUCAACAAUUUCCUAAGCACGAUACAAUAAAGCUUGGUGUGUAUAAUUUUGUUUUAUGGAAGCUCCAAAUUAUGUUGAUUCUUGAAUGAUACGGUCUGCAUGGGUUUGUUUUGGGUGCUAUUAGUGUACUAGCACAGUUUGUAGAGGAUAAAUAUGGGAGAUUAGUAGAAAAUUCUGAUUAUGUUUUACAUGUGCAACAAGAUAAGCUAUUGGCUUCUUGGUUACUUUCAACUGUUAGUGAUGAAAUCCUAGCCUAUCUUACUAGUGCUCGUACUAGUUAUUAUAUGUGGGAAACUAUUGAAAAGAAGGGUUGCGACUAAGUCCACGGUAAAAUUGUCCAGUCAUGUGUUGUAUUCACAGAAAAAGGGUCAUUUGUUUGUUAAAGAAUAUUUGUCUAAGAUCAAGUCCAUGUGUGAUAUGUUGGUUGCAACGGGUUGUUUGAUUUCAAAUCAAGAAAUGGUUAGCAUCAUUCUUGCAAGGUUGCCAGUUGAGUGUGAAUCAGUACGGGUAGUAGCUUCAGCUACUGGUGUGUCACUUGAUCUGUUGAUUGAGAUGCUGCUUGAUUGUGAAGCUCGAAAAUUGAGUUCUUGAAUAGUGUUCUCGUACAACCUAACAUAGCUAGUAAACAAGAUUGUGAUGAGGGUGAUCGGACCAAGGGUUCUGAUUAUAACAGUGGCUAUCAAGGGAACAAACAGACAUAUAUAGGUGGUUUUCAAUGCAAUAGAGGUUCCAUCGAGGUUGAGGCCGUGAGGGUUGUUUUUCUAACAAUCGGCCCCAAUGCCAGUUGUGUGGUAAAAUUGGACACAUUGUCCAAAAGUGUUAUUACCGUUUUGAUGAAAAGUUUUGCAGGUAUUGCUAGGAUGGUAAUAUGGUAUAGUGGGCUGCAUCUUGAUUGUUUGUUUCUCAUGCUGAGGCUAUAAUUUUAAUCAUACCUAUUAUUGUUUCUUGUGUCCUGCAAUUUCAUCAUUUGCAGGCUGUUUCACUAAUUGCAUCCUAUUUACAAGUUCCCUUGUGUUAUCCUCUGCGCUUGGGUGGUUCUCGCUCAUAUAUUAAUGACCAUGCGUCUUCAAUAGACCAUGCAUCUUCUGAUUUGUCAUUGGAUACAACACUUUCAGCAAAUGUAAAGCCGGUAGAAUUUCCGCUGUUUUUAGAAGGUCAAGACACGACAAGAGCAGCAUAUGCUGUGUUCUUGUUAAACAAGGUAAGCUUUUGCAUAUUAGUAAUUUUUUUUUCCAAGAUGAAUUAUUCUCCUUUGGCAUUUUAUAUUAUAUAAUUAGUCACUACAAAACAUAAAUAAAUAAUAAUACUCCAUUUUUACAAUAAAAAUUCACUAAAGAAAAUACAUUUGAAGUCUAUCAUUGCUUUUUCGAAUAAGAGUCGGUCAAGAAAGUUAUGCGCAAAUACUUAUAUCUUUAUUUCAGAUGCUUUCAAUUCUAUUGUCACUUAAAUCCAAGUACUUUAAAUUUGUCAAAUUAUUCAAUUUUGAAAUUCAAUCCCAAAUAUUGAUCAAUUAUAUAUAUUCAUGAUAUGAUAAAAGCAAAGACAUCUUUCAACAUUAACUUUCCCUUAAACAAAAAUUGGUUUUAAAGUAAAAAAGAAACAUAUAAAACCAGUCUAGCUUGAAUAUGAAUCAAUAUAUAAACACUAUACUUAUACCUUGGUUUGAGAUGCUUUCAAUAUUGUUGUCGCUUAAAUACAAGUAUUUCAAGUUUGUCAAAUUAUUCAAUCCCAAAUAUUGGUUAGUUAUAUAUGAUAUGAUAAAAUCAAACUUGAACAUACAUUGAUUUUUAAAGUUGAAAAUUACUUGUUAAUUUUUUUUCUUUCUUACCUAUAUGAAAAUUUUACUAAAGUAAAAGUUGAAUUACAACGGAUAAAAAGAAUGGAAAACUAGGUACCAAGCCUAGAAGACCAUCCUCAAACUCCACUAUACAAAUAAAAACUACUCAAACUCCACUAUACAAAUAAAAACUAACACCGGACCAAACUUAAUUUACCUCUUAGAUGACUUGAUCCUUCAAACUGGUUGUAUGAUAGAUCUAAAUACCGGAGAGAUGAAAGCUCACUCAAAGAUAACAAAAUGCUAUCAUUCAAGUAAUUGUAACUUAAGUCAAGGAUCUCCAAAUUACUCAAUGUGAAUGAUAGCUUUCCAAAGCCUGUAGAAGUGUUCUUUUAAACAUAUACAAGCAGUUAGUGACUUUUCUUCCAUAAAAUAAAAUAUAAGUAAUUGUAAAUUAACAAUGGUGAGAAUAGUGGAAUAGUAAAAGAUAUAAUUAAGGAAAAAAAAUAAAGGCACGACCUUCAUUUUCAAGGUUACCACCUAUGGCAUUUCCCGACAAAUAAAGUCUCUUCAAUUCCUCAAAAGGAAGAAACAUAGAGGCAUUGAGAUACCAGACAAUGAGAUUCCUAUUAUCCAUGCCGUAUUCCCAAUUGUCUUCCCAUUUUGUAGAAAUAAGGGAGAGUUGUAUGAGUCUCCUAGUGGUGGUGUUACACUCAAAUCCUUCCCAUUUACAACAAUCUGAACCCUUCACCUCAACCCAACUUUGCAAUGGAUUACGAUAAACGAAGAAAGGCUUGAGAUGCAAGAGAGCGAUUCUCUCAUGCUCCAAACAAGCAUCAGUAGUACACCAUCUGCAUCCUUCUAACACCAACAACAUUAUUGCCAUCCUAAUAAACUAUAACCAUUUCCACUCCAUCAUCAUCAUCUCUCUGUUUUGUAUACAUAUGGACUACAAUUCAAGUUUCAUGCUUAUAAUUAUACCAAAUCAAAGUUCAUGUAUCAAAUUGCACAUUAAAUCAAAAUUUAUGUAUACAUUUGAUAUUUAUCUCAUUUAUGGGAGAUUAACUUUCUAAUGGUAUUGUUUUGUUUACAUUAAUCCAAAUAAUAGGAAAUGAUGAAUUAGUUUAACGCAAAUUGUAAUUCUAUUAAUGUUUCUUCUCAAACUUUUGGUUGCUCUUAUUUACAUGUUUUAUUAAUUGAUAGAUUUAAAUUCUUGGAAUAUAUUCGGUUAGAAUGAAGUGCCCCGAAUCCUUAUUUAAAUAAAAUACAGUGUUAAAAUAAAAGAAAAGUAAAAUCCCUACAGAAUUAUACUUCUUUUAUUUUAUUUUAGAAUAAGGCUUUUUAAAUCUUAUUAAACUCCAUCUAUUUGAUAUUGAUUAGAAUAAAGAGUUUCACUCCUAUUAGAAUAAAGUUUUACAAGCCUAUAAAUAGACAUAGUCUACUCCUCUUGUAAUUAAUUCAAAUUCGACAUAGUGAAUUUUCUUCUCCUCUGCCCGUGGUUUUUUCCCGAAAGGGUUUCCACGUAAAAUUUGUGUGUUCUUUAUUUUUCUAUUUCUAUUUUCUUUGUGAUAUAUUAUCAUUACCGACAUUUAUUUUCACAAAUUGGUAUCCGAGCUUCUGGGUUGUUCAUCGCAAUCACUGUAAUGACGUCUUUGAAGUAUGAAAUUCUACUGUUGGAUCGCAACACCAGAUUCGCAUUUUGGCAGAUAAAGAUGCAGGCAGUUCUUGCACAGAUGGACUUAGAGAAAGCCCUGCUAAGGUUAGAUAAGAUGCCUUCAACAUUGAUGGAGGAAGAGAAGAAGCACAAGGAUUGAAAGGCGUUAACACAAUUACAUCUGCAUUUGUCUAACGAAAUUUUGCAGGAUGUGAUAAAGGAGAAUACCGCCGCUAGAUUAUGGAAGACGUUGGAACAACUAUGUAUGUCGAAAACUCUAACUAGUAAGCUGCAUAUGAAGCAGCGUCUUUAUGCUCAUUGUUUGGAGGAAGGUGCGUCUAUGCAUGAACACUUGACAGUGUUUAAAGAAAUUCUCUCAAAUUUGGAGGCCAUGGAGGUUCAGUAUGAUAAGGAAGAUUUAGGGUUGAUUCUACUUUGUUCGUUGCCCCCGUCUUAUUUAACCUUUAGAGAUACAAUUUUAUAUAAUCGCGAGUCUUUCACAGUUGAUGAGAUUUAUAAUUCUUUAACCUCGUAUGAUAAGAUGAUGCAUCUUAUGGUUAAAACUGACUCUCAAUGAGAGGGUCUCAUUAUUCGUGAGAGAUAAGAUCAGAAUAUUGAUGAUGAUCAUGGAAGGACACAAGAACGGAAUCCUCGUGGUAAAUCUAAAGGUAGAUCGAAGUUUUCAAACAGAGGUAAAACUUGUAACUUCUGCAAGAAGAAAGGGCACAUUAAAUCUAAGUGCUAUAAGCUACAGAAUAAGAUCAAAAGGGAGACUGUGAAUCAAAAUGGAAAACAACCAGAAAAUUUUGGUAAGGCUAAUGUUGUAGAAUACUACAGUGAUUGUGAACUUCUAGUCGCUUCUGUCAAUAAUUUUAAAGUGAGCGAGGAGUGGAUCCUUGAUUCGGGUUGCACCUUCCACAUGAGUCCCAAUAGUUAUUGGUUUACAACUUACGAAAUAGUGUCUGAAGGUGUUGUUUUAAUGGGAAAUAAUACUUCAUGUAGAAUUGCAGGUGUUGGAACAAUUAAAGUUAAGAUGCUUGAUGGAGUUGUCAGAACACUUAGUGACAUAUGACAUGUUCCAAAAUUGAAGAGAAAUUUAAUUUCAUUGAGUACUCUUGAUUCAAAAGGGUACAAAUACACAGCUAAAAGUGGUGUUUUGAAUAUUUCUAAAGGUUCCCUCAUUGUGAUGAAAGGAUAGAGAAAGACUACCAAGUUUUAUGUUUUGCAAGGUUCUAUUGUUACUGGUGAUGCAGCUGUCGUAUCCUCUUCCUUGUCAGAUGAUGAUAUUACUAAACUUUGGCAUAUGCGCCUAGGGCAUAUGAGUGAGAAUGGCAUGGCAGAAUUGAGCAAAAGUGGACUUCUUGAUAGGCAAUGAAUUUGCAAACUGAAGUUCUGUGAGCACUACAUUUUUGGGAAGCAAAAGAGAGUUUGAUUCACCAGAGGAAUCCAUAACACAAAGGGAACGUUUGAGUAUAUUCAUUCUGAUCUGUGGGGGCCAUCCAGAGUACUUUCGAGAGGUGGAGCUAAUUAUAUGCUAACUUUUAUUUAUGAUUUUUCCAAAAAAGUGUGGGCGUUCUUCCUGAAGCAGAAAAACGAUGUGUUUUUUGUAUUUAAGUCUUGAAAAACCAUGAUUGAAAAACAAACGGGAAAGUAAAUAAAACACCUCCGCACAGACAAUGGCUCAGAGUUCUGUUUUGAUAAGUUUAAUAAAUUGUGCAAGUCAGAAGGGUUCAUGAAACACUUGAUAGUUCAUCAUACUCCACAGGAAAACGGCGUUACAGAAUAAAUGAACAGAACGAUCAUGGAGAAGGUUCGAUGUAUGUUGUCAAAUACCAACUUACCAAAGUCAUUUUGGGCUGAAGCAGCCUCUACUGCAUGAUUUUUAAUCAACCGAUCUCUAUCCAUUGCCAUUGAGAAAAAGACUCCACAAGAGGUAUGGUCUUGUAAUCCUGCUGACUAUUCUGAUUUAAAGAUUUUUGGUUGUCAUGUGUGUGUGCAUGUUGAUAAUGGAAAAUUGGAAUUGAGAUCCAUUAAAUGUGUUUUUCUUGGUUAUAAAGCUGAUGUAAAAGGGUAUAAGUUAUGAUAUCCUAAAAAUAGAAAAGUUGUGAUUAGCAGAUAUGUUAUUUUUUAUGAAACUGCUAUGCUACCUAACUUAUCUCUUAAAGAAUCUCUCAAUAAAGAAAAUCAAAAGUAGGUGGAGCAUCAGAUUAAUACAGAAUCUACAACAGAGUCGACUACUGAAGCCAGUACAAAAAUUCAAAAUAGAGUUGCUCCUUCACCAUAAUACUCUAUCGCCAAAAAUAGAACUAGAAGAGAAAUUAGACCUCCAAAGAAGUAUGUCAAGUCUGAUCUAGUUGCUUAUGCUUUAAAUGUGGCUAAAGAUAUAGAUGUAAAAUAAGAGCCAUCUAAUUAUUCUGAGGCGAUUAGUUGUGAAGACUCAGAAAAGUGGAUGUUUGCUAUGCAAAAGGAGAUGGAAUCACUCCACAAAAAUAAAAUAUGGGAUCUUGUGAAACUUCCUAAAUGUAAAAAGAUUAUUCGUUGUAAAUGGGUGUUUAAAAAGAAAGAAUGGACUCCAAGAGUUGAAGAACCCAGAUAUAAAGCAAAGUUUGUUGCAAAUGGUUACAGUCAAAUUCCAGGAGUGGACUUCACAGAUGUGUUCUCUCCAGUUGUGAAGCAUAGUUUGAUUCAAGCUUUACUUGGUAUUGUGGCCAUACAUGAUUUGGAGCUUGAACAGUUAGAUGUAAAAAAUGCUUUUUUGCAUAGAGAAGUUAAGGAGGAUAUUUACAUGCAACAACCAGAGGGUUUUACAGUCUCAGAAAAAAGGACUAUGUUUGCUUGCUGAAAAAGUCUCUUUACAGUUUGAAACAGUCACCAAGACAGUGGUACAAGAGGUUUGAUUCAUUUAUGACUUCUCAUGAUUUUAAAAGAAGUAGCUUUGACAGUUGUGCUUACUUUAAGAAAAACAAUGAUGGUUCUUUUGUGUAUCCACUCUUUUAUGGUGAUGAAAUGUUGAUAGCAGUGAAAGAUAAAUGAGGGAUAAGAAAGGUCAAAGCCCAACUAAGUGAAGAAUUUGAGAUGAAAGAUUUGGGACCAGCAAAGAAGAUACUUGGUAUGGAGAUUCUCAAAGAUAGAAAAGUAAGUAAAUUGUACCUAAGUCAAAAGGGGUACAUUGAGAAAGUUCUUUGCAGAUUCAAUAUGCAGAAUGCUAAGCCUGUUAGUACUCCUUUAGCAGCCCAUUUUAGACUUUUAUCGGCUUUGUCUCCACAAUCAGAUGAUGAGAUUAAGUACAUGUCACAUGUUCCAUACUCUAGUACAGUGGGAUCUCUCAUGUAUACUAUGGUUUGUUCACGUCCAGAUUUAUCAUAUGUAGUUAGUGAAGUUAGCAGAUACUUGGUGAAUCCCGAUAAAGAACAUUGGAAAGUAGUUCAGUGGAUUUUAAGAUACUUACGAGGUACUACUGAUGUUUCCUUACAGUUUGGAAGAACUAGAGAUGAAGUCAUUGGGUAUGUUGAUGCUAAUUUUGCUGGAGACUUUGAUAGAAGAAGAUCUCUCACAGGUUAUGUCUUUAUAAUCGGAGGUUGUGCAAUCAGUUGGAAAGCCACUUUGCAAACUACAGUUGCUUUGUCCACCACUGAAGAUGAGUACAUGGCGAUUACUGAGGCUUGUAAAGAAGCUAUUUGGUUGAAGGGACUCUUUAGUGAACUCAAUAAAGGCUUUCAAAUCAAUACAGUAUUUUGCGACAGUCAGAGUGCUAUCUUCUUUACAAAAGAUCAAAUGUUUCAUGAGAGAACAAAACACAUUGAUAUUCGGUAUCAUUUUGUUCGUGAUAUUAUUGCUUGUGGUGAUAUUGUUAUGAGCAAAAUUAGUACUCAUGAAAAUCCUGCAGAUAUGAUGACUAAGUCACUUCCUAUAACCAAGUUUGAGCAUUGCUUAGACUUGGUUAGUGUUCAUUGUUGAAGUUAAACCCUUAAGGGGUUUUAUGGAAUAGGUGGAAAACUUGAUCGUUGAGAGUUCGCGAUGAAGAACUUGUUCAUUAAGAAUUCGUGUCAAUGUGGAGAUUGUUAGAAUUAAGUGACCCGAAUCCUUAUUUAAAUAAAAUACAGUGGUAAAAUAAAAUAAAAGUAAAAUCCCUAUAGAAUUAUACUUCUUUUAUUUUAUUUUAGAAUAAUAUUUUUUAAAUCUUAUUAAACUCCAUCUAUUUGAUAUUGAUUAGAAUAAAGAGUUUCACUCCUAUUAGAAUAAGGUUUUACAAGCCUAUAAAUAGACAUAGUCUACUCCUCUUGUAAUUAAUUCGAAUUCGACAUGGUGAAUUAUCUUCUUCUCUGCCCGUGGUUUUUUCCCGAAAGGGUUUCCACGUAAAAUCUGUGUGUUCUUUAUUUUUUCUAUUUUUAUUUUCUUUACGAUAUAUUGCUAUUAUCGACAUUUAUUUUCACAUAUUCUAAUUAAUUAGAUAUUUCCUUCCUUCCAAAAGCCUUUCAAAAUAGGUUUAGUUUGACCAAGAUACUCUUGUAGAAAAUUUUAGUUUUGUGGGAAAACGAAAAACUAGAUUUAUUUUUUAUUCUAAUUGGUUUCAUAUGCAAGGUAUAUAAACUUUUGUGUCGCUGCAAUUUUUUUCCAACAUAUGUAUGUGAUUUGUGGGGUUUCAAUUUUGAAUUUUUUUUAUAAUUUAAUUAAAUUGUGAAAGUAUUUGAAAGUUUUUAAGUUGAUACAAUGUUUAGAACUACCCCAACACCCACCCAACCCUUAAAUAGGAGGAUAAACAUGCUUCAGCACGCUCAAACUCACAUUCUCCUACAUCUAUGAUAAUACUAAUGCCAACCGAGUUAAGACUCAACUAGCCUUGAAUUUUGAAUUUUACUUCUGAUAUAUUUUGAAUUUUGAAAUUUUAAUUUUGACCCAAACAGUAGCAGUUAAUUUAAUUUGAUUAAAUUUAAUUACUAGACCUAUAUUAUGCGUACGAUUAUUGAUUAGUCUAUACUCUCAAAUUGGGCAAUUCUAAGUACCUAUACUUUCUGAAUUUUGAAAUUUCAGUCUUGAUGCAAAUGACAAUUGUUAAUCUAUUAAUUAGAUUUUUAGCGAGUAAUAUGUAAAAAUAACAAACUGGCAUAACAUUACACAUAUGAUAAUAUGUUUAUUGCACCGCAUUUGAAAAUAGCCGAAUUUAACAAAUAUCGUUAGUGAGGAUUGGAAAUUAGAGUCUAGGGAUUAAAUCCACAAGUUCAGUAAAUUACAAGAACUAAUGGUAGAAUUUAACCUUUAUAUAACCUUUAAAUUCUAACCGUGGUUUGCACACUACUCAGCCGACCAUUGGCUGUGGUGGGAACACAAACUGUUUGAAUUUGACAUCAGUGAUUGAAUUUUCAUAGCUAAUAUGUACGUUCCUUCAAUUUCUCCAUAGGAGGGAGUGGAAUACAUUAUAUAAGGUAAUAUUUGAUAUAUUCGGUAAAUGAAUAAUUGCAAGAUAUCUCAUUAUCUAGUAAAAUAAAUAAUGAAAAUUUUAUAAAUAAAUAUUAAUAAAAUAUUAUUACAUAUAUCAACAAUGACAUAGUAAGUUGCAUUAACUUUUAGAUGUUGACUAUUGACUUUUGCAUCAACCUUGAACUUACAUAGGCCCCUACAAUAAUUUAGGUUAUGGAAAUAAUCUUGCAAAUAAUGCUUGAGACAUCAUUAUACAUCAAUUUAUAGUUUUAAUUCUUGUACUUACUCAAUUGGAAUAAAGAUUUAGUUUUUUAUUUUCUUUUGAUACAAUGUCUAGAAUUAUCCAUAGCCCUUUUCCAACCCUUAAAUAAAUGAAUAAUGUGCUUCAGCGUACUCGAACUCACAUCUUCUUACAUUGACAAAUUGCUGAUGCCAAUUAGUUAAUGUUAAUGCUAUACUUUAGUUAAAAAUAACUAACAUUAUUAAAAAAUUCAUUAGUUGGCUCAUGUGGAUUUUUUUUCAAAAAAAUUGAAAUUAAGAACCAUAAAUUCUUUAAGACUUAAAAAUUAAAAUUAUGUGGUUAUUAAAAAAGAUUUAUUUUUUAUUAAAUUAUUAUUUAAAAUAAAUUUAUCUCAUCAUAAUGAUAUGAUUUUUUUCUUUAAAAAAUCCACAUUAACCAACUAAUAGAAUUGUAUAAAGCUGCCACCAAUCUCUUAGCAUGAUGGCAAAAGAUUCAGAGGCAGCCAGAAAAUCUUUUGAGGGGCGUGAAUAAAGUUAUAUAUUUUUAUAAUAGCAAAAGUGAAAUUUUAUUAUUAUAAUAGUUUAUAUCUUUAAUUUUUAAAAUAUUAAAUAAUUUUUUUCUUAUUUUUGAGGGGAUAAAGUAUAAGUUUAUCAUAUACUAAUUUUAAAAUUAUAAAAAGACUAAAUGUGAAAUUUUUCAUUUUAAGGGGUGGGGCCCUGUCAGGUCUCCUUGGCUUCACCUUGAUAAAAGUAUUAUGUAAUACGUAUAAAGUUUGAGUUUAAUCCCAAACAAUCUCAUUUCUUAUCCCUCAUUAUAAAAUAAUAAAAUAAAUAGAGCAAUUGAUAUGAGGAGACAAGUAUAAUAGGGCAAUUUUAACCUGGGCCAGAUUUCAAAACAAAACCCAAACCAAAUAAUAAAAGAGUCCAAAAUAAUUAAAACAAUCCAUCCAUUUUACAAACAAACCCAAAUUAGCAGCCCAAAUACAAAUUAAAACUCAAUAACCCAAAACUAACUAUAGCCCAAUUAGCUAAACACUUAAACGCAACAAAAAAAACCCUAUCCCCCUAAGCCUCCAACGCUGCAUGACCACCUACGCCGCACGUCGUCGCUGCCGCUCGAGGCUCGCCUAUCUUCGACCAUCCACGCAUCUGACACUUGCAAAACCAAGGCAACACGCAACAACAAAGGCCAAAUAGAGGAAACAACAAGGAAACAGACAAAAAAGGAAGAAACAAACAGUUUUGAUUCGGCUAUAAAAGCCCGAAUCUCACCCUUGUAAUUUUUUUGCGAACAUUAGAAAAUAAAAAAACAAAAACAACACUUUCAAGGUGAAUUUCUACUUUUAUUUCUGUUUUAAAUACUUAUUUGAUUCUAUAUUCAUAUUUUUAUUUUAUUUUUUAUAUAUAUACGAAAAUAAUAAAAUAAAAAAAGGAAGAAAGGGCUCACCGGAGACGCCCCGUGAUCGUGCCGUCAGAAGGCUCUUCUCCGUUGUUGCCAUCGGAUCCGAGAGGGGGUCGAGAGUCUUCCUCUUUCGCUUUUUUGGGUCGAGAGGGCUGGGCUUCCAAGGGAGCUGCGAAACGGGGGCUAAAAAUGCCCUUUUGCGCAACACCGACCACCGGCCACGACAGCACUACGACGGCGACCAUGGCCGGCCAAGGGGUGGGCUGAGAGAGAGACCAAGAGAUACUGAGAGAGUUCUCUGUUUUUUUAGAAAAAUGAAAGUUGAACCGUUUUUUUCUUCUUUUUUUUUGCUAUUUAUAUAGGGUAUAAUACGACGCCGUUUUGGACUUAAGCAUCAGUGGCCAAAACAAUGCCGUUUUGCAUCAGACCUGAAAAUCGACUCGAAUGCGGCCAGGAUCUGCGCGUUUUAGCUUUGAGGAGCUAUUUGCAUAUUCAGCCCUUCCGCUUUUGUAGUAUAGUGCAAUCUGGUCCUCGUUGUUUUUAUAUUUUGGCCGCAUAAUUUUUUGAUUGUUUUACUUUGGUCCGAGCUGAAACGCUGCGCAUAGGGGCUAGGAAUAUUGCCCAGUCGGUCCCUCAUUCCUUAAGCGCGCUCUAUUUCAGUCCCUAGCAACCCUUUUUUUUAUUUGUAAUUUAAACCCCAAAUUCUGGGUCGAUUUUAGUAUCAUCCUUAGUCCAUUUAAUUUAUUUGUUCACUAUUUUUUAUUUAAAAAACUCUUUUAUUAUUAUUUGUUUUAAGUUUUUUUAUUUAUCAUUUAUUUUAAAUUGUUUUACAUACUAUUUAUUUAAAUUUUUUAUAUAUUAGUCAUUUUAAACCAUUAUAUGUACAUUAUCUUUUAAAUUUUUAUAUACAUAUAUUUUUUUUAAAAAAAACUGUUGUAUGUUUCUUAUUUAUUUAUUUUAAACUGUUAUUAUUAUUCAUUUUAAGUUUUUAUAUACUGUUUAUUUGAAGCCGGUUAUUAUUUAUUUUUGAAUUGUUCUUAUAAAUUAUUUACUUUAAAUUAUUAUUUACUUUGAAAUUUUUUUGCAUAUUAUUUUGUUUUGUUUUUUUUAUUGUUAAUAUUAGUAUAAAAAUUAUAUACAUUGUGUGAUUAUUACCGCCAUGUGUACUAUAAUUAGUUUCUUCGUGUUUUCAUAUUAUUAUCACUCAUUAACAUAACAUUUUUUUCAUAAAUUGUUAUUUUAUGUUCUAUGUUAUCAUUCCAUUUCACUUCAUCACUUCGAAAGUUGCAUUCAAUUUGUAUUUACCCAUAAUAAACCGUUCUAUUUUGUCACAAAUAAAACAAAUGCACCUCGUUCAAGCAUUGUACUCACAAUUAUUCAAAACGGGGAAAAGUUUUAAAAUAAGACAAUAUUUCGCAUUUUGGAGAUUUGAGAAAUUGUACCCUAACUUACGGGGUUUCAAUUUUCUCGUUGAACCUAAAUAGCAAAAUAUCCUUCUAAUUUUCAAAAUUUACGAAAUUCCAAUAAAGUUAAAGGCUAGCUUAUUCUCAAGGGUUCUAAGUGUCGUGUCCUAACUUACGGGAUGUGACAUUUAUUAUCUCGAGACGAGAGGAUCUUUGACAUUCGUUUCAAUUUAUUCAAGCAAAUUCUUUUAAAUUAAAAUAGCGUUAACAAAAGGGGGAUCGUGUUUUAAAUUCUUUCGAAGUUUUUCAAUUUUUAACAUUUAGACAUUAAUUAAUCAAUUGAAUACCAAUUUUGGGCGUGACGAGGGUGCUAAUCCUUCCUCGCAUGUAACUGACUCCCGAAUCCGUUUUCUCAAAUUUCAUAGACCAAAAUCACUGUUUUGAUAAAUUAAAAUAUUUUAUUAAAACAACUAAAUUAUGAGGUGACCUAAUCACACCUCAUAAAAAAAAGAUUGGUGGCAACUCUCGUUUUAAUUUCCAUUUUCAAACCAACGUCGACCCUUUUAAAAAAAUGGUUUCAAUAUUAAGUUAUAAGUUGAAUGAAUUAAAAAUAUGUGAAAAGUGUAAAUAGAGACUCUUCAAUCUCAUUUCCUCUAAUGCUCUUUUUUUAAAUUUUUUUUUAAAUUUUUUAUGUACCUUUUAAAUAGUUAAUGAAAAUAAAAAUAUUUUGAUAAUUUUCACUUCGAAAUGCAAAAGCCAACAACAGUUUUUGACUACAAAAGCGGUGUGUUCUUCAUCACUUCUCAGUGGAAAAACACUUCUGCAAUGUAACAACACUUUUAACCCAAAACGGCUUUUUCACCACAAUAGAGAAUGCACCCUAAAAUUGUAAAUAGAAAAAAGAAGGAUCAAACAUUGUUUCUACCCUGUUUUUGUCUCCUCUUUGAAAAUACUUUCCAAAAAGUUUUAUCAUUUUUUUUUCUGUUUACAAAUUCCUUAUAGAAGUGCUUUCUUUUGAUCCACUUGCAUCAUUGUAAUAAGUUUGCAUUGCCUUCUAACUUUCUAUGUUGAUUACAGUUUAUUAAGUUUUCUGUUGGAUCUUAUAGUCAAAUUCCUUUACAUCAUGUAUGUUAAUUUGCUUAGCCCUGAUAAAUGUUAGAUAUAGGGUUAUCAGUGUCGAAACCACUUUUUUGGCGAACAAAAAUUAGUUGUUGACUUUAAAAACGAAAGUUGGAGUCGCCAUCGAUCCUUUAUUGGGGUGUGAUCGGCUCACCUUAAAAACGAUUUUGGUCUGCAAAAUUUGAGAAAACAGGUUCGGGAGUCGGUUACGCAUGAGAAAGAGUUAGCACCCUCUUAACGCCCAAAAUUGGUACCGAAUUAAUUAAUUAAGGUCUUAAUGCCGAAUAUCGAAAAUCUGUGAAGAAUUUAAAAAUACGAUCCUCCCUUUUUGUUAAUGUUAAUUUUAUAAAAGAUGCUUGGAUAAAUCGAAGCGAAUGCUAAAGACCUUUUUGUCUUGGAAUAAUAAAAUGUCACACCCAAUACGUUAGGACAUGACAUUUUAGUCCUCGAGAAUAAGCUUGUCUUUUGAUUUUCAAAGCUCGUGCGGUGAAGUUUAAAAAGGAUAUUCAAUUGCUUUAACUCAGAUGAAAAAUCGGAGCCCAAUACGUUAGGGCACAAUUUCUCAAAAUUCCGAGCAUUGAAUAUUGCCCUUAUUAUUAUUAUUUUUAAAAUCUUCAUCUCGAGAAAAUGACAUGUCAUAUCCAAUAUGUUAGGACACGACGUAUCGAAUUUUCGAGAAUGAGCUUUUUAUUUAUGCUUUAAUUAAAAAAGGAUACCCGGUUUCUUAGAUUCAACGAGGAAGAUUGGAAUCCAAUAAGUUAGGACACAAUCUUUUCGAGGAUCCUAAAUUCCGAGUGUCGCGUUAUUUUUGAAAAAAAACUUUUUGAAUAAAAAUGCUCUCGAUACUUGAAUGAUAUUAAACGUAACCUUUUAACAACGAAUAAAAUGCGACGGGACGAUAAUGUAUAACGCGGAAUGACGAUUUGUAAACAAAAUAUACUCUAACGAAUGACAAAUAAUCAAUAAAAACAAAUAAACAUUAUCAUACAUAUAAGAGCAAUAAUCACAUGUAAAUAUUAACAUCAACAUUUGAAAGCUAAUGACCUAAAAGCCUAUCGCAAAUACAACAAAUUUAAAAUAACUAAAAAAAAAGCAUGAGAGAAAAGAAAUUUGAAAUUAUCAACAUAUAUACACAAAAUACACGUAUAUAAAAAUUUAAAAGAAAUAAUUAAUAGGAAGACUUGAAAUAAUUUAAAAAUAGAAUUAAAAAUGAAUAAUAAUAUCUAAAUGAAUUUUAAAAUAAAUAUUAUAAGAAGAAAGUCAAAAUAAAUAAAACCCAAAAUAAUACACAUAUAUUAAUCUAAAUAGGUAAUAGAUAUAAAUUACGUAUUAUAAAAGAAAACUAUUUAAAAAGGGUAAAUUCUAUUGGAUUAACAUAAAAAUAUAAAAUAAUUUAUUAUGAAAUUAAAUAAUAAUAUAUGAUAAUAAUAUAAAAAAACUUAAAAUAAUAGUGCAUAAUAGAAUAAAAUAAUGAAUAUAAAAAGGUUAGAUAAAUUGAUAAAAAAUAAUACUAAUAAUAAUAAUAGUAGCAGUAAUAAUAAUAAUAAUAAUAAUAAUAAUAAUAAUAGUAAUAAUAGUAAUAAUGAUAAAUUAAUAUUAAAGUAAUUAAUUUGAUAGCAAAAAUAACAAAACAGAUUACUAAUUUGGAAUUAAAACAGAAAUUUAGGGGUAAGACGUGCAAUAAAAUGAAAUGAAAAGGACCUAAUUGAAAUUAAUUUAAAAUCAGACUGACUAGCAAAGAAAUUAAACGCACAAGUCUCACCUGGCAAUCAAGUCAGAUCAUCAGAAACGGCGUCGUUUCGAACGUUUGUCUCCUCAACUGACAGAAGGACGAAAUUGAAAGAAAUAUCGAAUUAUGUGGCAAAAUUAAAAAAGACAAAGAAGGAUUAAAAUGAAGUAAAUAAAAAACAGAAGGACCAAACAGGAGAAUAAGCCAUUGAAACAAAACACGCGGAUCCUCCCCGGGUCAAAUCGGAUCAUCGGGUCAACCAACACGGAGACGUUUUGAAGCCAUUAAAUCGGGCUUAAACGGCACCGUUUUAUUAUCGUUAAAAACCUAAAAAAAUAAAACCCUAAUAAUUUGUUUUGCCAUCCUAAAACAGAUCAAGAGCCUAGCCUUCUCCCCACCGGUCUCCACUCACGAACCCAAUCUGACUCCGAUUCAGACGGAGCAAACCAGAUUCCAAUGGCGUCUGCUCUGGUAAGACGCUUCUUCUCUCCCUCUUUUUUUUUCGUUUGGUGCCAAAGAAGAAAACAAAGAAUCAAAGAAAUAAAAGAGAAAAAAAAACGAAGAAAAUCACCUUUCGAAAAAACUUUCUGUUUUGAUUUUUUGUUUGUAUUCAAUAUGCGUAAAAAAGGAUUACAAUGGCCUUCUCCCUCUUUAUAGCCGAAUAUUCGAAAUAAAAUGAAAGAAAAUACAAAAAAUUCUCUCUGCUGCGUUGUUUUCGUCUUCUUUGCAGGUAAGGAGGCUAGCUGGCGUAAGGAGGUGGUGGACGUGGCACAGCACACUCGGGGAAGGCCCUGGUGGCUGCGGCGCUGGAAGGAGGGCUGUUGCAGCUAGGGUUUUCUGAUUUUUUUUUGGGCUAGGGUUGGGUUGAUAGUUGUAUUGGGCUAGGUAUUUGGGCUGGGUGUAGUUGGACUAGAUGUAUCUGACUUUGGGUUUGUACCGGGUCACUGUAAAUGGGUUUGGUUUUUGUUGUUAUUGGGCUGUGAACUAUUUGAGUUUUAAUUAAUUUUUAUUUAUUUGGUUUUUUAUUGUGGGCUGGGCAAAUUGGGUAUUACAAUCAGCUAAUUAGGAAAGACUGUGAUGAUAGUCACACCUUACAUCCAAAAGCAAAGCUUUUUUUACAUGUGUAUGUAAGGUUGCUAAGCAAAUCUGGUGAGCCUUCACUGCUGUUUUAAGGUUAAGUUAAUGUUCCUUUUCGGCAAAGAACAUUAUCGAGAUCACGGUAUUUUGAUCGCCUUUUGCUUCUUGUUAUUCGUUCUGAAACGAUUGCAUAAUCUUUACUGUGAUUGCAGGAUAUAGAGCAACUUUUGAAUUUCAUCGCUGUAAAGUGUUUAGGACCACGACAUGUUCUUGCAAAUUUGAAGAAGCUUCUAAGGUCUGUCCAGUCUUCAGAAUAUAUAGAUACCUGAAUUAAUUUUGAUUUUGUAGGAUCAACUAUAAUUAGCUACUUAUUAGAGUAUGAAUAGACAACCUCACCUUCUUCACACACUGACACGUGCGGAUUUUUUGCCAAUCCCAUUUCAAAGGAUCACACUUUUUUGUUGUUUACAGAAUCAUAAUUAAUGUUAAUUAAAGUGGAAUAUUUCAGAUUUCUGAUGAUGAGCAUAUUCUUGAGUAUUGCAGUAAAAAAAUGGGUGCGGAACUUAUUUGAACUUUGAAUGUAUGUUUUGUUGGUGAGAAUAUAAAGUUGAUAAAGAUUUGGUAAAUAGAAUAAAAUACUAUUUUUUAUUAGAAAAAUUAUUUGGUAGACUGCCAAUCGAUUUAUAAUUAUCAUGACGCAAUAUUAAGGGUAAUUAAAACAUGUCAUAUUACAAAUAAUAAAAUUAUAAUGACUCAAAUAUACGAACAUGUCAAAAUUUAUGUACAACGAAUUAUUAACAUGUCAAUGUAUAGUAUAAUAUGGUACGCAAAAAUAAGAUAAUUGCUUGUCUUUAAUUGAAUUGUUAUAACACAUUAUACAAAAUACAUUGUGAAUUAAAGCAUAAUAUAAUCAUGAUAUCAAUAUAUUAAAUUUUUUAAAAAUUCGAUGAUACGAAUAAUUAUGUAAAAUAUCACAUGAUACAAAAUGACUUGAGAGGAAAAGAGGAACAAAGACUUGCNNNNNNNNNNNNNNNNNNNNNNNNNNNNNNNNNNNNNNNNNNNNNNNNNNNNNNNNNNNNNNNNNNNNNNNNNNNNNNNNNNNNNNNNNNNNNNNNNNNNNNNNNNNNNNNNNNNNNNNNNNNNNNNNNNNNNNNNNNNNNNNNNNNNNNNNNNNNNNNNNNNNNNNNNNNNNNNNNNNNNNNNNNNNNNNNNNNNNNNNNNNNNNNNNNNNNNNNNNNNNNNNNNNNNNNNNNNNNNNNNNNNNNNNNNNNNNNNNNNNNNNNNNNNNNNNNNNNNNNNNNNNNNNNNNNNNNNNNNNNNNNNNNNNNNNNNNNNNNNNNNNNNNNNNNNNNNNNNNNNNNNNNNNNNNNNNNNNNNNNNNNNNNNNNNNNNNNNNNNNNNNNNNNNNNNNNNNNNNNNNNNNNNNNNNNNNNNNNNNNNNNNNNNNNNNNNNNNNNNNNNNNNNNNNNNNNNNNNNNNNNNNNNNNNNNNNNNNNNNNNNNNNNNNNNNNNNNNNNNNAUGGUCUUCUAGGCUUGGUACCUAGUUUUCCAUUCUUUUUAUCCGUUCUAAUUCCACUUUUGCUUUAGUAAAAUUUUCUUAUAGCUAAGAAAGAAAAAAAAAACUAUUAACAAGUAAUUAUAUAUAUAUAUCAGGUUUUCAAUUGCUUUCAAGACUCAAUAACUUGGAAACUCUCGAUUUAAGUCGGAAUUCUUUUAAGAAUAGCAUUUUGUUCCAUAUGAGAAAUCUUUCAUCCUUGAAGACUUUAAGAUUGAGCGGUAAUCAGUUGAAAGGAAGGCUGGAUCAUAUUCAAGGUAGACUAAUUUUACCUGUUUCUUUUUAACUUUAAAAAUCAAUGUAUGCUCAAGUUUGAUUUUAUCAUACGAUGAAUGUAUAUAACUAAUCAAUAUUUGGGAUUGAAUUUCAGGAUUGAAUAAUUUGACAAAUUUGAAGUACUUGGAUUUAAGUUGGAACGACAUUGAAAGCAUCUCAAACAAAGGUAUAAGUAUUUGUGCAAAACUUUCUUGACCGACUCUUAUUCCAAAAGGCAAUGACAGACUUCAAAUGUAUUUUCUUUAGUGAAUUUUUAUUGCAAAAAUGGAGUAUUAUUAUUUAUUUAUGUUUUGUAGUAACUAAUUAUAUAAUAUAUAAAUCAGGUUUUCAACGGCUCAUUAAAUUGGAAAUUAUUGAUAUAAGUUGGAAUUAUUUGAAGAAUAGCAUUCUUUAAAAUAAAUUCAUGUUGAAGGAAAAGUUGUUGCAAUAAGUCAUUUGAUUUUAUCAUAUCAUGAAUAUAUAUAAGUAAUCAAUAUUUGGGAUUGAAUUUCAAAAUUGAGUAAUUUAAGUAGGAAGGUAUCUCAAACAAAGUAUUUAUAUAUUGAAUCAAUUCAUGGGAAAGCUUGUAAAUUGGCUCUUCCUUCUCAAACAAUCAUUUUUCCUAACUUUUUAUAUCUUGAAUGAUAUUAACUAUACUCAUUAUUUUCUUCCAAUGAUAGAUGGAACACAAUGGAGGCUAACAAACUUAGAGGAACUUGAUUUGAGUGGUAAUCUCUUUCGGAACAACACAAUUUCCUUUCCUCAAGGGCUUUCAAGCCUAAAGUCUUUGACUUUGUACAACAACCAUUUGCAAGGCUCAUUAGAUACUAUAGGUACCAAAGCUAUAACUUUGUUUUUCUUGAUAAUUCUUUCUAGAACCUUUUAAAAUUAAUUGUUUCAAAUUUGAACAUUCACAUUUCACUUUUGAGGAUUUUCAUCUUCACUUCCAGUUUUAGAUUUACUUUUUUUUUCAUUUUUAUUUCAUUAAAAUAUUAAGUAGAAAUUAAAAUUAUUAACAUAAUGAUUUUUUAAAUUGUACGUGGAUAUGUAUAGGAUUGAGCAAUUUAACAAAUUUGAAGAAACUCGAUUUAAGUGGGAAUCAAAUUGAAAGCUUUCAAACCUUUAAAGGUAUGCAUUUAUAUUUAACUAAUUACCUAAAUUCUUACAUAUAAUUAAAUUUUAUGCCAAUUCAUUUCAGUGAUGAAAUUAUAUAAAUCUUUUGUAGAUGGUGGUAGAAAAUUGGAGUUGACCCACUUGGAAGAGCUUUAUUUAGAUGGAAAUCACUUCAAUACUAGUGUAUUUGCAUCCCUUAACAAGCUUUCAAAUUUGAAAUCUUUGAGCAUAAGUGAGAAUCAAUUGAAAGGAUCAAUAGAUAUGAAAGGUAAAAAUAUUAGUUUUUUAACAAGAAUAUAAUAAUGUUUGAAGAGAAUAUAAUGAAGUUGAUUUGUUGUUUUUGUUUUCCUAGAUUUGGAAGCAUUUAUCAAAUUAAGGGAACUAGAUAUGAGCUAUAAUGAAUUGAGAGAUUUUGUGAUCCACCAAGGUAUCAUUUAAUUAAUUUUCCUUUUUUUUUAAUUUAGAAAUUUAGUUUUGAUCUAUGAUAUUAUAAUAACAGUUAUUGUCAUAAAUAUUAAUAAAGUUAUAUCAUAUCAUACUUGAAAGUAAAAUAUGGGUUUGGUGAAACAUUUUCUAAACCCUCCAUUAUAAUGUGUUUCGACUUUGGUUUGAAACUAAAAUUCUUUAAAUUUUUCAUAAUUUUUAAAUAUUAAUGUUUAUAAUUAUUUUGUUUGUAUAACUAUGUUUUUAAAAUAAUUUAUUGAAUUUUUAUGAGAUAAAAAAUAAUUAUAACGAUAAAAAAUGAUAUUAUAAGUAAAAAUACAUAUAUUUAUGGGAAAAUAUGUAAUAUAACUAUAUUUUAAUUUCAUAUAUUUUUAAUAGUAUAAAACAUAAAAAUACAUAUUAGAGUUAAAUAAAUGGCAUUUUUUGGCCAAAAAUAAAUAAAUGUCAAUUUUGAAUAAUAUAAAAAAAAACUUCAAUUUUAUGAAAUUUAAACAUACAUUUUGAGGUGUUUAAACUUUUUUUUUUAACUUUUUAUAAAUUUCAAAAUGCACAUGUUGUUAAUUUUUUGGUUUUAAAAAAUGUGAUAGGUCUAUGUACUCUUUACAAAUUUGUAAUUUAAUUCUUGUAUUUUUAUUUUCGGGAAUUUGAUCCCUCUAUUUUUUAAAUUUUAAAAUCCAAGUUCAAUUGUUAACAUUGUUAUUUUUUUAAAAAAUAAUUUAUUGGUGUUGACAUUUUAAAAUAAAAGAACUUGGUAGCGAUGUAACUAAAAGAUGAUGUAAUGAACAUGGAUUUAAUAAAAUAAUUUCAACCGUAUAAAUAGUUAGACUUGAAUUUUGAAAAAAAAAAUUUGUAAAGAGAAAAAUAUGCACAUUAGAUUUAAAUAAAAAUAAUAUUUUUUUUAGUUUAAAAUUUUCUAUUUUAUAAUAGAACCAUUGAUUUAAAUAAAUGAGAUUUUGAAGAAUUUCCAAAAAAAAAAAACUAUGUAGGUGAAAUUUAAAUAGAGAAUUUGAUAAGCUGAAAUUCUCUUUUGGAAUUCAUAAAUUUUAAAAUUCAGAAGCAUGUAUUUUGACAAUUUUGAUUUAAUAUGGUGAAUUUAAUCAAAAAAUUAUUUAUUAGAUUGUAAAAUAUUUCUUAACAUUUAUAAUUGAGUACAAAGUAAAUUAAGUUUAAGGGAAAAUAUUGGGUACUAUUAAUGAAAUUCUUUUCUUUUAUCAAUUUUUUUUUAAAAAAAUCGGGGUGGUACUAUUAAUGAAAUUCUAAACUUCAUAAGUAGGAUUGAGAUAAUAACAAAUUUCUUAUAUGGUAUAGUAAAAUAUUAAAAAAUAAAUAUUUAAAAGAAAUAGGUUAGUGGCCAUUUUUUAACUUCACUUGUAGAGUUAAAAAACUCCAUUACCAGUACCAAAUACUAACAUUAAGGUUAAAUGCUAAUUGAUUUCAAACAUAUUUGAGUUUUUUAAAAGAAUAUUCUCAUAUAUUUAAAAGAAAACAACACAAAGUUAGAAGAUCUCAUCUUGAAGGGUAAUUCAUUUACCGGUCCUCUCACAUUACCGUCAGCUCCUAACUCUAAAGUGUCUUUAAUUGACAUAUCCCAAAACAAAUUGCAAGGUCAGAUUCCAACCAACGUGUGUUCACAUUUUCCACAUUUGAGCCACUUAUUCUUAUCCAAGAAUGCCUUCGAAGGUGAUAUCCCUCCUUGUUUGAGUGGCAUGAAGGAUUUAUCGAUUUUAGAUUUAUCAGACAAUCAAUUGUCUGGAAGAGUACCUGAAGAGUUAAUCACAAAAAACUCGUUGACCAUUUUGAGACUAUCAAACAACAACCUCAGUGGACAUGUGCUUCCUGUGAUUCUCAAUGCAAAUGGGCUGUCAAAAUUAUAUUUGGAUGGAAAUAAUUUUUCUGGGGAGAUGGCAAAUGUUGAUGUCUCUAUUUCUGAGUUUCCAACUUCACUAAGGGAAAUUAAUCUCGGAAAUAACAAGUUUUAUGGAAACCUCCCAAGAUGGAUGGGGAAUGUGUCAUUUUUGGAGAGAUUAGCUUUGUCCCAAAAUGGUUUCGAGGGUUCUAUUCCAAUGGAAUUUUGCAACUUGAAUCGCUUGGAAUUUUUGGAUCUCUCUGAAAACAAUUUAUUUGGCUCUAUACCGUCCUGCUUUAAUACCCUAAACAUAAAGCAUGUCCACCUGCACGGGAGUAGACUAAGUGGCCCACUACCAAUCGCUUUUUAUAAUAUCUCUUCACUGGUUACGUUAGAUCUUAGAGGAAACAAUUUGACUGGUAGUAUUCCAAAAUGGAUUGGCACACUUUCUUCAUUGAGUGUUCUUCUCUUGAAAGAUAAUCAUUUUCAUGGUGAAGUUCCAGUUCAGUUAUGCAAGUUGGAUUCUUUAAACAUCAUAGAUCUUUCUCAAAAUAUGUUUUCUGGUAUUAUACCUUCUUGUUUGGGAAAUUUAACCCUUUCAACGGAAACAAAUAAGAUUCUAACUGAUUCGAAAAUUAGUCCAAGGUUAACAGGGGACGGAUUAGUGAAAACAUUGGGAGCUCUCGGAAAUUAUUACUAUCCUGAAGGCUACUUAGAAGAAGUAAUAGAGUUCACAACAAAGAGUGGGUUCUUAUCGUAUGAGGGAAACAUCCUUACAUAUAUGACCGGGAUUGAUUUAUCUUGCAACAACUUAACUGGUCAUAUCCCACCAGAAUUAGGGAACUUAAGUGAAAUCUAUUCUUUAAACUUGUCGCAUAAUAAGUUGACAGGAGUUAUACCCUCAUCAUUCGCAAAACUUCAUCAAAUUGAGAGUUUGGACCUUUCUUACAACAAUUUGAGUGGUGAAAUCCCCAAUCAGUUGGUAGAGUUGAACUCUUUGGAGGUUUUCAACGUGGCAUACAACAACUUGUCAGGUAGUAUUCCCGAACCAAAAGCUCAAUUUGGGACCUUUAUUGAAAACAGUUAUGAGGGAAAUCUUUUUCUUUGUGGAGCUAUAUUGCAUAAAAGUUGUUCCAAAACCGAUUCACCAUCAACGAUAUCAACUCUAUCAGAAUAUAAAGGAGAAGAUGGUUUGAUAGGUACUUAUGAUUUUUGUGUGAGCUUUUUGGUUUCUUAUGUAGUUGUGUUGUUGACCAUUUUUGUUGUCCUCUACAUAAAUCAAUACUGGCGAAGAGUUUGGUUUUCUCUCAUUGGGAAAUGCAUCACCACCUGUCGCUACUCAAAUGUGGGCAAUUUUCUUACUUAUCACAUUUUCAAGCAAUGAGUUUAGCUACUCAAAUUGUAAUUUGAUUUUCACACCUAAAUGUUUAAUUAUGCUAAGUUGAGCGAUAAUGAAUAUUUUGUUGAUUUUUGCAUUUUAAAUAAAAGCUCUUUGAUCUUAUGAUUUUAUCAUUUUCAACCAUCUAUUUCUUUUUUCUUCUAUGAAAUUUAAUGUAAAAUCAUAAUCCAUUAUUAUGUAUAUGCAAUAUCUCUUUGAAUUAAAUUAAAUUGAAUACCAAGCGUUCACUAGUGCAUACUGAAAAGGAAAUCUAAUGUAAAAUUAAACCAAACAUACUAGAAAAAUGAAUCUGAAACUGAAAUAUUUUAAAACCUCAAAAACAAUGCAAUUCUUUAUUCCUCUUUUCCUUUCAAGUUAUUUUGUAUCAUGUUAUAUUUUACAUAAUCAUUCAUAUCAUCAAAUUUUAAAAAAUAUUUAAUAUUUUGAUAUCAUGUUCAUAUUAUGCUUUAAUUCACAAUGUAUUUUAUACAAUAUGUUAUAACAAUUCAAUUUAAAAAACAAGCAAUGAUCUUAUUUUUGCAUACCGUAUUAUACAUUUACAUGUUAAUAAUUCAUUGUACGUAAAUUUUGACAUGUUUGCAUAUUUGAGUCAUUAUAAUUUUAUUAUUUGUAAUAUGACAUGUUUUAAUUACCCUUAAUAUUGUGUCAUGAUAAUUAUAACUCGAUUGGCACCAAAUAAUUUUUCUAAUAAAAAAUAGUAUUUUAUUCUAUUUACCAAAUCUUUAUCAACUUUAUAUUCUCACCAACAAAACAUACAUUCAAAGUUCAAAUAAGUUCCACACCCAUUUCUUUACUGCAAUACUCAAGAAUAUGCUCAUCAUCAGAAAUCUGAAAUAUUCCACUCUAAUUAACAUUACGAUUCUGUAAAAACCAAAAAUGUGUGAUCCUUUUUUAAAGCUCUUUUUUUUUUCCUUUAAUGAAAUGGGAUUGGUAAAAAAUCCGCACAUGUGUCGUGUGUGAAGAAGGUGAGGUUGUCUAUUCAUUCUCUAAUAAGUAGCUAAUUAUAGUUGAUCCUACAAAAUCAAAAUUAAUUCAGGUAUCUUUAUAUUCUGAAGACUGGACAGACCUUAGAAGCUUCUUCAAAUUUGCAAGAACAUGUCGUGGUCCUAAACUCUUUACACCGAUGAAAUUCAAAAGUUGCUCUAUAUUCUGCAAUCACAGUAAAGAUUAUGCAGUCAUUUCAGAACGAAUAACAUAACAAGCAAAAGGCGAUCAAAAUACCGUGAUCUCGAUAAUGUUCUUUGCCGAAAAGGAACAUUAACUUAACCUUAAAACAUCAGUGAAGGCUCAUCAGAUUUGCUUAGCAACCUCACAUACACAUGUAAAAAGCUUUGCUUUUGGAUGUAAGGUGUGACUAUCAUUACAGUCUUUUCUAAUUAGCUGAUAACCCUGUAUCUAACAUUUAUCAGGGCUAAGCAAAUUAACAUACAUGAUGUAAAGGAAUUUGACUAUAAGAUCCAACAGAAAACUUAAUAAACGAUAAUCAACAUAGAAAGAAGGCAAUGCAAACUUAUUACAAUGAUGCAAGCGGAUCAAAAGAAAGCACUUCUAUAGGGAAUUUGCAUUUAAGGCAUCGUAAACAGAAAAAAAAAUGAUAAAACUUUUUGGAAAGUAUUUUCAAAGAGGAGACAAAAACAGGGUAGAAACAAUGUUUGGUUCUUCCUUUUUCUAUUUACAAUUUUAGGGUGCAUUCUCUACUGUUGUGAAAAAGCCUUUUUGGGUUAAAAGUGUUUUUACACUGCAGAAGUGUUUUUCCACUGCAGAAGUGAUGAACAACACAUAGCUGUUGUAGUCAAAAACUGUUUUUGGCUUUUGCAUUCAAAAGAGAAAAUUAUCAAAAUACUAUUAUUUUCAUUAACUAUUUAAAAGGUAUAUAAAAAUUAGAUUAAUUUAUAUUUUAUAUAUUAUUAUAUUAAAUUGUUUAAAUCUUAUUUAUUAUUAUAUUUAAUUUUUUCAAAAUAUUUUAUAUAUUAUCAAUUUUACAACUAAUUAACAAAAUAUUUUACUAGGGAAUACGUAUAUGUGAAUAUCUAUAAAUGGCAUGCCUGGAUAUGCAUAUCCUUUGAUAUCAAAUAUUUUGAAAAAAAUAUUAUCAAUUCCACUGAUAUAUUAUCAAUUCCACUGAUAUAAAGCUCUUUAUAUUACCAAUAUAAAUAUAAAUAUUUUGAAUAUAAAUAUCCAUUGAUAUAUUAUCAAUUCCACUGAUAUAAAGCUCUUUAUAUUAUAAAUAUUUUAUAUUUUUUUUCAAAAAUAUGGAUAUGCAUAUCCUUUGAUAUCAAAUAUAAAGGUAAUAUUUAUAGGAAUUGUUUUUUAAUUAGAUAUUUUUAUAUAUCAGUGGAAUUGUCAAAAUAUUUUCAUUAACUAUUUAAAAGGUAUAUAAAAAGAGCUUUAUAUUGCCUCAAGCGCAAGGCACAAAAUGAAGCGCUAGCCUGUGUGCAGUAAAGCGCAAUACGUAUAUGUGAGAGUUUUUGCAAGUCUGUGUGUCUAUAACAUAAAAGUUUAAGAUAUAUAGUAAACUCUAAAGUGUGGUCUGGUUUAUCCACAAAACUUGAAAUUUUUUUAUAGGUGAAUGCUCAAAUAUUGAGAAUUAUAGAGUUUGAUAUUAUCCCUUCCUUAUUAGUAAAGGUAUAUCAAAUGAAAACAGUGAAAAAUAAAAUAAAUUAUUGAGAAAUUCAACAAGGCAGGUUUUUCUAAUGCCCAUUGCCUUACAAAAAAAGUGUGCCUAGGUGCACCAGGCAUGCGCUUGAUCAAAUGGACCUCACCUGGAAGGGUCCAAGGCGUUUUGUUGUAUAAAACUAAGGCGUAGGCAUGCCUAGGCGCAUGCCUUGACGACACUGACCAUAUGUUGGCUUUAUUGCAAAGCAUUAGCAAUUCAAAACUACUAGCACAUUACCUAAUCUACUACUGCUAGAAUAGGACUCAAGUUCUUGCUCCUGUGCAGGUCCAACCAAGAUCUUUACAGGAUACAGUAAUGAAACUUGUGAUAUCAUAUAUUGUUGCCUUGCUCGAAGCUUCCUUUGCACAUUUUUAAGUUUAACACAACCCCUUUCUUCAGUGAGUAAUCUAUUUGCUUCCUGUGAUAAAAACAACAUAUAAUCAAUCAUGCCAUGCAUGCAAGACUACCAACCAUCUUAAAAAAGAGACAAAGAAGUAGGACAGCAAGAAGGGGAUAACCCUUGACUAUGCAAAGGAAUUCAUAGAAUGAGAAUCAUCUCAUCUAAGCCCCUCAACCACCUUCACAGGGGGUGGAGCUGCAAAAAGAGAUGUCUUAUUGAUCCAAGAGGAGAAUAAAUAACAUCUAAAGCUGAAUAAGAAGAAACCUUCAAAUGUAUCAUAAAUUCAGCAUUCAUGAUAAUAUCAAAAUGAAAUUCCAAAGCUAAUUUAAGCUAGAAUAAAAAUGCUUCACCUGUAAUCGCUUCCUUGCUACAGAAAGAGAGGUACCAGCAACCAACAAUGAUCUUACUUCAGUACUAAGCAUUUCCUCCUGUUUUUUAGCAUCCUCUGUUGCAACUUUGCAACGAGUUGACAUUUUGCCAUAACUACUUUCCUUGCCUCUAGUCUCUCACGCAUUUCCUCAAGCUCGUUCAGUUUAUUCAAAGACUCAUUUUUUACCUGCACAGCAUGUUCCCGCCCAUUAAUCAGUGGGCCAAUUGAUUAGGUCACAGAAGACAAAACUAAAUUACCACUCACCAGGUCCCCUUGAAGUGUCAUAUGGCUUUAACAAUUCAACGUGCAAUAUCUAGUAAAAGUAAAAUAAACAUAGAAGAAAGCAAAUGCAAUUCUUAAACGCCUUUAAAUGGACAACAUGAAACAGUUUAAGAGCCCUAUAAAACAGUAAAGUGGAAAAAAAAUCUGAAAAGGAAAAAGAAAUGAAUUGAAACAAUAAAUCCAUCAGGUACAAACAGCAACAAAACUUGAAAUAAGCUUUGGCUUUAGCCCAUUAAAGCCCGGGCAUCCAGCCAAAUAAACAGUGACUGCCAUGUCAACUUUUUGAGACGGUAGAAAAGAGAUCGAAAAUCUCAAUUUCCAAAAAUAAGGACAUAAGAAGUAAAAAAAUGCACUUAUUCUUACAGUAGAAGAGCAAAAUGAAACUAAAUGAAGCAUAAGGGAACUGAUGCGAAUUGACAUUGUCAUUUUUGGGACUAAAAAGAAUACGCAGAUUGAAUAUUUAAGAUUUGGAAGGGAAAAGUUCCAUUCACCAACACAAUUAUCGUCGCCCUUCAUCCUAGUAAAGCUUAAUUGACAAUUUUUCUGUCUCGUGUUCUUGCUAAAGCAUUUGAGCAACCCAACAGAAAUCAUUAUAUUUCAAACUGAAAUGAUUGGCUUUAUCAAUUUCACAACCUAUACCGCCCAACCUAGUAAGUAAUUUAGGUGCAGACACCAGAAAUCUAUUUCCUUUGCACUCUACAACUAAAUAGCCUACCACUUAUCAAUCAAACACAGCUGAAAACUUCAGUGAGGAAACAUUAUGAAAACUGAAAAAACUAUAACUUCAACUUGAUUCAUAGCUCGGCAAGUUCAGGGAAUUGGGACUUCUACCACCAUGAUCCAGUUCGAUGUGAAACAGUGAUCUAUAUCACGCAUAUCGGUUCCCGCAACAAGAGGUAAAACAGCAAAUUAGGUAAACGAUGAUCCUACUAUAUUUCAGAAUAGCAACAUUGAGCAUGAAAGCUAAAGUUAUAGCAUAUUAUGGGUCCUUGCUCUCUACAACUACAUAUAAAAUUACUAAACAAUAUUACUACAUUAAGGAUCCAGAAAAACUUUGUUUCAAUUGUUGAUCACUUGAUCCAACUAUUUUAGAAAGUUUAUUCUUCUUUUUCCUUUCCCUUAUUUUCUAAAUCAGGAAAAACAGUAGCACAUAAACUGGAUUACUACUCCAAGUUUCUAAAAUUUCAGCAAUAUCCCUUUAACCUUUUCACUCAAGUCACUACCCCCCCAAUUAACAAAUAUAUUCCCAGUUUCCCUUUCACUUCAAACCCCCUUUUUUUUUUCUCUACCCAAAUUCAGCUUAAGUUCAAAAACCCAAAAUUGGUUUGCUAAAAAUACAUAAUUUUCAAACACAAAGGUAACCUAAUUUUAAUCAGAAAAAAAAAGCAUUACCUGAAUUAGUGAAUGGAGUUUCUCUUGAAGACUUUGUUUUAAAACUAUCUUAUACUAUUUGCUUUAAAUCGAUUUUUAUUAGCUAUUUAAAACUCGUUUUCAUGUAUUAUUUAUUUUUUUAUCACUUAUUUAAAUUGUUUUACAUAUCUAUUUUUUAAACCCUAUUUUAUUAUAUUUUACUUAUUUUAACUUUUUUACAUAUUUCAUUAUAAAUAUUAUUAAUUAUCUAUAUUGAGUUUUUCAUUCCAUAUGUAUUACUUAUUUAGAUAAAUAUAUACUAUUUUGUGUAUUACUUAUUUUGAUUUUCUUCUUAUACAAUAUUACUUUAAAAUUCAUUUAGAUAUUAUUAUUUCACGUAGUAUUUAUUUUUAUCUUCAUUUUUUAUUUAUUUCAAACUCAUAUAUUGUUUAUUUUGAAAUUUUAUGCAUAUGAUUUAUUGUUUAUAUUGAUGAUUUUAAAUUUCCUUUCUUGCAUGUUUUUUUUAUUUAUUUUAAAACUUGUUAUACUUUAUUUGUGUUAAUUUGCUUAGUUUUUCUUUCAAAAUUAACUUAUAAUUCAUUAGCUUUUAAUGUUAGUAUUUGCACAAUAUGUGAUGUAAGAUUAUUGCUUUCCUGUAUUGCUUAUCUGUAUAUAUUGAUUAUUUGUCAUUCAUUAGUAUACAUUUUGGUUUACGAAUUGACUAAUUUACCAAAAAAAGCCAUUUUUUUAUAAAUUACCGAAAUAGGCCGGUUUUUUAAUUAUUUACCGGAAUGGGCCAUUUCCCCCGAAAUCGCGCCACGUCGAAGCGAUGUCAGGGGACGGGGCAGAAGGUCGCGUCCACGUCAGAGCGACCUACUGACGUGGAAGGAAAUCGCUCCCCUGAGGGCGCGAUUUCCUUCCACGUCAGCAGGUCGCGCUGACGUGGACGCGACCUCCUGUCACUUUGCGCGGUACCGGGAAUGCGAUUUUGACCCUGAUUUUUACGCCUAGGUUUUAUGGCUUUUAGGGUUUAGGGUGCAGGCUUUUUAGGAGUUAGGGGUCCGGGAAAAUUAUUUUUCGAGUUGACGUUUCUGGUUAAAUAGUGGGAAAUCGCUUAUACUAGGAUGCUAUUUAAGAAGAAAUUGUGAAAUAGUGGCCUCGUGGACGCGAUUUCGCUACAGUGGUCAUGUGAGAAAUAAUUUUUUUAGACGUUUUCUGAGGAAAUAGUAUAAAAUCGCUGAUACCAGGAUGCUAUAUGAGAAGAAAUUGUGAAAUCGCGCCCUCGUGGACGCGAUUUCGCUACAGUUGGUCAUGUAGGAAAUAAUUUUUUUUGACGUUUCUGAGUAAAUAGUGUCAAAUCGCGCCCUCGUGGACGCGAUUUCGCUACAGUAGCAAGUUUGGGCUGAGGUUAUAAAUUAGGCAGAGAAUUUUCUUAGAAUGCAUAACUCAGAGCAGAAACAUUUUAGGUUAGGGUUAGGGAAUUUAGAGUUUCAAAAUGAGUGAAUGUAUUAGUGCUGUUAUUUACUACGAUGGUGAGGUUUGCCACACCGAGAAUGGUGUUGUUUUUUUGUCGAAGAAUACGAUGCGACUGUCAUUUAGCCAAAACAUAGAUUUGACAGAACUCCGUAAAAGAAUUAGGCGUAAAAUCUUCGGAACCACGCCAAUGAAAGUUCAGUCAAUGACGUAUCGAUUUUGUUCUUCUGUUGAUUCGGUGACAUAUGACUCGUUCGACAUAAAAGGUGCUCGUAGCUUAGAGGCAAUGGUGCAGACUCAUCUUGCUAGCGGAGCAACUUAUAUUGAGUUAUAUGUACAAUUUACGUCACCAAAUGAUGUACUUUCGUCCGGUGUUCGAGAUGUAUACACGACCCCUGGCCGACACUCGGUUAGUGUGUUACAAAAUACGGAACAGCCCAUGUUCGGUAGCGGUGUCGAAUGCACAUCCCCCCAAGACACUCUGUCGGUGGAUGGGACAUGUACGUCGGUGGCUCGACGGUUGACGCUGGAAAUACGAGCUGGUACGUUCAUUCUCUUAUUUUAUUUUAUUUCAUAUUUUGGGAAAUUUAGAACGAUAAGCGAAAAUGAAUAUAUUCAGAUUAGCAGGGGACAUGACCCAUUUGUUUAGUGUUCUUGUUUUGCUUCUUAAGAUCCACACAAUCAAGUCUUGUGCUGGUACGUUCAUUUUCCAAAUAUUUACUUUACUUUUUGUUUCUGGGCUUAUUUCAUUUUAUGUUGUACUUUUUUCCCAGUAAUUUACUGCUUAAUAUAAAAGAAUCGAAUAUUUAGGUUAAAUUGUGGGUGGGUUUUUGCUAGUUUAUUGAAUACUCAAAUUGGAGCCAUGUAAAAUGUGGAAACUUUAGCUUGAUAGAAAAUGUGACCCCCUUUUUUUUUAAUGUAUGGAAUAAAAAUUUUUGUAUUUUGUGAAUUUUUUUUUAGUAAUUUGAAUUUGUAUGUAUGUUCAUUGGAAGUUUAGAAGCAAGGAGUUCUGAUCAUUAGGACUUUAUGUGAUUCAUUCAUUUUGAGUUAUAGUGUAGUUAGUUGUUGGAUUUAGUGUCACUGUUGGCAUCUUAUUUUAGCUGAUUUCCUUUCUAUUUGUACCGAUAAACCUCUAGAGGUUUUGAAAUUAGCAACUGAUUUUUUUUAUGUGUGAGAGUUUUUAUGGAAAUCAAUAAGCUAAUUACAUUUUGCAGGAUCAUACAGUCGGGUUAGUGGUUUUUAUGUCAUGCUGGCCUAUGGUUUUGAGAUGAACAUCAUGAAAUCUGUAUAAGAUGAGGGUAUUAAACUAUAAACAUAGCCGAGGUAGCGAUUUAUUUCGUAUCAUGCUAUUGGAAGUUUUUUUGGGGCGGCAAUGUCAACUAAAUUUAUAUUCUUUUGAUCAAGUCGAUUAUUUCCAGUUGCACAACUAGCUUGUUGGAAAUAUUUUCUUUCUUUGCUCCUGUCCUUUUCACUUUCAUAUUUUAUGGGUGGUGUGAUGAUGGGAAGAUUCAUGGGUGGCUAAAGCCAUCUUACUCACUAGAAGUGAGGCUGUUAUUUUUAGAAGUUAGAGAUGCUAUAUCAAUUGAGGAUGCCGUGAGCAAAAGCUUGCUAAUAAUAAGUGACUGUUCAUAUGCGUGGGUUCUAUCACAUGUUGAUGGAGUAUUUGGUGCUCUUUCUUCACUAAUUUCAUAUGUAUAGAUAUAAUUGUAUAACAUCUCGACGUUGAUUACUGUUACGAGGGGAAAAAAACACAGCAUGUAAUGAAACUCAAAAAGUAGGAAUCCUAGAUCCUUGUAUUCAUUCAUAGGCAUUUUACAACAUUUGAUUUAACUUGAGCAAGAUUCCGUUUUGGGCCUGGUCUUUUCCUGUUCGUUCCCUUGUUUAUAUAUGAUGAAGUUGGUUCAGCAUGCAGGAAACUCGACAGCAUGCAGGCCAUGAAGACCAAGUCGUGCAGGAGCUGCUGGAACGAGCUGAACUUUUCCUAUUUUGUUCAUCUAGUAAUCUUAAGUUAAUGUAAUGUACUUUAGUUCAUUUAGAACUAUGUUAGGUUUAUGAUUGAUGUAAUUUUGAUGACAAUUGAGCUGUUAAGUCAGCUUUGUUUAAGUGUGUAAGCUUAGUUUUUCAAGUUUCAAUGUAUUAGUGGUAGUAGGUGAUGAUUAGGUAUCAUUAUGCAGAUUUUGACAAGCAAAUUGCUUGGUUUAUGUAUUGGCAUUAUGCCAUUGUUCAACAUAUGAAUGAAAUCAACUUUGUUCAUCAAUAUUCUCUCAAAUUUCCUCAGCUUAUUUUCUUUUUUCUUCAACUCGAAAUUGUUUGUUUGCUCAGCAAGAUUCGAGGCUUGCUCGACAAGAAACUUGCUGAGUCUGUUUGAUUCUGCUGUUGCACCAACAAUUGGUAUCAGAGCUUAUUUCUUAAGGGACCUGUUAUACAAAUCCAUGGCUUCAUCAAGUUUUUCACCAGCUGCACCUCAAGUCUUCAAUGGAGAAGGCUAUCACAUAUGGGUGGUCAAAAUGAAGACCUACCUGCAGGCAUUUGAUCUGUGGGAGGUGGUCAACUCUGAUGUUGAACCAGAGCCACUUAGAGCUAAUCCAACAGUGGCUCAGAUCAGGCAGCAUGCUGAUGAAAGGACCAAGAGGCACAAUGCUAUGUCUUGCAUCCAAAACUCAGUGUCUGAUGUGAUUUUCACAAGGAUUAUGGCCUGUGAAUCACCAAAACAGGCCUGGGACAAGUUGCAGGAAGAGUUUCAAGGGACUGAGAGGACAAGGCAACAACAGUUGUUAAACUUGAGGAGAGAUUUCGAGAAUUUGAAGAUGAAGGAAGAAGAAACUGUCAAGCAAUAUUCUGACAGGAUUAUGGCUGUGGUUAACAGCAUCAGGCUCCUUGGAGAGCAGUUCAAUGAAGCUAGGAUAGUGGAGAAGGUUAUAGCAACUCUGCCUGAGAGGUAUGAGGCAAAAAUCUCAUCUCUCGAGGACUCAAGGGACCUGUCCACCAUCUCCCUGACAGAGUUGAUCAAUGCUCUAUAUGCUCAAGAGCAGAGGAGAGCAAGCAGACUGGAGGAGCACCAAGAAGGUGCCUUUCAGGCAAGAACAAAUACUUCCUACAAAGGCAAGAAGGCUUGGAGAGACAAGCCAAAGGAUGAUGCUGCAAGGAGAGAAGGUCAAACUUGCAAGCACUGCAGAAAGGCUGGUCAUUCAGAAGAAAAAUGCUGGUUUAAUCCAGAUGCUGUGUGUCAGCAUUGUAAGAAAAAGGGCCAUGUUGAGAGAGUUUGUAAGAGCAAUGCCAAAACAAGGCGCAAUCAGGCUCAACAGAUGAAAGCUGAGGCUCGAGUAGCUAAGGAGGACAGUGACCAAGAGGAGCAAGUCUUUACUGUGUCAUGCUCAGCUGCUCAGGAAAGGUCCUCAUCUGGUUGGCUCCUAGACAGUGGAUGCACCAACCACAUGACACCUGAUGCUGCAAUCUUCAAGUCUUUAGACAGAAGCUGCAGAACUAAAGUCAAGAUAGGAAAUGGUCAUUUUAUUCAAGCUGAAGGCAAGGGUGAUGUUCUGAUAUGCACUCUUACAGGUACCAAAGUGAUUUCAAAUGUGCUGUUGGUGCCUGAAAUUGACAGAAACCUGCUCAGCAUAGCUCAGUUGCUGGAAAAAGGUUACUUAGUUGUGUUUAAAGACCACCAAUGCCAAAUCAGUGAUCCAAGUGGAUCCAAACUGAUGGCAGUCCCUAUGGCUGAUAAGAGCUUUGUGGUUGACUGGACAAAAAAGUCAGACAUUGCCUACACAGCCACUUCAGAUGAAUCCAAGCUGUGGCAUCAAAGACUGGGACAUGCCAACUUCAGAUCGAUGGCCCGAAUGAUCAGAGAAGACCUGGCUGAAAACUUCAUCAACUCAGUAGACCAUGAUGAUGUAUGUGAAGUAUGUCAGCUAGGAAAGCAGGCCAGACUCCCAUUUCCCUCGAAUCAAGCCUAGAGAGCCUCUGAAAAACUCCAACUGGUGCAUACUGAUGUGUGUGGACCUAUGAAGACUGAGUCAUUAAGUGGAAACAGGUAUUUCAUACUGUUCAUUGAUGAUUUCUCGAGAUAUUGCUGGAUUUACUUCUUAAAACAGAAAUCAGAGGUGGCCACUGUGUUUUGGAAGUUCAAAACUGCUGCUGAGACUGAAACAGGCUGCAAGGUGAAGACCAUAAGGUCUGAUAAUGGGACUGAGUACACCUCAGCUCAGUUCCAAGCCUUCUGUGAUAAGGCAGGCAUCAAACAUCAACUUGCCAACACAUAUACACCUCAGCAGAAUGGGGUAAGUGAAAGGAAGAAUAGGAGUUUGAUGGAUAUGGCCAGGUGCUUGAUGAUUCAGAAGAAUCUGCCUAAAGCACUAUGGGCAGAAGCAGUUAACACUGCAACAUACAUUCAAAAUAGACUUCCAACCAGGGCUUUGGAUCAAAAGACCCCAUUCGAGGCCUGGUUUAGCUUCAAGCCAUCACUGGCUCAUCUGAAGGUCUUUGGAUGCAUCUGUUAUGCACAUGUACCUGCUGUUAAAAGGGACAAAUUGUCUGAAAGGGCUCGACCUGGUGUUUUGGUGGGCUAUAGCACUGUUAAGAAGGGCUAUAGGAUUUUAGAUCCUUCAACAAACAAAGUGUCAGUAAGCAGGGAUGUGGUAUUUGAUGAGAGGUCAUGUUGGAACUAGGAAAGACAUGAACCUGAAGAAGUUUUUGAAGAACUUGCAGCAGACCAAGCUGAGCCAGACCAAGAUGUCCCUGAAAUGGAUAUUGAUGAUGAACCAGUCAGAGGAACAAGGCCAUUGGCUGAAAUUUAUGAAAGGGCUCAUGUAGCCAUAGUUGAACCAAGCAACUUUGAAGAGGCUGAGGCUCAGCAAGGGUGGAAGCAGGCAAUGGCUGAGGAGAUCAGCAUGAUUGAGAAGAACCACACCUGGAAAUUGGUUGAAAGGCCAGUCAAAAGGAAAGUGAUUGGGGUGAAAUGGGUGUACAAAGCCAAGCAGAAUGCUGAUGGUACCUUGAACAAGCUGAAAGCAAGGCUAGUUGUCAAGGGGUUCAGUCAGAGGUAUGGCUUGGACUACCUGGAGACCUUUGCACCAGUGGCCAGGCUCGACACCAUCAGACUGCUGAUUGCCUUAGCAGCACAGCUUGAAUGGAAGAUCCAUCAACUUGAUGUGAAAUCAGCUUUUCUGAAUGGUUUCUUAGAUGAAGACAUCUAUGUUGAACAACCACAAAGGUUUGAAAUAGCUGGCAGAGAGCAUAUGGUCUACAAACUGAAAAAGGCCCUAUAUGGAUUAAAGCAGGCUCCAAGGGCCUGGUAUAGCAGAAUUGAUGGCUACUUGACUGAUCUAGGAUUCGAUCGAAGCAAGAGUGAGCCAACACUGUAUGUCAAGAAACAAGGGACACAAAUACAACUCAUUGUGUCCCUGUAUGUUGAUGAUCUUCUGGUGACAGGAGGAGAUCGAGUAGUGCUGGCUGAUUUUAAGACCAAGAUGCAGGAAGUGUUUGAAAUGUCUGAUCUUGGGGAGAUGUCAUACUUUCUUGGAAUGGAGGUGUCUCAAGUAUAGAAUGAGAUAUUUCUAAGCCAGAGAAGCUUUGCCACAAAGAUUCUGACCAAGUUCUCCAUGCAAAACAGCAAGGCAACUAAAACACCUAUUGCUGUUGGAGAAAAACUAUCGAGCCAAGGUGAUUUUAAGAAAGUUUGUGAAACAACCUACAGGAGUCUAGUUGGUUGCUUGCUAUACUUGACUGCCACUAGACCAGACAUUAUGUAUGCUGUAGGAUUGCUCUCAAGGUUCUUGCAUUGCUGCAAUGAGAAGCAUUUCCAAGCUGCAAAGAGAGUGCUGAGAUAUGUCAAAGGCACUUUAAACUAUGGUUUGAAGUACAGUAAAGAAGGAAAUCUGAAGCUGAUUGGCUACACUGAUAGUGACUGGGCUGGCUCGAUAGAUGACAUGAAAAGCACCUCAGGGUAUGCUUUUAACCUUGGUUCAGCCAUGUUUUGUUGGAGCUCAAAGAAGCAAAGUCUAGUAGCUCAAUCUACUGCUGAAGCAGAGUAUGUGGCAACAGCAAGUGCUAUCAACCAAGCCAUAUGGCUAAGAAAAAUAUUGGCUGACUUGAAUGUGCAUCAAGAGCAAGCUACUGAGAUCUUCUGUGACAACCAAUCUGCAGUAGCAAUUGCUAAAAAUCCAGUGUUCCAUGGAAGAACAAAACAUUUCAGCAUAAAGUUGCAUGUUGUUCGAGAAAUGGAGCAAGCUCAGGAAGUAAAGCUGGUCCACUGUAAUUCAGAAGAUCAACUUGCUGACAUUUUAACCAAAGCUCUUAGUGUCACAAGGUUUGAAUAUCUAAGAAAGAAGCUAGGUGUUUGCUCCAUGCAAACCAAGGAGGAGUGAUGAAGUUGGUUCAGCAUGCAGCAAACUCGACAGCAUGCAGGCCAUGAAGACCAAGUCGUGCAGGAGCUGCUGGAACGAGCUGAACUUUUCCUAUUUUGUUCAUCUAGUAAUCUUAAGUUAAUGUAAUGUACUUUAGUUCAUUUAGAACUAUGUUAGGUUUAUGAUUGAUGUAAUUUUGAUGACAAUUGAGCUGUUAAGUCAGCUUUGUUUAAGUGUGUAAGCUUAGUUUUUCAAGUUUCAAUGUAUUAGUGGUAGUAGGUGAUGAUUAGGUAUCAUUAUGCAGAUUUUGACAAGCAAAUUGCUUGGUUUAUGUAUUGGCAUUAUGCCAUUGUUCAACAUAUGAAUGAAAUCAACUUUGUUCAUCAAUAUUCUCUCAAAUUUCCUCAGCUUAUUUUCUUUUUUCUUCAACUCGAAAUUGUUUGUUUGCUCAGCAAGAUUCGAGGCUUGCUCGACAAGAAACUUGCUGAGUCUGUUUGAUUCUGCUGUUGCACCAACAAUAUACCUCCACUGUGCCAUUGUGUAUUUGUGUUCGAUUUUCAGUUCUGUCUCACAAUCCCUGUCAUGUCUUAUGAGUGAUUUUCUGGCUCUAAAUAUCUAUGAUAUAUUUGUGCAGGCAUUUCACUGAAGACUCAGGAACUCUAUGCUAUUGUCUUUGCUACUCGUUACUUGGACAUAUUCACUAAUCAUAUCUCGCCUUAUAACACAAUCAUGAAGCUAAUAUUCCUGGGCAGCUCUUUCUCAAUUGUAUGGUACAUGCGGUAUCACAAAAUAGUUCGUAGAUCUUAUGAUAAGGACCAGGAUACAUUUCGACAUUACAUCCUUAUACUCCCUUGCCUGAUUCUUGCCCUUCUUAUAAACGAGAAGUUCACCUUCAAAGAGGUAUCGACAUCCUUUUGUUUGUUGGAAUAUGAUAACAGUAUGUUCAUAUUAAUUACUGGUUAACUUAGAAGCUCCCUAAACUGUUUAUCUGUUUUAUAUUAAUUAUUCAUUAUUAUCCUUCUGGUUAUAUUUUUAUAUAUUGAUUAUUGUCUUAAAAAAAAUUGUUGAGCAGGUCAUGUGGACAUUUUCCUUGUAUUUGGAAGCUGUUGCGAUACUUCCUCAGCUUGUAUUGUUGCAAAGGACUAGAAAUAUUGACAACUUGACUGGACAAUAUGUGUUUCUCCUUGGGUAACCACUGUAUUCUUUAAAAAUCCUAAUCAGUUGCAAGUUUUCUAUUUUAUUACCUUGCAAUUUGCAUGAAGGACCCUUAUUUCCUGGCUCAGUUCCCUAAAAUGUUGCCUCCUUCCUGAGGAAACAAAAGAGAGAAAGUCUCUAAAUAGAGUUGCCAUCAUAUUGCCGCUUGGUUGCCACUGAUUUCUUUUUGAUGAAAAGUUGAUAUGAUUAUAUGUUGGACCAAAGUUAUCUAUUUUCAGAUGUGAUUAACUGCAGUUGAAUUUUGCGAGUAUGACUGUUCUUGUGUAACUUUUGUUAUGUGCUUUCAUGUCGUUUUUAGUCUUUUACACUGUGUUCUGUCUAUCUUUGUUUGCUAUUAUCCUAAGUUAGGAGACAAGGUGCCAUUAGGAGCAAUGUGACGUCAAAAUUCAUUUCCCUUUAGCCUUCAGUUCUACCUUUUCUUCCCUUUCUUUAUGUAGUUUUUGGGAGUUGGGGAUCACAGCGAUGAUAGUCGGUACAUGUGACUUGAAAGAUGCCUAAAAACUUCAAGAGCAUAGUGUUGUAUAAAUCUUUUGGAGAAAUUUUUUUGGUACAUUGAUGCCAACUUACAAUAACCCUUGCCACUACAACCGUGGCUUUGUUGGCUUAUGUAUGCACUCUCUUUGUCUUUAUAGGUCACCAAAUUCCUAAUGUCUAAUUCUUGGUUAUGGACUAAUAUAGUUGCUUGUUAUUGCAGUGCAUACAGAGCAUUGUACAUAGUGAACUGGAUUUAUCGGUACUUUACUGAAGACCACUUUGUCCACUGGAUAAGUAUGUACUCUUCUCUGUCUCCCUUCAUCUUUUACUCCAAGUCGGUAGCCAUGGGUGUAUGACGAGUGUGUCAAUAUAUCUACCCCAACACAUUUGUGAUAUACUAUGCUAUAUGUGUUAUUUCUAACACCUUGUUUACAUGAUUGCUGCCUUUCAGCUUGGAUUUGCGGUCUUGUCCAGACAUUGCUUUAUGCUGAUUUCUUCUACUAUUACUUCCAGAGGUAACCCCCUUUCUGACACUCUGGAAAGCACUUCAUACCUAUGUGAAUGAUUGCAACUUAUUUGAUUAUUAUGCCUGCAGCUUGAAGAACAACAUGAAGCUCCAAUUACCAGCUUGAGAUUUUAAUGGUGCAAGUUUUGUAGUAGCAUACAUAAACUUACAUCAUAUGGGUUCAAAUUUAUGAGUAUUUCAAUUAAUUUUAAUUUCACUAUGUUAUAUUGUAAUAUCAUGUAAAAAGUAUCAUAAAAGCAGGCAUAAGUUUUCCACCAAUUAGAACAUUUUGAAAAUUGAUGUCAAGCCCGAAAUGACCGUCACAAGUAAGCAUAUUAAACGUGUGAAGAGAAGACCUUAUUUUUCCACAUAACUAAAACUUUUUACACCAUAGGAACUUUCAUCGUCAUCAAGUUGGACAUGGAUGGAGCUCACGUAAAAAUAAUUUUUCAUAUAAAAACUAAAAACUAGAAAUUGACUUGUAAUAAUUCUCAAGGUUAAGGUUGACGUGGUCAAUAGUAAUGAACUUAUGUUUAAGGUUUGGGUUAUUUUUCUCAAUUAUAGAUUAGUAUUUUGUUCAUUGUAAACUUUGCUAACAAAAUUUAAUAUAUGACACAUAUCUGAUUUAAUUUAUUUUUAUUUUAUAAAACUUUCAUUAUUUGUUUUACUCAUUAAUGAAAUUUGGUGUGAAUACAUUAAAUAUUACCUUUUAUAUAUUUCACUCCCUCUUACUAUAUCUCAAUGGAGAAAUUGAAGGUCAUUCAAGGAAAUGGUAAUGUCCAUUUUCCACAAAACUAAAAUUUUCCACACGACAGAAACUUUCUUGGUCAAACAAGUUGGAUUUGGCUUCACCAAUAACUUAAUAAUCUGUACUAAAAUUUUCCACGCAAUAGAAUACGAACUCGUUCUCGUAAAUAUUUUAAAAAAUAAAAAAUUUAAUAUUAUGAGUUAACGAAUUAUCAAUUUAAUUAAAAAAAGUUGAAAGAUACAUUUUUUAAAAUUUUAUGAAAUUAUAUAUUAAUAUAAUUAUAAAAUUAUAGUUUUAACUUUAUAAAAUUUAUUAUUUAUCUUUGAUCUUGAAGAGAGACAAAGUAAAAUACCUAUUCUUGGAGCCAUAACGACAACUAGGAUUAUGAUUGCACAUUUUCUAAGUCUUCAUUUUUGUUAAUUAGGAAAGCUGAUGGGCAUCUCCACUAAGUUUCCACCCACAAGAAUAUACGUAUUAAUUUGUUUUUCUCAAUUUCCAUGAGGGGGGAUAUAAGCUUAAAGUUGACGUAGAAGUCAAUACUCAACAUUUGAAAGUUAAUGCAGUGAACUAUGUGCUUGUUGAUAUAUGAAAUGAUAUUUUCUUAACAAUUUCCUCCAACUAGUUCGUAGAUGGUGCUAUAUUACAUCACAAUGGGUAACCAAAUGUAUAUAAUUGAGAUUUUUAAGCAAAUAUUAUAUUUUAUCUUUAUCCAUGAAUAGUCUAAUAAUAAGGAUUAAUAUUUGGUACAUUGUCAGUGGAGUUUUUAAAUUCCAUAAGUAGGGUUAGAGGAUUGACACAUGCCAAUUUUUUAAUGUUGCUUGUGGGAUGCACUUGAAUUGUGGUUCAUAGAAGGAAAUUAUUAUAUAAAGGUUUAAUUCUACCAUAGUUCUUGUACUUUACUGAAGUUGUAGAUUUAAUUCCCAGACUUUAAUUUGAUAUUUUAGAUAUUUGUUAAAUUCAUAAAGUCCUACUAUUUCCAAAUUUGGUGUGGCAAACAUAUUAUCAUAGGUGUAAUAUCACUAAAAUUCAAAAGAAUGAGAAAUUUGUACAUAUUAUCAGAUGUCAAUAUCAAGUUGAGCAUUUCAAAAUCUAAAGUAAUAGUUCAAGUAUUUAUUUUUCCAUAAAACCAAAAUUUUCUACAUGAUGGCUUUUUUUUUGGCUAUUAGUUAAGAGGAAUUUUUUUAAUAACCCAAUUUAAUUAACUAAUUUAAAAAAUGGUUCAAGUAAAACUCAAGUCAUAUUAAAAAUAAUUAUUUAUAAAUUUUAUGUUUCAAAAACUAAUGAAUGUUCAAAGAAUAGUGAAUUAUUAAAGAGAAGUUAUAUGAUAAUGGAUUGUUUUAAAGUAGUGGUCUAGUAGAAAUAAAUAGUUUUUUAUAAAAAAAUAUUAUAUAAAUAAUUAAAUUUUAUAGUUACUCCUAUUUUUUUUAAAAAUAGUGAAUGUAAUAUUUUUUAAAAUGUUAAAUUAACUCAUGAUAUUAAUUAAAUCAAGAAAUUUUAUAAUAAUAGAGAUGAAAAAAACUAAAUUUUCAAAAUCAAAACCUAAAACGUGCAAGAAUAAAAGCAAUCUGAAGACUUAAAAUUUCCAUUAAUAAAACCAAAAUCAAAGAAGUAAAAUUUCCAUGAAUAAAACCAAAAAUGAAGACCUAAAUUUUCCAUUAAUAAAGCCAAAUCAAGACUAAGUUUGUAUAAGUGUAAGAAGGGUAUAAAGGAAACUCACAAGAAAGCCACAUGAAGAAUUUUAUAACUCCAACUACACGAUUUUAUGUCCACCUCUCACUUUUCAUAUUUUUUUUUGGCCAUUCAUUUUUCAAGAUUAACAUUAGCAUUCUUGUGGUCCGUUCAUCCUUUCCUAACCAAUUUCCACCAAGAGUUUUUGCAAUAAGGAAUUUACCUAAAUAAGAAACCUAGAUUGAUCCAAUUUUUGAGGAAUUAAUUAAUUAUAUAUUAUUUUUAUAUUAUAAUGAAUUAGUGGGAUGCAGUAUGUUCUGCUUGUAUAUAAAUAAGAAGCUUAGGCUUCUUUAGAUUAUAUACAUAUAGAAGUUAACAAAAAGUAACAUAUAGCUGAGAGAGAAGUGAAAAUAGAGAGAUGAUGAUGAUGGAGUGGAAAUGGUUAAGGUUUAUUAGGAUGGCAGUAAUGUUGUUGGUGUUAGAAGGAUGCAGAUGGUGUACUACUGAUGCUUGUUUGGAGCAUGAGAGAAUCGCUCUCUUGCAUCUCAAGCCUUUCUUCAAUUAUCAAAAUCAAUUGCAAAGUUGGGUUGAGGUGAAGGGUUCAGAUUGUUGUAAAUGGGAAAGAGUUGAGUGUAACACCACCACUAGGAGACUCAUACAACUCUCCCUUAAUUCUACAAGAUGGUUUGACAGUAUGGGAUACAAAACGGAUAAUAGGAAUCUCAAUGCCUGGUAUCUCAAUACCUCUAUGUUUCUUCCCUUUGAGGAAUUGAAGAGUCUUUAUUUGCGGGGGAAUGCCAUAAGUGGUAACCUUGAAAAUGAAGGUCGUGCCUCUAGUUUUUCCUUAAUUACAUCUUUUAUUAUCCCACUACUCUUACCAUCGUUAUUUUGCAAUUACUUAUAUUUUAUUUUAUUUUAUGGAAGAAAAGUCACUAACUUGUAUAUAUUUAAAAGAAUAUUUCUAUAGGCUUUGGAAAACUAUCAUCCACAUUGAGUAAUUUGGAGAUCCUUGACUUAAGUGAAAACUACUUGAAUGACAGCAUUUUGUUAUCUUUGAGUGAGCUUUCAUCUCUCUGGUAUUUAGAUCUAUCAGGCAACAAAUUUGAAGGAUCAAGCCAUCUAAGAGGUAAAUUAAGUUUGGUCUGGUAUUAGUUUUUAUUUGUAAAGUGGAGUUUGAGGAUGGUCUUCUAGUAAUUCCACUUUUGCUUUAGUAAAAUUUUCAUACAGCUAAGAAAGAAAAAACAAUUAACAAGUAAUUUUUAACUUUAAAAAUCAAUGUAUGUUCAUAUUCAAGGUAGACUGGUUUUAUAUGUUUCUUUUUUACUUUAAAACCAUUUUUUUUGUUUAAGGGACAGUUAAUGUUGCAAUAUGUCUUUGCUUUUAUCAUAUCAUGAAUAUAUAUAAUUGAUCAAUAUUUGGGAUUGAAUUUCAGGAUUGAAUAAUUUGACAAACUUGAAGUACUUGGAUUUAAGUUCGAACAGAAUUGAAAGCAUCUCAAACAAAGGUAUAAGUACAGUAUUUAUAUGUCAAUUCAUAUUAAAGGUAGACUGGUUUUAUAUGUUUCUUUUUUACUUUAAAACCAAUUUUUGUUUAAGGGACAGUUAAUGUUGCAAUAUGUCUUUGCUUUUAUCAUAUCAUGAAUAUAUAUAUAUAUAUAACUGAUCAAUAUUUGGGAUUGAAUUUCACGAUUGAAUAAUUUGUCAAACUUGAAAUACUUGGAUUUAAGUCGCAACAACGUUGAAAGCAUCUCAAACCAAGGUAUAAGUAUUUGUGCGUAGUAACUUUCUUGACUGACUAUUAUUCCAAAAGGCAAUGACAGACUUCAAAUGUAUUUUCUUUAGUGAAUUUUUAUUGCAAAAAUGGAGUAUUAUUAUUUAUUUAAGUUUUGUAGUAACUAAUUAUAUAAUAUAUAAAUGAGGUUUUCAAUGGCUCAUUAAAUUGGAAAUUAUUGAUAUAAGUUGGAAUUAUUUGAAGAAUAGCAUUCUUUAAAAUAAAUUCAUGUUGAAGGAAAAGUUGUUGCAAUAUGUUAUAUCAUGAAUAUAUAUAAGUAAUCAAUAUUUGGGAUUGAAUUUCAAAAUUGAGUAAUUUAAGUAGGAAGGUAUCUCAAACAAAGUAUUUAUAUAUUGAAUCAAUUCAUGGGAAAGCUUGUAAAUUGGCUCUUCCUUCUCAAACAAACAUUUUUCCUAACUAUUUAUAUAUUGAAUGAUGUUAACUAUACUAAUUACUUUCUUCCAAUGAUAGAUGGAACACAAUUGAGGCUAACAAAUUUAGAGGAACUUGAUUUGAGUGGUAAUCUCUUUCGGAACAACACAAUUUCCUUUCCUCAAGGGCUUUCAAGCCUAAAGUCUUUGACUUUGUUCAACAACCGUUUGCAAGGCUCAUUAGAUACUAAAGGUACUAAAGCUAUAACUUUGUUUUUCUUGAUAAUUCUUUCUAGAGCCUUUUAAAAUUAAUUGUUUCAAAUUUGAACAUUCACAUUUCACGUUUGAGGAUUUUUAUCUUCAAUUCAAGUUUUAGAUUUACUUUUUUUUUUCAUUUUUAUUUCAUUAAAAUAUUAAGUAGAAAUUAAAAUUAUUAACAUAAUGAUUUUUUGAAUUGGACGUGGAUAUGUAUAGGAUUGAGCAAUUUAACAAAUUUGAAGAAACUCGAUUUAAGAUGGAAUCAAAUUGAAAGCUUUCAAUCCUUUAAAGGUAUGCAUUUAUAUUUAACCAAUUACCUAAAUUCUUACAUAUAAUUAAAUUUUAUGCCAAUUCAUUUCAGUGAUGAAAUUAUAUAAAUCUUUUGUAGAUGGUGGUAGAAAAUUGGAGUUGACCCACUUGGAAGAGCUUAAUUUAGAUGGAAAUCACUUCAAUACUAGUGUAUUUGCAUCCCUUAACAAGCUUUCAAAUUUGAAAUCUUUGAGCAUAAGUGGGAACCAAUUGAAAGGAUCAAUAGAUAUGAAAGGUAAAUAUAUUAGUCUUUUUAACAAGAAUAUAAUAAUGUUUGAAGAGAAUAUAAUGAAGUUGAUUUGUUGUUUUUGUUUUCCUAGAUUUGGAAGCAUUUAUCAACUUAAGGGAACUAGAUAUGAGCGGCAAUGAAUUGAAAGAUUUGGUGAUCCACCAAGGUAUCAUUUAAUUAAACUUCCUUUUUUUUUUAAAUUUAGAAAUUUAGUUUUGAUGUCAAAUAUUAUAAUAACGGUUAUUGUCAUAAAUAUUAAUAAAGUAAUAUCAUAUCAUACUUGAAAGUAAAAUAUGGGUUUGGUGAAACAUUUUCUAAAUCAUCCAUUAUAAUGUGUUUGGACUUUGGUUUGAAACUAAAAUUCUUUAAAAUUUUCAUCAUUUUAAAAUAUUAAUGUUUAUAAUUAUUUUGUUUGUAUAAAUAUAUUUUUUAAAAUAAUUUAUUGAAUUUUUAUGAGAUAAAAAAUAAUUAUAACAAUAAAAAAUGAUAUUAUAAAUAAAUAAAAACAUAUAUUUAUGAGAAAAUAUGUAAUAUAACUAUAUUUUAAUUUCAUAUAUUUUUAAUAGUAUAAAACAUAAAAAUACAUAUUAGCGUUAAAUAAAUGGCAUUUUUUGGCAAAAAUAAAUAAAUGUCAAUUUUGAAUAAUUUAAAAAAAAUCUUUAAUUUUGUGAAAUUUAAGCAUACAUCGAGAGGUGCUUAAACUUCCAUUGCAAUCUUUUUAUAAAUUUCAAAGUGCAUAUGUUUUUAACUUUUUGGUUUAAAAAAAUAUGAUAGGUCUACGUACUCUUUACUAAUUUGUAAUUUAAUUCUUAUACUUUUAUUUUCAAGAAUUUAAUCCCUGUUUUUUUAUAAAAAAAAUCAAAAUCCUAGUUCAAUUGUUAAAAUUGUUAAAAUUUUAAAAUAGUUUGUUGGUGUGACAUUUUGAAAUAAAAAAAAAAACUUAGUAGUAAUGUAACUAAAAAAAUGACGUAAUGAACAUGGAUUUAAUAAAAUAAUUUUAACAAUAUUAAUAAAAUAAUUUUGAAUUUUGAAUUUUAACUUAACUCUAUUUUUGGGCCAAGAUUUAAUGCUUUAAAAUUUUCAUUUAAUCCGCUGAGUUUACUUAUAAUUCUUUUGAGUUUUAUUUAUUGGUGAGUAAAAUACCUAUUUGAUUUUUUUAUAUACUAUUGGCAUCUUUAAAGGUAAUAUAAUAAUUUUAGUGUAGACGUGUUUUAUUUUAUAAAUAUUAUUUAUAGUGUAGACAUGUGAAUUUUGAAUAAUUUAAAAAUAUCUUCAAUUUUAUGAAAUUUAAACAUACAUUUAGUGUAGACAUGUUUUAUUUUAUAAAUAUUAUUUAUAGUGUUGUUGAUUGGAGUUUGAAAAUUAUACAACUUAGCUAUAUCAGUUAAUUACUUAUAUUAAAAAAUAAUAUAAGAAAAUACUAAAAAGAAAAAAAAUAGUAUAAUUAAUAAAAUGGAUGAAGAGUUAUAUUAAAGUUUCAACAUCUUCUCUCUAUCAAAAUUUAUCUCAGAUAAAUCAUGAAUAAUCUAACUCAUAAAAAAUAUAUAUAUAUUUAUAUACUUCAUUUCAUUCACAGAAAAUAAAGCAUUCUACUUAGUAGAGGCUUUCUAUAAUACCGUUAUCUAAUACCUCUUGACAUUGCUUAGAUUCAAAUGUGUCGAGCAGUUUGGAGGAAAUAUAUCUUGACUAUUCUACUCUCAACACCAACAUUUUGCAAAGCAUUGGAGUAUUCGCUUCUCUUAAAACAUUGUCUUUAUAUCAUUGUGGACUUAUUGGUCCCUUACCUAAUCAAGGUAAAUAAUUUUAUGGCUCAAUUUGAUUUCUUUAUGAACUUUCUGUAAUAUAUUAUCUCCUAUUCUGUUUUAUAAAGCAAAAUUUAAUUGAAACUUCUUCCAUGAAUUUAUUUAUAAAAUUUUCAGGAUGGUGUGAUCUAAGGAACCUUGAAGUGUUGGAUGUGAGUGGGAAUGCACUUGAGGGGAUGCUUCCUCAUUGUUUUAGUAACUUGACAUCUCUUCGUGAGUUAUAUAUUUCAAGAAACCAUUUUCAAAUUCCGCUGUCAUUUGCACCAUUUGCAAACCUUUCAAACCUCAAAUCCCUUUGGAUUAAUGAAAACAAGAUGGUAAUGGAACCUUCCUUUUAUACCUCAAUCCCAAAGUUCCAAUUGGAAGUCAUCAGUUUGCUAAAGUGCAUAACAUCUCAACAACUCAGUCGUAAAGUUCCUACCUUCCUUUACUACCAAUAUGACUUGAGAUAUGUGGAUCUUUCGCAUAACAAUUUCAGCGGAACAGUCCCAACUUGGUUGUUAGAAAACAACACAAAAUUAAAAGUUCUUAUCUUGAAGGGUAAUUCUUUUACUGGUCCUCUCUCA